rnacentral:lncRNA from 1 species
UCGUGUGUUGAUGUCAGUGUGAAGUCUAUAUUCUAGAGUGUCGUGGAUGUGUUGGCCCCCGCCUACAGGCUGUUUAUAAAACAUAUACUUGGUUGGUUGGUCCUCUAGUGACUUUGUUUUGCUGUUUCUUCUGUUUGUUUUUCUCUAUAAGCAAGUCUUGUUGUUGGUUGUUGUACCUAGAGUUUAGCCAAUCACCAUAUUUGGGCAUAUUAAACAUGUCGUUUCGGUCUGAAAUUUCAGCAUGGCCUUCUUAUAAGAGUACGACGGCACUUCCACGAGCAGUAGCCGGAGGAGGGGAAAAACAGAGGGAUGGUCUGUGAGGUCACAUCCAUGAAUCACAAAGUUGUCGGUUCGCGAGACGACGUGAAGAGCAUCUCUAGGCUUGGGUAUGUUUGCAUUGGUAUGAAAAGUCUGGGCUAAUUAAGUCGCCAAUUACAGCUCCAACGAUGAUCGCUGGAACAUCAUACUACUCCUAGUCCACAUAGUUAUUUAGACUACCCUGACUCACCAACUGGGCAAGAGAACAUGUGGCCAUCUUUGUCUUUGUCCUGUAGUGGCUGAUCUCACCUAUUGCAAACCAUGUUCUGAUGUGAAACAUCGGGUCUUUGAUGGUAGUAGAAACUGGUGUUAUUCAUCACCAUGGCUAGCCGAUGCUCGUACGCCUCCCUUCCAUGACUACUAUCGCUUCUCAUGCUGGCUCGCCAACUAGGGUAUGGUUGGUUGAUGAAAGAAAAACUCUACCACACACCAAAUUUAGAUCCCGCUUUCUUAUAUAUGUGCAAAUUUUUUGGUACAACCAUGCUCCACAUCCAACUCUAUCUUAUUUUUCCAGAGUGGAGGAAGGGGACACUUUGCGGGACUUUUAGUAGAAAAUUUUCCAUACAGAUAGAAGCACCUAUUAAAAAGAUACUCCAAAGGCUUCCGGAUCAUAGUCUCAUUAGCUGAAGAACACCCAUGCUAAUCUAUAUUAAGUGCAUUCAAAUCAUGCCUUUAUUAAUUAGUCCAAGGCCUCAUCAGCCACAACAUCAUAAAUACAAAGAGGAAAAACAUGAAACCAAGUUUUACACAAAUCAUUGGGGCAACCUUCCCUUGCCAUGAUGGAAUUAGCCCUAUUAGUUGUUCUUCUACUCCACUUCACCCGAUGCUCUUCUAAAGCAGAUAACAAGUCCAUUAUGUCUUCACAGAGAGGCCCCAUCUUGGGGGAGGGGGGGGGGGUUAGUCUACAGAGUUCAACGUUAUAGCCACACCCUGAUUGUCAUUAAUGAAUACAAUUGUUUGGUCAAAUAUGUUGUUUGAGAGUAGUUCAUGAUGGCCUUUCUAGUUGGAGAGAAUAAUUCUUUCCUUGAUGAUUUCUCUUACAAAGAUCAAGCAUAUAUAUCGAGGGAGAGAGAACCCACUCCCCUGGAACAUAGGCAUGCAGGCCAUGAGAACUAGGAGAUCCUAACAAUGGUGCAUAGACGUCCUGCACAAACGGUUCUCCGUGUUAUGGCAGGUUACAUUCUCAUGUUUUUUUACUUUACAGUGCUUACAAGUUGAGAUUUGAAAAAAUCUAGCCUAGAACAUAAGUCAUCAAAACUCAUGGCAUUUUGAAACUUUAGUCAUAAAAAGAUAUCAAAUAUCAGACACAAAAAGGGAGUGCUAGACAAAAAUGCAAAAAGAAUGAAAAUAAAGAAGGGGCGCAAUAGUUACCGAGCGUUGAUAUGUCUACAACGUAUCUAUAUUUUUUAUUGUUCCAUAAUAUUAUAGCCCGACAGCCCCAUCCUCUACUCCAUUGAUGCGCCCACUGGGCGAGAUCGGUGGUGUGCCAUCUGAGGGAGUCCCGGAUUAGGGGGUGUCCGGAUGACCUGACUAUGACCUUUGGCCGGACUCCUGGGCUAUGAAGAUACAAGAUUGAAGACUUCGUCCCGUGACCGAAUGGGACUUUCCUUGGCGUGGAACGCAAGCUUGGCGCGGAUAUGUAGAUCUCCUCCCAUUGUAACCGACUCUGUGUAACCCUAGCCCUCUCUAGUGUCUAUAUAAACCGGAGGGUUUUAGUCCGUAGGACGAACAACAAUCAUACCAUAGGCUAGCUUCUAGGGUUUAGCCUCUCUGAUCUCGUGGUAGAUCUACUCUUGUACUACCCAUAUCAUCAAUAUUAAUCAAGCAGGAGUAGGGUUUUACCUCCAUCGAGAGGGCCCGAACCUGGGUAAAAACAUCAUGUCCCUUGUCCUCUGUUACCAUCAGCCUAGACGCACAGUUCGGGACCCCCUACCCGAGAUCCGCCGGUUUUGACACCGACAUUGGUGCUUUCAUUGAGAGUUCCUCUGUGUCGUCAUCUUUAGGCCCGAUGGCUCCUCCGAUAAUCAACAACGAAGCGGUCCAGGGUGAGACUUUUCUCCCCGGACAGAUCUUCGUAUUCGGCGGCUUUGCGCUGUGGGUCAAUUCGCUUGGCCAUCUGGAGCAGAUCGAAAGCUACGCCCCUGGCCAUCAGGUCAGAUUUGGAAGUUUGAACUACACGGCCGACAUCCGCGGAGACUUGAUCUUCGACGGAUUCGAGCCACAGCCGGGCGCGCCGCACUGUCACGAUGGGCAUGAUCUAACUCUGCCACCGAACAGUGUCCAGGAGGCCGCCCCAGCGUCCGCUCCAACCCUUAGCUCGAAGCCGACUGCGCCAAUCGAGGACGGGUGGCUGGACACCGCCUCGGGGGCUGCAAUCCCUACGGCGAUCGAGCCGAAUACCAGCCUUGUCCUUUACGAAGCUCGUGACUGGGCGCCGAUCAUGGAGUUCGCUGCCGCAGACAUCUUUCAGCACUCGCCCUUCGGCGACAUUCUGAAUUCACUAAAGUCUCUCUCUUUAUCAGGAGAGCCCUGGCCGGACUAUGGUCAGCGAGGUUGGGAUGCGGACGACAAAGAAAUUCAAAUCCCACCCACCACCCACUUCGUAGCCACUAUCGAUGAUUUAACCGACAUGCUCGACUUCGACUCAGAAGACAUCGACGGUAUGGACGCCGAUGCAGGAGACGACGAAGAACCAGCGCCUAUAGGGCACUGGAAGGCCACCUCGUCAUAUGACAUAUACAUGGUGGACACCCCAAAAGAAGGGAAUGGCGAUGAAACAACGGAGGUUAACCCCUCCAAGAAGCAGCCUAAGCGCCGGCAUCAGCAGCGCCGCUCUAAAUCCUGCCAAAGCAAAAACGAUGAUUCCGGCACGGGAGAUAAUAACACCCCGGAUAGUGCCGAAGACAACCCCCUCCAGCAAGAUUCAGCACAGGAGGAUGGAGAAACCAGCCCUCAUGAGAGAGCGGCAGACAGAGAGGUAGAGGACGAUAAUCACAUGCCUCCCUCCGGAGACGAGGCAAGCCUCGACGACGACGAAUUUAUCGUGCCUGAGGAUCCCGUCGAACAAGAGCGUUUCAAACGCAGGCUUAUGGCCACGGCGAGCAGCCUCAAGAAAAAACAGUAGCAGCUUAGAGCUGACCAAGACUUGCUAGCCGACAGAUGGACUGAAGUCCUUGCAGCCGAAGAGUACGAACUCAAACGCCCCUCCAAGAGCUACCCAAAGCGUAGGCUGCUAUACCAAUUAGAGGAGGAAGCACCUAAACCUACAUCAUCAGCGCACGACGCGGCAGACUGGCCACCUCGUGGCCGCGACAGAGAGGCCUCUCGGCCAUCCACUCAAGCCGCACCCCGGCGUCGCUCAAAAAAUACCAAGGCACGGGGAAAGGCGCCAGACCUGCGAGAUAUAUUGGAGGACAAGGCAAGGCAAACAAGAUCGAUCUCCGGAUCGCGUGGGCGCCCCACGACACGUAACGAUAACCGUCAUGCCGGAUAUGGCAAAUACGGCUAGGCCAAACACAGCAGACAAAGCUCAUUUGAGCUACGACGUGAUAUAGCCCAGUACAGAGGCGCCGCACACCCACUACGCUUCACAGAUGAAAUAAUGGAUCAUCAUAUCCCCUAGGGUUUUAAACCCGUAAACAUCGAAUCAUACGAUGGCACAACAGAUCCUGCGGUAUGGAUCGAGGAUUAUCUCCUUCAUAUCCACAUGGCCUGCGGUGAUGACCUACACGCUAUCAAAUACCUCCCACUCAAGCUUAAAGGACCAGCUCGGCAUUGGCUCAACAGCUUGCCAACAGAGUCAAUUGGUUGCUGGGAGGACCUGGAAGCCGCAUUCCUCGACAAUUUCCAGGGCACCUAUGUGCGACCACCAGACGCCGAUGACCUAAGCCACAUCAUUCAGCAGCCAGAGGAAUCGGCCAGACAAUUCUGGACACGGUUCUUAACCAAGAAAAAUCAAAUAGUCGACUGUCCGGACGCAGAGGCCCUCGCAACCUUCAAACAUAACAUCCAUGACGAAUGGCUUGCCCGGCACCUAGGACAGGAAAAGCCAAAAUCCAUGGCAGCCCUCACAACACUCAUGACCCGCUUUUGCGCGGGAGAAGACAUGACCAAGAGCCCUGCUAAUUCGGAUACCAAGGACAACAAUGGCAGGUCAUGUCGCAACAAAUACAAGCGCCGCAUUAACGGCGACAAUACUGAGGAUACGACAGUCAAUGCCGGAUUCCGAGGCUCCAAACCCGGUCAGCGGAAAAAGCCAUUCAAAAGAAGUACUCCGAGCCCGUCCAAUUUGGACCGAAUACUCGAUCGCUUGUGCCAGAUAGACGGCACCCCCGAAAAACCAGCCAAUCACACCAACAGGGAUUGUUGGGUGUUCAAGGAGGCAGGCAAGUUAAGCGCCGAAAACAGAGACAAGGGGCUGCAUAGCAAUGAUGAGGAGGAGCCCCGACCGCCGAACAAUAGGGGACAGAAGGGCUUUCCCCCACAAGUGCGGGCAGUGAACAUGAUAUACGCAACCCACAUCCCCAAAAGGGAACGGAAGCGUGCACUCAGGGACGUAUAUGCGUUGGAGCCAGUCGCCCCAAAGUUCAACCCAUGGUCCUCCUGCCCGAUCACUUUUGAUCGAAGGGACCACCCCACUAGCAUCCGCCACGGCGGAUUCACCGCGUUGGUUCUAGACCCAAUCAUUGACGGAUUUCACCUCACUAGAGUCCUAUGGAUGGCGGCAGCAGCCUGAACCUGCUUUAUCAGGAUACAGUGCGAGAAAUGGGCAUAAAUCCCUCAAGGAUUAAACCCACAAAGACGACCUUUAAAGGCGUCAUACCAGGUGUAGAGGCCCACUGUACAGGCUCAGUUACACUCGAAGUGGUAUUCGGAUCCCCGGAUAAUUUCCGAAGCGAGGAUUUAAUCUUCGACAUAGUCCCGUUCCGCAACGGCUAUCACGCGCUACUCGGACGAACCACAUUUGCAAAGUUCAAUGCGGUGCCGCACUACACAUAGCUCAAGCUCAAGAUGCCAAGCCCUCGAGGAGUCAUUAUGGUUAAUGGAAACACCGAACGCUCUCUCUGAACGGAGGAGCAUACGGCGGCCCUCGCGGCGGAAGUACAAAGUAGCCUCUCAAGGCAAUUCUCCAGUCCAGCUAUUAAACGUCCAGACACCGUCAAGCGCGCCCGGAGUAACCUACAGCAAGACCGCCUGGCACGUUCCGAGCAAGUGUAGCAGUGCGGCCCCAACCCCAGCCCUCGCGAAAUUGCGAAACCAGUACCACGCGUACAUAAUUACGCUCUGGAAAUAUCAUGGGCAUAGGGGGAGGGGCACAACCAUGGCACGCCCAAAAUGCGGCUCAACCGCAUUAGGGGCUCCCGAUUUUGUCAUUUCUUUUUUCUUACUUUGAGGACUCCAUUCUCUGGAAGGCCUGUCCGGCAGUACAAUCGCCGAACACACGAUGCAACAGCCAGGGAGGUAGCAAGCUACGUCAAAUAUCCAGGUGGUCUCUAUAACGAGCUAAAUACCUGUCUUACAUAAAGUCUCGCAGCUUGCCCUUGGAGGGGGACAUGUCAAAUAAUCCCAUCUCUUGCUUAUCGCACUAUUUGUAUCGUUCUGCUUUCACAGCAGCCUUUUAAUAAACAAUGCAUAGCUCUUGUCUAUUAUUGCAUUCAUUUUUUAUGUAAAUAUGUUCAGUCAUGACAUUAUGCAACCGUACACUUUGGUACGGCCAACACACCAGGGGCUUAAGUACUCCAGAAUAUGGUGUGAGAAGUCUGAACACUCUCACGAGUGCGGCACCCCGAACUUAUAGCAUUAUAUGCAUCGGCUCCGAAUCAUGUCUUGGGUCAAUAGUUGGGUUUGCCCGGCUCCCAUGUUUUGGUAGCUUACGUUCCAUUAUAUCGGCUAAGGUAGCGCUGGGAGAACUACUGCGAUUGUGCCCCAGUUGAGCUGGGUUAAGCACCUCAGUAGAGAAAGCUAAAACUGACCGUCAUGAUAGGGCGAGAGCCGAUCGCUGUUCGAGAGGUUUCGAGUCCCUAAAGACUUAUGCCGCUUAGAGCGAGGAGCUGGCUUUGUCCGGCCUAGGCGUGGAUAGCGCCCCGAACUCGGUCUUCCGAAUACUAGGGGCUUUGCCAAAAUUUAAAAUUAUAGAAUUCUAUGGCUAUGUGAGAGUGAUAAAGCAUUAUAGUCCGAUUGCCUUGUUCGUUGUGCUGAGCGCCUCCCUCGAAGGACCCAAUAAUGGGAACAAGAGCGCUCAGGUUUAUCCCGAACACCCCAGCACUCGUGGCAUGGGGGUAGAAGCCGACGACUCGCCAUCUCUCAGAUUUGAUAAGUGGCCGCACAGAAGGUAAUAUUGUAAAUUCAAAAAGCAUUGCUUAGCGCAUAUGAACAAGUCUUGAGCGCACAGGAUAACACGAGCGAGUUUACUCAAAUGUUACAUAUUUGGAACAUUCAUUCGCCACAAGGAGGGCACCCUUCAGGACGCCCUCAUAAUACAUCUCGGGCCUGCGAUGCUCCUUCCCCUCCGGUGGCCCAUCUGUCACCAGCUUCUCAGCAUCCAGCUUGCCCCAGUGUACUUUAGCACGGGCAAGGGCCCUACGGGCGCCUUCGAUGCAUACGGAGCGCUUGAUGACUUCAAGCCAUGGACAGGCAUCCACCAGCCGCCUCACCAGCCCAAAGUAGCUCCCGGGCAUGACCCCCCCAGGCCAUAGCCGGACUAUUAGGCCCUUCAUGGCCUGUUCAGCUACCUUAUGGAGCUCGACCAACUACUUCAGCUGGUCGCUCAAGGGCACCGGGUGUCCGGCCUCAACAUACUGGGACCAGAACACCUUGUCCGUUGAGCUCCUUUCCUCUGCUCGGUAGAAUGCGGCAGCAUCGGACACACUGCGGGGCAGAUCUGCGAAUGCUCCUGCAGAGCUCCGGACUCGGGUAAGUAACAAGUAAUUCACUUUCACGUACUUGCUUUGCAUAAAGAAUGCCUUACCCGCCGAUAUAUUCUUCAUCGCCUCAAUUUCCUGGAGGGCUUUUUGGGCUUCGGCCUUGGCAGAUUUGGCGCUUUCAAGAGCCGAGGCAAGCUCGGACUCUCGAGUCUUUGACUCAAGCUCCAAACUCUCGUGUUUUUUCACAAGAGCGUGGAGCUCUUGCCGCACCUCCUCCACUCGCGCUCCUCCUUUUUUUGCUCGAUGCGCACCAUGGCCGCAUUGUCUUCGGCCUUGGACAACGCUUCCUUCAGGGUAGCCACCUCGGUUGUGGCCCCUAUAACACUCACGUUGGUCCUGUCACUAUUUGCAACUAGGUAUUUUUAUAUACUUACAUAAGGUACUACUUACCUUCCUUGUCCUCGAGCUGCUUCUUGGCAAGACCGAGCUCGUUCUCGGACCGCUCGAGGCUCUUCUUCAAUGCAUCGACCUCCGCAGUCAGUGCGGCAGAGGUCAGCAGCGCAGCCUGCAUUCCCAUCUUGACAUAUUUAUGUUAGACUCCUGCGUAUAUCUUUUUAGAUCCUCAGUCCGGAUUUUCUUUCCUACCACCAAACUGAGCAUCAGGGGCUAAUGUCUAUGCGGUAAUAUUUUUACAUGUCUUAAAUAUAUACCUCAAAGCCUGUUAGAAGGCUGGCACAGGCUUCUGUCAGCCUGCUCUUGGCGGACUGAACCUUCUGGAUCACCGCACUCAUAAUAGUGAGGUGCUCCUCGUCGAUGGAGGCGCCGUUAAGCACCUCCAGCAAAUUGUCCGGUGCCUCCGGUUGGAUGGAGGACACCGGCGUCAUAGGCUUGCCCUUCUUAUGAGGGGGCCGCCUGCCGGACUCCGGAACCACUGAGGGUUCCGGUGCGGUGUCCAGCCCAUGGCCGGACUUAGAUCCCUCUGGGGUUUCAUCCCCUUUGCGCCUAGAUCCCGGGAGGUCGCCUUGCGGCGCCUCCAGGACCACCUCCUCCUGGCUUAGCCCCUUUUGGGACUUCACGUCGGCAUCGUCCGCGGGGCGAGGGGAGGUAGCAGUCGGGAGUCAAAGACUAUUCACAUCCGACCAAUCCAGGGAGCCGCUCGACGAAGCGUCGAGCCGGGCCUUGGGCGGACUACAUGAUUAUAUUCGGCGUCAGAAGAUACUGUGCAAUAAAGGAACGCCAUGAGUUAUUCUGGUAUCCGGAUACUUACGAUUUUGCCAGGGGCUUGGCCCUAGACGGCCACUCCUCUCCGCCGUCGUCGUCGCUGGUGGAGUAGUCCGGAAGAAGGGUCUUUCCCUUCUUGGACCCUCCGGCCUCCCCAGUUCGGGUGGCCUUCCUUUUCUUUCCUCCCCCCAUUGGAGGGGGAGAGGCUUCUUCUUCCUCCUCGUUUUCGGGGGAGGAGUGCGCUUAGGGGUCGUCAGGCGAUGAAUCCGACACCACCAGGCGCCAGGAACUCUUUCGACUUCCCGUGGACUUCUUCUUGGCCUUCUUCUUCGGCACCAUGUGAGGUGUCGGGUCCAGCAGCUUCGCCAAGCGUGCAUCUACUGGGCCUUCGGGCAAAGGAGCCGGGCAGUCAAUCUGUCCAGACGUCUUCUUCCAGUCCUGUCAAAGGAGCGGGAGCUUAGAUCCCGCGUAGAGUCAAACUAUGAAAAACAAGUAUCCUGCAAAGGGUAAAACAAGCUUACUGCGCUGGCUUGGCGCUUUGCGCAGAAUCCGCGAUCCUCGGUAAUGGGAGGGGAAACCUCGGAGCCCUUGAAUAGCACCUUCCAGGCGUCUUCGUGCGUUGUGUCAAAGAGCCUGGACAAAGUUUGAUGCUGGGCCGGGUCGAACUCCCACAAGUUAAAAGCCCGUCGUUGACAUGGGAGGAUCCGGCGGAAGAGCAUGACCUAGACUACGUAGACAAGUUUAACCUUCUUGUCCACCAGGUUUUGGACCCAGGUUUGGAGCCCGGUCACCUCUUCCGGAUUACCCCACGACAGGCCCAUCCCUUUCCAGGAGGUGAGCCGUGUGGGGAUGCCAGAUUGGAAUUCGGGGGCCGCUGCCCAUUCAGGGUCACGCGGCUCGGUGAUGUAGAACCACCCCGAUUGCCACCCUUUGAUGGUUUCCACAAAGGAGCCCUCGAGCCAUGUGAUGUUGGGCAUCUUGCCCACCAUGGCGCCUCCGCACUCCGCUUGCCGGCUGCCCACAACCUUCGGCUUGACAUUGAAGGUCUUCAGCCAUAAGCCGAAGUGGGGCUUGAUGCGGAGGAAGACCUCGCACACGACGAUAAACGCCGAGAUGUUAAGGAUGAAGUUCGGGGCCAGAUCGUGGAAAUCCAGGCCGUAGUAGAACAUGAGCCCCCGAACAAAUGGGUGGAGUGGGAAACCAAGUCCGCGAAGGAAAUGGGGGAGGAACACCACCCUCUCAUGGGGCCUGGGGGUGGGGAUGAGCUGCCCCUCGUCUGGAAGCCGGUGCGCAAUGUCGUUGGACAAGUAUCCAGCCUUCCUCAACUUUUUGAUGUGCCCCUCCGUGACGGAGGAGGCGAUCCACCUGCCUCCCGCUCCGGACAUGGCUGGAGAAGGUCGAGGUGGGAAGUGCGGACUUGGGCGCUGGAGCUCGAGUGCGCGGAAAUGGAUAAGCGAAGGAGGGAGAGGGCGUGGACGGAAAAGGUGGAUCCUUAUCCCCUUAUAUGAGCGGACGAAACUGUGUGCCCCCACCAGCCUGGUAAAACUCGCUUAUCUCCCAAGUGCCGUGAUUAAUGGCACGGUUGGGUUACCCACGCCCGUAUUGAUGAGAAUCCCGGAAUAAGGGGACAUGAUCUCUGCUUUGGCAAGACGUGCCAAGGAAACCGCCUCGCUGAACGCGCUGAGGUGGGACAGUAAAACAAUUCGAAUGAAGGCUUGGCCUUGGGAUGAUGUCACGCUACGGAAUACGUCAGCAGAUUAGAUUUGUACAAACAUUAUUCUCUCUACGGUGGUAUGUGGAACUUAUUUUGUAGAACCGGACACUAUCCUUCUGUUCAAAAUCUUCUAUGAAGUAUUCGGAGGAGGAACCCGCCUUGCAAUGCCGAAGACAAUUUCGCGCCGGACUCGUCGUCAUUGAAGCCUGGUUCAGGGGCUAUUGAGGGAGUCCCGGAUUAGGGGGUGUCCGGAUGAACGAACUAUAACCUUUCGCCAGACUCCUGGGCUAUGAAGAUACAAGAUUGAAGACUUCGUCCCGUGUCCGGAUGGGACUUUCCUUGGUGUGGAAGGCAAGCUUGGCGAUACGGAUAUGUAGAUCUCCUCCCAUUGUAACCGACUCUGUGUAACCCUAGCCCUCUCCGGUGUCUAUAUAAACCGGAGGGUUUUAGUCCGUAGGACGAACAACAAUCAUACCAUAGGCUAGCUUCUAGGGUUUAGCCUCUCUGAUCUCGUGGUAGAUCUACUCUUGUACUACCCAUAUCAUCAAUAUUAAUCAAGCAGGAGUAGGGUUUUACCUCCAUCAAGAGGGCCCGAACCUGGGUAAAAACAUCAUGUCCCUUGUCUCCUGUUACCAUCCGCCUAGAUGCACAGUUCGGGACCCCCUACCAGAUAUCCGCCGGUUUCACACCGACACAUCCUCACAUUAGGGGGGUCAACCCCCCAUCUCAACUGCGAUUCCUGGAUCAUCAGGGACACCUCCUCUCCACUCCAUCUCCCACAUGAUGGCCCCUCUAGCACUAGAUACUUAAUGAGUGAUGGUGGUUCACAUUUUAUUCAUGGUGCUUUUCAUAAAAUGCUUGCUAAGUAUGAUGUUAAUCAUAAAAUUGCAUCUCCAUACCAUCCACAGUCUAGCGGUCAAGUAGAAUUGAGUAAUAGAGAGAUUAAAUUGAUCUUGCAAAAGACUGUUAAUAGAUCUAGAAAGAAUUGGUCCAAGAAACUUGAUGAUGCAUUAUAGGCCUAUAGAACUGCAUAUAAAAUUCCUAUGGGUAUGUCUCCGUAUAAAAUGGUUUAUGGAAAGGCAUGUCACUUACCUCUCGAACUAGAACAUAUGGCAUAUUGGGCCAUUAAGGAGCUCAAUUAUGAUUUCAAACUUGCUGGUGAGAAGAGGCUUUUUGACAUUAUCUCACUAGAUGAAUGGGGAACCCAUGCCUAUGAGAACGCCAAACUAUUUAAAGAAAAAGUUAAAAGGUGGCAUGACAAAAGGAUACAAAAGUGGGAGCUUAAUGUAGGUGAUUAUGUUUUGCUAUACAACUCUCGUUUAAGAUUUUUUGCAGGAAAAUUUCUCUCUAAAUGGGAAGGUCCUUACGUUAUCGAGGAGGUCUAUCGUUCCGGUGCCAUCAAAAUCAACAACGCUGAAGGCACAAAUCCGAAGGUGGUGAAUGGUCAAAGAAUCAAACAUCAUAUCUCAGGUAAUCCCAUAAAUGUUGAAACCAAUGUUAUUGACACCGUAACCCCGGAGGACUACAUAAGGGACACUUCCCAAAAUGUUUCAGACUCCAAAAGGAAUAGGUAUGUGGUACGGUAAGUAAACCGACUCCAAAACAGUUAUAGUAGCAAAUUUUCUCUGUUUUGGAAUAUUUAAAAAAUUAGGAAAAUAAGAAGUAGUCCGAAGGAGACACGAGGCAUCCACGAGGGUGGAGGGCGUGCCCUACGCCUUGGGCGCGCCCCCUGCCUCGUGGACACCUCGUGUGCCCUCUGGAUUCCGUUUUCUUGCACGAUACUUCUUUUUGUCGGUAAAAAAUCAUUAUAUAAUCUCCCAAAGGUUUUGACCAUCGAACCAUGACAAAAUCAUAUGCUUUUGUUUCGAGCUGUUUUUCUGACAGAUCUAGAUCACCAUGACGUCUUCAGGUGCCCCCAAGGACAAGUUUUCAAGUAGCAAGGGAUGGUGGAACACGGACUCAACGCCAACCACAUGAUGGUCGCGGAGUUCACCAACAACCACAAGUUGGAUGCCAAGAACAUUGGGGAGACCAUCUUCAAGCUUCAUGAGAAAAUCGAGCACCUCCAAGCCUAGAUCUAUGACUUGCAAAACCAAAACUGUGAGUAUGAAUAUAGAUUCAAGAGGAUGAGUUUGGCUGCAGAUUUGAGGAUCCCGGAGACUCGAUCAUCCUUCUAUGAUGGUGAGCCUAUGCCCUGGAAGAUGGACCAUAAGCCUACAUCAUCAACAACUCCAUCAUCACCCCCCCAAGAAAGAGACAUAAACACAUGGGUAUGGGCACUCCCCUUGGCAACUACUAAGCUUGGGGGAGCUGCCCUGGUAUUGUAUCACCAUCACAUUUCUAUCUUUACCGUUUUUCUUAGUUCGAUCCUUUUGGUUAUAUCUUGAUCUAGUAGAAUAAAGUUUUAGUUCGAUCUAGCUUUGAUUUUUUUGUUGAUACCUAUCUAUCUAAUCGAGUACGUGAGCUAUAUAUAAUAAAGAUUAGUUUUGAGUUGAGGGCUUUGCUAUCUUGCUAUGAUAUUGAGGUAAUAAAAGAAAAAGAAAGAAUAAAAAUAAAUAAAAAGAUCAUAUUGACCUUUUGGAGAGUAAUGACUUUACACAUAAAGAGUAUGAUGAAUAAAAGUUGUUGAGAGUUGACAAACAUAGUUUUGGUCAUCGUGGAAAUUAAUAGGAAGUAAUAAACAAAGAGAGGUUUUCACAUAUAAAUAUACUAUCUUGGACAUCUUUUAUGAUUGUGAGCACUCAUUAAAAUAUGAUAUGCUAAAAAGUUGAUGUUGGACAAGGAAGACAACAUAAUGAGUUAUGUUUGCUUAUAUCCUAAAUAAAUUAUAUUGUCAUGGAUCAUCCAACAUGUUGAACUUGCCUUUCCCCCUCAUGUUAGCCAAAUUCUUUGCACCAAGUAGAGAUACUACUUGUGCUUACAAACAUCCCUAAACCCAGUUUUGUCAUGAGAGUCCACCAUACCUACCUAUGGAUUGAGUAAGAUCCUUCAAGUAAGUUGUCAUCGGUGCAAGCAAUAAAAAUUUCUCUCUAAAUAUGUAUGAUCUAUUAGUGUGGAGAAAAUAAGCUUUAUACGAGCUUGUGAUACGGAAGAAAUAAAAGCGACAGACUGCAUAAUAAAGGUCCAUAUCACAAGUGGCAACAUAAAGUGACGUUCUUUUGCAUUAAGAUUUUGUGCAUCCAACCAUAAAAGUGCAUGACAUCCUCUGCUUCCCUCUGCGAAGGGCCUAUCUUUUAUUUUUACCUUCUACCCUUAUACAAGAGUCUUGGUGAUCUUCACCUUUCCUUUUUAUACUUUAUCCUUUGGCAAGCUCUAUGUGUUGGAAAGAUCCUGAUAUAUAUAUAUAUAUAUAUAUAUAUAUAUAUAUAUAUAUAUAUAUAUAUAUAUAUAUAUAUAUAUCCAAUUGGAUGUGGGUUUUCAUAAAGGAUUAUUGUUGACAUUACCCUUGAGGUAAAAGGUUGGGAGGCGAAAGUAUAAGCCCCUACCUUUCUCUCUGUCCGAUUGAAACUUCAUACUCAUAAGUAUCGCGUGAGUGUUAGCAAUUGUGAAAGAUUAAAUGAUAAUUGAGUAUUUGGACUUGCUGAAAAGCUCUUAUAUUGACUCUUUCCGAUGUUAAGAUAAAAUUGCAAUUGCUUCAAUGACAGAGAUUAUAGUUUGCUAGUUUGCAAUGAAGUUUCUGAUUCAUACUUUACAUUGUGAAUGGAUUGUUACUUUAGCAUAAGAAAUCAUAUGAAACUAUAUAUGUUGCUGUUCUAAGAAUGAUCAUGAUGCCCUCAUGUCUGUAUUUUAUUUUAUCGUCACCUCUAUCUCUAAACAUGUGGACGUAUUUUUCGAUAUCGGCAUCUGCUUGAGGACAAGCGAGGUCUAAGCUUGGGGGAGUUGAUACGUCCAUUUUGCAUCAUGCUUUUAUAUCAAUAUUUAUUGCAUUAUGGGCUGUUACUACACAUUAUGUCGCAAUACUUAUGCCUUUUCUCUCUUAUUUUACGAGGUUUACAUGAAGAGGGAGAAUGCCGGCAGCUAGAAUUCUGGGCUGGAAAAGGAGCAAAUAUUAGAGGCCUAUUCUGCACAACUCGAAAAGUCCUAAAACUCCAGGAAAGUCAGUUUUGGAAUAUAUUAAAAAUAUUGGGCGAAGAAAGCACCAGAGGGGGGCCACCCACCGUCCAUGAGGGUGGAAGGCGCGUCCUACCCCCUGAUUGCGUCCCCUGCCUCAUGGGCCACCUGGCAGGCCCCCGAUACCCAUCUUCUCCUAUAUGGUGUCUUUUGCCCUGGAAAAAAAAUCAUAAGGUAGAUUUCGGGACGAAGCGCCGCCGUCUCGAGGCGGAACCUUGGUGGAACCAAUCUAGGGCUCCGGUGGAGCUGUUCUGCCGGGGAAACAUCCCUGCGGGAGGGGGAAAUCAUCACCAUCGUCAUCACCAUGGAUCCUCUCAUCGAGAGGGGCCAAUCUCCAUCAACAUUAUCACCAACACCAUUUCCUCUCAAACCCUAGUUCAUCUCUUGUAUCCGAUCUUUGUCUCAAAACGUCAGGUUGGUACGUGUGGGUUGCUAGUAGUGUUGAUUACUCCUUGUAGUUGAUGCUAGUUGGUUUAUUUGGUGGAAAAAUCCUAUGUUCAGAUCCUUUAUGCAAUUUAAUACCCCUAUGAUUAUGAACAUGAAUAUGAUUUGUGAGUAGUUAUGUUUGUUCCUGAGGACAUGGGAGAAUUCUUGUUAUAAGUAGUCAUGUGAAUUUUGUAUUCUUUGAUAUUUUGAUGAGACGUAUGUUGUCUCUCCUCCAGUGGUGUUAUGUGAACAUCGACUACAUGAUAGUUCACCAUUGUUUGGGCCUAGGGGAAGGCAUUUGGAAGUAAUAAGUAGAUGAUGGGUUGCUAGAGUGAUAGAAGCUUAAACCCUAGUUUAUGUGUUGCUUCGUAAGGGGCUGAUUUGGAUCCAUAUGUUUCAUGCUAUGGUUAGGUUUACCUUAAUUCUUCUUUCAUAGUUGCGGAUGCUUGCGAGAGGGGUUAAUCAUAAGUGGGAUGCUUGUUAAAGGAAGGGCCGUACCCAAGCACCGGUCCAACCACAUAUCAAAUUAUCAAAGUAACGAACGUGAAUCAUAUGAGCAUGAUGAAAACUAGCUUGACGAUGAUUCCCAUGUGUCCUCGGGAGCGCUUUGCUUUAUAUAAGAGUUUGUCCAGGCUUGUACUUUGUUACAAAAAGGAUUGGGCCACCUUGUUGCACCUUGUUACUUUUGUUACUUGUUACCCGUUACGAACUAUCGUAUCACAAAACUAUCUGUUACCAAUAUUUCAGUGCUUGCAGAGAAUACCUUACUGAAAACUGCCUGCCAUUUCCUUCUAUUCCUCAUUGGGUUCGACACUCUUACUUAUUGAAAGGACUACGAUAGAUCCCCUAUAGUUGUGGGUCAUCAAAUAGUACAUAACAUAACUUGAGCUUUAGAUUUGGCUCAUUAUCACACUGAUGUCAAAUUUGUCAUUUUUGUAUCUUAAAAAUGUUAUAAACUUUAAUACAAAAGUUUUGUGACAUCAUACAUUGAUGUGCGUUAAUGUGCUAGAUUUUUUUUUGACUUUUUAAAUUGUUCUAUAGCAUCCGGUGCCCCGGGAGCACCAUUACUGCGGGUGCAUAGGAUACAUCCCCGCGAGCGAUCCGUGGAUGGCUUGGUGCGGACGGGCGCGUGCGGUUGCCGAUCCAUAUAUUCCUGAACUCGGAUCUAGACACAAGAUCCUCCAUUGCAUGCCACAUCCAUGGCUCUAGUGAGCCAGAUCCGCACAUGUGAUAUGCCUCCAACAUAUUUACUUUUUGUUUUGGCCUCUAAUUUAUAUGAUUUGAAUGAAACUAACCCAAACUAACGUUGUUUUAAGUAGAACUACCUUGAUGUUAUUUUUUGUGUAGAAAUAAAAAUCUCAUAAUUGGACGAAACUUUGUAGAGAUUUUUUAUGGAAUAAAUAAAAAAUACCGGAGCCAUCGGCAUCCGUACCAAGAAAAUAAGAGAGAAAGUAAUUUGGGAGCUGCCACCAUCUCUUGUCUUCAUUGGGAGCCCUGAUCUGGAGUCCAUUCCUAUCUCCGGAGAGAGGGAUUCGUCGUGGUUGUAAUCACCAACCCUUCUCCAUCAAUAAUUUCCUGAUUCUCACCACCAAGAGUGUGUAAUCCCUUGCAGGCAUACUAGAGGUAGAGUAAGAUGAAUGAGAUUUCCUAUGUAAUCAUGUUAAUUUGUUAGGGCUUGAUCCCUAGUAUGCACUAUGUUUUGAGAUUGAAGUUGUUAUGACUUUCUUAUACUUAAUGCUUGUCAAUAGGGCCCGAGUGUCAUAAUUUCAGAUCUGAACACUUAUGCUUCUAUGAAUAUAUUUGACAUAAUGAUCUCACCUUCAAGUUGUAUACACCUGUUAUCAUUCCAAACCUUAGACUUCCAAGUUGACCAUUGAAAGUGCUAGUUAUCGACUAGAUGGGGGGGUGAAUAGGCAAUUUUUUAUAAAAGUCUUCAAAACAUGCAAUGUCUUCGAAAACGCGGAAGAAAAACAAUCACUAAACAGGAUACAUCGGAAUAUAAACCACACUAGACAUGUCGGUAUGUCAACAAAAAUUGAUGUAAGAUGCGAAGAUAGAAAACAACUAGGUAGUUCAGAACAAUGAGAAGAUAGUGUGAAGACAAAUAUGUAAUCAGAGGAAAUGUCUUCAUACAAUGUCUUUGAAUAGUAUGAGCAGGCAAAGGCUUCACGAAACUAAACAGUAAGUAAAGGAGUGAAGUGAUAGAACCACUUGCUCAUAGAAGACAUGUGAUUUGUUUGACCAAUUCCAGCUGCUGUGACAGCUAUAUGUCUGGUUAAGGAGGCUGAGAUUGAAAUCUGAAGACUUAGUCUUCACCUUAUUCCCCUUAAGCUAAUAUCCGCAAAUCUCACCCAAUCACUCGGGGAAGUCUUCAAGGUAAACUUCCAAACCUUCACAGACUUCGUUCACUAGCAAUCCACAAUGACUCUUGGAUGCUCAGAAUUCAACACCUAACCGGUUGGAAGAUCACAGUCUUCAAGUGUAACAAGUCUUUGGUUCACGCAGAACAGAAAGGCUUCAGUGAUGCUCAAUCACUUUGGGCUCUGGGUGUUCUGGGUUUGUCCUCGCAAGGAAUUUCUCUCAAGGCUUAAGAGGUGGGUUGCUCUCAAACGAUAACAACCAUGUAAUAACUCGAAACAACCACCAACUUAUGCUAGAGGUGGUGGGCUAUUUAUAGCCAGGAGGCAACCUGACAUGAUAUGAACAAAAUGACCCUGGGUCAAUGGGCAACCGACAUGUGUCCAACAACCGUAUUUGAAACACACGCGACAGCUUUACUUGAGCUCCAACUAAAGCUAACUCAACGAACCUUGGAAAAGGUGUUCUCUCACUGUCUACACUAGAAGACAUAGAGUUUUAGGUUCAACAUCAAGUCAGUUUCUAACUUUGUUUACCUCGACCCCAUUUAACAAUACGGUGGUUCCUAUGGCUCAAGAAAGGCGAAAAUGAAACUAUCAAAAGACUAUGUCUUCGUGCUCCAUUGUAUUCAAGCGAAAGUCCACACGUCCCAUUGUCUUCAAAUAAAUGUCUUCCCGUACCACCAUUAUCUUUAAUGUCUUCAUACAUGUUUAGGAGUCAUAUUUGAUUGGUAAGCCGAAUCUCUAGGGACUUCUAUCUGUGUUCUCCUGUGAAUCUCAUAAAUAGAUUAGUCCCUCAACCAAAUUUGUCGUCAAUACUCCAUAACCGAUGAUAUGUCCAUUUUGCAUCAUGUUUUUAUAUUGAUAUUUAUUGCAUUAUGUGCUGUUAUUACGUAUUUACGUACAAUACUUAUGUCUUUUCUCUCUUAUUUUACAAGGUUUAGACAAAGAGGGAGAAUGCCGACAGCUGGAAUUCUGGACCGGAAAGGAGCAAAUCUGAGAGACCUAUUCUGCAUAACUCCAAAAAUCCUCAAAAUUUACAGAGAAUUAUUUUGGAAUAUAUAAAAAAUAUUGGGCGAAGAAAAUACCAGAGGGGACCCACCAAGUGGCCACAAGGAUGGGGGCGCGCCCUACCCCCUGGGCGCGUCUCCCUGGCUUCAGGGCCCCUUGGCAAGCCUUUGGUGCCCCUCUUCUACUAUAUGAUGUCUUUUGACCUGGAAAAAAAUCAGAAGAGAGCUUUCAGGAUGAAGUGCCGCCGUCUCGAGGCGAAACUUGGGCAGAACCAAUCUAAGAUUCAGGUGGCUUCAGAUUGCAAGGUGGCGUUGCAGAUAUACAUUAGAAGAGCGCAACUACCUAUAGAGCAAUCAUAACUGAGAUCAUAGAUCGGAAGGCUACUUUUACUAAUUGUACAUUAGCCAUGAAUUUAGGAGCUUGAAUGUUGAAGCUCACAAACUCGUGAAGCAUGCUUUAUCCCUAGGGGUUGACCGCCAUGUUUGGUUAGGUAACCCCAUAGCUGAAGUUGUCUCGCCUUGCUUCAAAUCUACCGGGCGUGCGCUGCGAUUUUGACCUAACGGCCUCCAUUUGCUGGAAUUAAUUGGAAUAGUUGAGAAGAAAGUGACAAACGAAUGUGUAAUGCGUGGGAAUCUGCCGAAUAGUUCAGGCCGAAUCCCGAAGAAAGUUCGUUGGUCAGGUAAAGGUUGGCCAGCCAAUGAUGCUUAGCUGGUCUUUUUGAAUGUUUAGCCACACUGGGACUGAGACAUAGCCCAGACUCCCAUGGGGGGCAGCAGAGGGGAAUCUUGGACAAUGGGCAAAAGCCCGAUCUAGCAAUAUCGCGUGAGUGAAAAAGGUCAAUGCUCCUUUUAAAGCUCUUACGUUGAGUGCGCGAUCAUGAAAUAUCUCGAGGAAGAAGCCCCGGCUCACUCCGUGCCAGCAGCCGCGCUAAGANNNNNNNNNNNNNNNNNNNNNNNNNNNNNNNNNNNNNNNNNNNNNNNNNNNNNNNNNNNNNNNNNNNNNNNNNNNNNNNNNNNNNNNNNNNNNNNNNNNNNNNNNNNNNNNNNNNNNNNNNNNNNNNNNNNNNNNNNNNNNNNNNNNNNNNNNNNNUAAGUACUCUUUGGAAUGACUGGGUGUAAAGGGCAUGUAGGCGGCGGGUUGAAAAUGAAACUGUGAAAAUCAUAAAAAGUGGCGGAAUGCUCUCGAAACCAAUUCACUUAAGUGAGACAGAGGAGAGUGGGUGAUUUUCUAUUCGUCCCUAUAAACACUACUCAUCAAUCCGUGCAGGUGCACGGGCUAGAUAUACCAUCAUAGAAUCUUGUAAAUAUACUUUGUAAGCCUAUAACUUGAGACAUAAAACAUGGAACAUGCUUUUCAGUUUUUAUUUUAUAGUGGUGUUUAGUCAUCAAAUUUCAGGCAAAAUUAAAAGUGGACACGUAUAAAUUCUCAAGUUCAUUGAUCAAGCGCAUGCAGUUGUUAUGGUAUACAAAAUUGAACAUGCUGAAGACUCACAUGCAUAUUUGUAGGAAGACUAAAAAAAAUUGUAAUUAUUUCUUACAUCAUUACAUUCAAACCCACACAAAGAAAAUAGUCAAAUAAACAUCAUUUUUCUUUAAACAGAAGGAUCCAACUGACGCCAUAAAAUGUAUCUUUUCCUUAUAUUGGCCAAUUAUUGCUCAAAUAGCUGUGCAUGUGCUGUGUAAAUAAGAUUUAGAUAUGGUACAUAGAACUUUUGUUAGAUUUAGAUCAUAGCUUCAGUGUGAAUGUUGCUGCAAUGGCACAGAAGUAUGAUCGGUUUGGCAUCAUCUGCUUUGCGAUGAUCCACUCCCGUGCACAGGCUCUAUCCUACGGAUCGUCCUAUCGGACAGCUAGCAGUAUAUGUUAUGCCAAAAGCUUCUUGACCAACAUAUGUGCUAGUAAAUCUAAUUACUCUAAAUUAUGAAAAUAUAGUUAUUCCGAAUUAUGAAAAUAUAAUUACCCUAAACUAUAUAUGUACCUUAGAUCGUAGAGCCACCAUCGAACAGAACUAUAUAGGGAGUAGUUGUGCGGUAGUACUGUUGAGAUGUAGAAGUGGAAAAGCAAUAAUGCAUAACAAAAUCAUAUUCUAUCACACGCUUAGCUUAUACUAUAUAUAUUGGCACACAUUUUCUUUGCAUAUGCACCUGGUAGAUUAAACAAUGGAAGCAAACACAGUAGGGCAAACCAAUUUCAGAUUUUUAUCUGAAAUCAAAAGCCUAGAAAAGGUGAAUCUGCCGAAUAGUUCGGGCCGAAUCCUGAGGAAAGUUCAAAGCGCUGUUUGACGAGCCUACGUAGUAUUAGUUAGUUGGCCAGGUAAAGGCUGACAAGCCAAUGAUGCUUAGCUAGUCUUUUUGAAUGAUUAGCCACACUGGGACUGAGACAUGGCCCAGACUCCCAUGGGAGGCAGCAGAGGGAAUCUUGGACAAUGGGCGAAAGCCCGAUCCAGCAAUAUCGCGUGAGUGAAGAAGGUCAAUGCUCCUUGUAAAGCUCUUACGUUGAGUGCGUGAUCAUGACAUAUCUCGAGGAAGAAGUAACUCCAUGCCAGUAGCCGCGCUAAGACGGGGGGGGGGGAGGGGGCAUGUACUCUUUGGAAUGACUGGGUGUAAAGGGCAUGUAGGCGGCGGGUUGAAAGUGAAGCUACAAAAAUCAUAAAAAGUGGCGGAAUGCUCUUGAAAUGAAUUCACUUAAGUGAGAUAGAGGAGAGUGGAUGGUUUUCUAUUCGUCCGUAUAAACACUAGUCAUCAACCCGUGCAGCUGCACGGGCUAGCGACUUGAGUCUGAAAACUUUGUGUUUAAUAUACUUUGGAAAAAGAAUAAACAUUGAAUAACAUUCAUAAUUUCUAAUUAUAAGUGUAGUUUUUGAAAUCACGGUUACAUUGUUUAGCCUUUCAAGCAAUGCACAACAAUAAUUAGUGGCAAUGCACAACAAUAACAUUCAUAAUUUAUAAUUUCAACCGUGGUAUUAUAGGAGCAUACCACAUCACCUUGGCAGGAAUCUUCUUCCUGGAGCGCUCGCCCUCGACUUCUCCAGGGUCAUCGCGGCUGAUCUUAUAGCGCAAUGCACCGCAUACGGGGAACGCGUUCAAAUCCUCGUACUCACCACAGUAGAUGAUGCAGUCAUUAGGGCAUGCAUGUAUCUUCUGCACCUCUAAUCCUAGAGGGCAGACAACCUUCUUUGCUUCGUACGUACUCGGGCAAUUUGUUGUCCUUUGGAAGCAUCUUCUUUAACAUUAUCAGCAACUUUCCAAAUCCCUUGUCAGAUACACCAUUCUCUACCUUCCAUUGCAGCAAUUGUAGUGUGGUGCCCAGCUUUUUCUUGUCAGCUUCACAAUUUGGGUACAACAAUUUCUUGUGAUCCUCUAACAUGCGCUACAACUUCUUCUCCCCCUUUUCACUUGUGCAGUUUCUCUUUGCAUCAGCAAUGGCACGACCUAGAUCAUCAGCGGGCUCAUCUGAUGCCUCUUCUUCAGCUUCUUCCUGCAUUCCCGGCUCAAUUUCUUCUCCCAUUGUUGUACCAUCGUAUUCAGGGAACCCAUGGCCAGGAUAGCUAUCGUCGUCCUCUUCUUCUUCACUGUCUUCCAUCAUAACCCCUCUUUCUAUGUGCUUAGUCCAAACAUUAUAGUGGGGCAUGAAACCGGACUCAAACAGGUGGACGUGAAUGGUUCUUGACUUAGAGUAAUUCAGAUCAUUCUUACAGUUAGCACAUGGACAAGGCAUAAAACCAUCCGCCCACUUGUUUGCCUCAUCUGCAAGCAGAAACGUAUGCACACCAUUAAUGAACUGGGGAGAGCAUCGGUCAUCGUACAUCCACUGCCGGUUCAUCUUCAUUUACACAACACCGAAAAGACCAAAUUAAUACAAGUUCAUACAAAACAACAUACAAAUAACUCUGUAGCUAAAGUAUUUAAAUGCAACAACAAAUGCGAUCAAGAUCGCAAAUAAGGUAACAAUUGAUCCAACAACAUAAUGAUACCAAGCCACACUAUCGAUGGCAUAUUUUUUAAUCUUUCUAAUCUUCAAGCGCAUUUUCUCCAUCUUGAUCUUGUGAUCAUCGACGACAUCGGCAACAUGCAACUCCAAUUCCAUGUUCUCCCCCUCAAUUCUUUUCAAUUUUUCUUUCAAAUACUUGUUUUCUUUUUCAACUAAAUUUAACCUCUCGAGAAUAGGGUCGGUUGGAAUUUCCGAUUCACAUACCUCCCAGAUAAAAAUAUCUGUCAACUUGAUGGGCAUAAUUUGUCAUAAACACGAAAUGCAACAAAUAGUUAUAAAAGGGAAUAUACCACAUCCGAAUCAUAACCCGGACGAGGGCCGACGGGGACGGAUAUCAAAACCAUGACACUAUGUAUAACAAACAACAUACAUGUAAGAUAAUUAUACAAGUAACUAUAUAUCUAAAUAACAAAAACAUGAUUUUUCUUAUAUUAAAAAGAUAAGAACAAGAGACUCAUCACAAGGUGGUGCCGGCGACGGGACGGUGCGGGCGGUCGACGGUGGUUAGGACGGAGACGGGAAGGCACUAAGUAAACCACACCUACAUAUGCAAACUAAGAGUUAUUUUGACCUCAAAUUGCAUAUAAAUCAAAUAAACUACAACAUAUAUAUAAUUCCUCCCAAACUAAAAACCCACAAAUCACUAUACUUAUAGAGCAUUGCAAGAGCUAAUGUAACAAUGAGAGAUGAAAGGACAGAGUUGCUAACCUUUGUGAUCACUUGGACGGAUGGGGUGCCUUCAAAUGUUGGAAAAUUUUGGCAAAAAUGGAGGUGGGAGAUCGAGCAAGAGGGGAAGAAAACAAAGAGGAGGGGAAAAGUAGAGGGCUUCGGCUCGGACUGGAAGAAGCACUAUAUAGAGUGAUAUCUGUAGUGUUGGUUGGUUACACGAACCGAGACUACAGGUCAACUUCUAGUCUCGGUUCAUGGCAUGAACCGGUACUAUAGGUCAUGGUGCGGCUGCAGCCUGCCGCAAGCCUGCAACCACCUCUUUAGUACUGGUUUGUGGCACGAACCGGUACUAAAGGUUCGCCAUGAACUGGUAGUAAUGAGAGCAGCCCAUCUAGCCGUUGGAACCGGCAGUAAUGGUCACAUUAGUGUCGGUUCUAUUAAAAACCGGGACUAAAUAGUUGAACAUUAGGCCCUUUUUCUACUAGUGGUUACUUGACGGGCACUAUUUUUGUAAGGCAAAUGCCAAAUAAUUGGUCGGUAUUAAAUGUUGGUUGCCUAAACAAAAUAUUGUAAUUUUUUGGUCGGUGAAACAAACUCCCAUCUGACCGUCGGUCGAGAAAUGUCCAUGGCAACCCUAACUAAUUGUUGGAUGGGAAAAACACUAUUUGAUAGUCGGUCGGGAAAGGACCAUAGUAGCUCAAAUGGACUGUCGGUCGGGAAAGGUCCGUGGCAGGCCCAACAGAAUGUUGGUCACGAAAGAUAUACUAUAGCCGACAAGCAGUCGGUUCGGAAUAACAUGUCGGUCGGGAAAGGGUUUUCCUGUCUGGACUUUCCCGAAGGAUCUUUGCCGUCAGCCAGCUCACGACAAAGAAAUUUUUUGCCAUCAGCUUACAGAAAACUGACGGCAAAGAAAGAGCCAAUGACAAAGAGCAUGUUUGCCGUCCGGCAUAGCAGCCGACAAAGAGGGAGGGUGGUCCACUAAGGAGUACCACCUAACGACCACUUUCUUUGGCGUCUGCUAGCGGACGACAAAGAUUGCAGCUAAUGGCUACAUAUGGCCCACCCCACACCUCCCACUCUCCAUUUCUCUUUCUCUCUCACUCCACCGUGCCGACCCCGACCCCAACCGCCGCCGCCGCUCCCGACCCCCACCUCNNNNNNNNNNNNNNNNNNNNNNNNNNNNNNNNNNNNNNNNNNNNNNNNNNNNNNNNNNNNNNNNNNNNNNNNNNNNNNNNNNNNNNNNNNNNNNNNNNNNNNNNNNNNNNNNNNNNNNNNNNNNNNNNNNNNNNNNNNNNNNNNNNNNNNNNNNNNNNNNNNNNNNNNNNNNNNNNNNNNNNNNNNNNNNNNNNNNNNNNNNNNNNNNNNNNNNNNNNNNNNNNNNNNNNNNNNNNNNNNNNNNNNNNNNNNNNNNNNNNNNNNNNNNNNNNNNNNNNNNNNNNNNNNNNNNNNNNNNNNNNNNNNNNNNNNNNNNNNNNNNNNNNNNNNNNNNNNNNNNNNNNNNNNNNNNNNNNNNNNNNNNNNNNNNNNNNNNNNNNNNNNNNNNNNNNNNNNNNNNNNNNNNNNNNNNNNNNNNNNNNNNNNNNNNNNNNNNNNNNNNNNNNNNNNNNNNNNNNNNNNNNNNNNNNNNNNNNNNNNNNNNNNNNNNNNNNNNNNNNNNNNNNNNNNNNNNNNNNNNNNNNNNNNNNNNNNNNNNNNNNNNNNNNNNNNNNNNNNNNNNNNNNNNNNNNNNNNNNNNNNNNNNNNNNNNNNNNNNNNNNNNNNNNNNNNNNNNNNNNNNNNNNNNNNNNNNNNNNNNNNNNNNNNNNNNNNNNNNNNNNNNNNNNNNNNNNNNNNNNNNNNNNNNNNNNNNNNNNNNNNNNNNNNNNNNNNNNNNNNNNNNNNNNNNNNNNNNNNNNNNNNNNNNNNNNNNNNNNNNNNNNNNNNNNNNNNNNNNNNNNNNNNNNNNNNNNNNNNNNNNNNNNNNNNNNNNNNNNNNNNNNNNNNNNNNNNNNNNNNNNNNNNNNNNNNNNNNNNNNNNNNNNNNNNNNNNNNNNNNNNNNNNNNNNNNNNNNNNNNNNNNNNNNNNNNNNNNNNNNNNNNNNNNNNNNNNNNNNNNNNNNNNNNNNNNNNNNNNNNNNNNNNNNNNNNNNNNNNNNNNNNNNNNNNNNNNNNNNNNNNNNNNNNNNNNNNNNNNNNNNNNNNNNNNNNNNNNNNNNNNNNNNNNNNNNNNNNNNNNNNNNNNNNNNNNNNNNNNNNNNNNNNNNNNNNNNNNNNNNNNNNGAUCCCCGAAACGACACUCGAGACCCCGACACGGCACCCCCAACCUCGACACAGCACCCCGACCCUAACAUGACACCCCCGACACCCCGACCCCCAGAGGCCGACGGGGUCAUAUAUUUCUGAAUUAUGAGUUAGGUCAGGUAUUCAAUUAUUAUUAUGUAUAUAUACAUAUAUAUUAUUAUUAAUUAGUUCAUGUUAUUAGGUAUUCAAUUUUUUAUUAUGUUCAUGAUGAUGAUACACACUUAAUUUUUUUAUUAUGUUUAUGUUGUACUAACUUCAUUUACUCUUUGUCAUUGUAGGUGUUGACAGAUGGUGGGCGCGGGUCGAGAGCGCUCCGAGCCUCCUUCUUCGGAGCGUGCUAGGAGGUGUGUUGUUAUUCACUCCAGCACCUACGGAGAGCGCUGAUAGACAGCACACAGACACUAGCGGGCGCUUCUUCUUCGACCGAGAGAGGUCGGGGGAAGACGAAGAGGGGUACAGCUAGAGGUGGACGUGGCGGCGGGAUAGGUAGGAAGGCUGCUACGCCUUCCUCGCCGCCACCCCAGCUGAUUCUUUGGACCACUGUAGUGCUUCGUCCUAGGUGGACCCGUCUGACUUGGACCCUUCUCGGACUCCGGUCCACAAGCCUCGGGCCAACGAGCCUACAUCCGACGAGACUCGGGUCCUAGAGUCUUCGUCCUAGGAGACUCGGGUCCCAGAGUCUUCGUCCCGCGUGACUCCGGAGACUAGUGGCCAUGCUGAUGGUGGCGAGGACACCUUGUCUGACGAUAGCUACAAUGAUGGCGAGCUAGUUGAGGGGGGCAAGAAGUUCUACCAGCGUGGUGGUACAGAUCUCCCAUCCGUGUCGGCGACCCGCGACCAGAGGUGGUUGAUUGAGCCUAAAGGGGAGAAGUAAGUGCAUUUACUCCUUUAUAACCUUUUGCCUUCAUGUUUCUUCAAAUUAAUAUCUAAUGUGUUGGCCUUGUCAUACUGCAGGGGUUGGAUACGUGCCUCUGAUGUCCGCAGGCCCAACCAGGUCCUUGGUGUGAUUUGCCGGCACCACUUCCCGGGAUGGGUCACAUUGCCCGAUGAGGGUGAGGUUCCAUAGCUAGCACUGACCUGGGAGCUGCACAAGGCUGCCCCGGCCCCGCCGAGGGAGAUGGUCGACGGUGUCAUGUGCGAGACGGUGGCCGACAUUGUGAGACGACGGUUUUGGGUAAUUUCUCCUUUAAAUUAAAAAUCAACAAUACUUAGUGAUUGUACUAAUCAGUGUUGUCUUGUUUGAUUGCAGACCUUCUACAGGUGUCUUGAGGAACACGAGGCAGACACGGAGGCAAACAGGUAGUUGACGCAGAGGGAGAGGGAGUUGGAGGAGAGGACAGCUAGUAUGUUGGAGGCGGAGAGGAACCGGAACGACGCGGGUCACCGGGCCUUAUACGAGCUCCUCGUGGUAAGUUUCUCCUGCAUAUUAGCCAAAUCAUGUACGUAAUGUUCGUUUCAUUACUAGCUAAUAUGACUGACUCGUGAAAACAAAAUGUGCAGUCCGUUUGCGAGAAAAACGACCAGACCCCUCAGCCGAUGCACCAGCACUAGUGCAGAACCGGGCUAUAGCACUUGUUCGUAAGGGCCUUUAGUCCCGGUUCUGUAACCAGCACUAAAGGGUGGAGACUAAAGGCCCCCCUUAGUACCGCUUCUGCACGAACCGGGGCCAAAGGCCCACCAUGUGGCACAAUCUCGCGUGGUGAUCUGGGGGAUCUUUAGUACCGGUUGGUAACACCAACCGGUACUAAAGGAUUUUUUAUUUUUGAUUUUAUUUUUUUCGAAAAAAUUGAAUAUUUUUUCCGAUUUUCAAAUUUCUGAAUUAUUUGAUGAUUUUGUCUCUAAUCACCGCUCAUCAUUGCUGCAAUCACCCCUCAUCAAUCCAAAUCGUCUAACUUCCUGGCCAGUCACCCAUCCUCUCACUACUCCAGCCUGAGCACGCUUAACUUCCGAGUUCUAAGUCUGCAUGUGUUGUUUACCUGAUAAUAGUAAGUUGUCAAUCCUAUUAACCCUCAGGAAUUUAGCUUGAACAUGAAGUCACAUGUUUCACCUUUUUAGUUUGAAACUAUUAUUCUGAAAAAUAAUUAUUAGUAACCGAGAUACUUCUUGAAUAAGUAGUCUGACCACAGUUUGACCAUAGUUUGACCAAAAGUCAAAAAAACUAAAAUAACUAUUUAUUAACACUAAUAUUUCUUGAAUAAUUAGUUUGACCAUAGUUUGACCACAAUUCGACCAGAAUUAAGAAUUUUUUUAAAAAAAAACUGAAAUUGGAGCAAAUCUUUUUUUCCUUUUAGAAUUUGAGGAUUCUAAAAAAUUGCAAACAAGCAGUAGGUGGUCAAAAUUGGAUGCGGAUUUUCGUGCUGAUUUUUUUGAUAUAUUAUGCAUUUUUUUACAUCGUAUGCAAAAGAUAUGGCCGUUUUACAUUUUCAUAACACUUUUUUUGCAAAGCAUGUCCAAAUUUAAGUUUUUUAAUUUUCCUAACUAGUAGAUUUAGUAACAUAACUACAUCUCGAACGAUUUUACUUUUUGAAGUUUUUAUCAUUUUCUUUUGCUUUUUACAAAAUUGAAAAGGUGGUCUGGGGGGGGGUAGAGUUUGAAAAUGGGUCCUUUAGUCUCGGUUUGUGUCUCCAACCGAGACUAUAGGUCAGACCCCUUUAGUCCCGGUUCGUGGCACAAACCGGUACUAAAGGUUAGCCCUGUAGUACCGGUUUGUNNNNNNNNNNNNNNNNNNNNNNNNNNNNNNNNNNNNNNNNNNNNNNNNNNNNNNNNNNNNNNNNNNNNNNNNNNNNNNNNNNNNNNNNNNNNNNNNNNNNNNNNNNNNNNNNNNNNNNNNNNNNNNNNNNNNNNNNNNNNNNNNNNNNNNNNNNNNNNNNNNNNNNNNNNNNNNNNNNNNNNNNNNNNNNNNNNNNNNNNNNNNNNNNNNNNNNNNNNNNNNNNNNNNNNNNNNNNNNNNNNNNNNNNNNNNNNNNNNNNNNNNNNNNNNNNNNNNNNNNNNNNNNNNNNNNNNNNNNNNNNNNNNNNNNNNNNNNNNNNNNNNNNGCCACGAACCGGGACUAAAGGGGCUCGUGGGGCCCCGCUUGACGCCAGCCUGCCACCACCCCUUUAGUACCGGUUCAACACGAACCGGCAUUAAUGCAUAGCCGUUUGAACCGGGACUAAUGGUACCAUUAGUACUGGGCCAACAUUGAACCGAGACUAAUGUGUCUCACAUUAGGUCCUUUUUCUACUAGUGCAGAUUGGUAUAGCGGACGCGGUGAGUUUCAUUUGAAUGGUCAUUAGUUACUAGUAUUCACAUUUCAGUUGCAUCAUGCUAACUAGACAUUGCAAAUGAUCUUUGGUGCAGCAUGCCUCCCGGCAAGCAUCGACCGAUCCUUCUUCAUCUCAAACUAGCGCAACCCCGACCAGUCCUUCUCCGCCUGGCACUGGCGCAAGCCAAACCGUUCCUUCACCUCCAUGAUGAUGGUAAGUGUUUUGCUUAACAAAUGCAUACUUAGCUUAAGAAAUGACCUACUUAGCUCCAAAAUGACCUAUACUUAUCUUAUUUUCCUCAAAAAUGACAUAAUAACCUUACUUAGCUCCAAACUGACAUAUUCUACCUAGGAUAGCUAUAAAAUGACCUAUACUUAGCAUUUUUUUCCUCCAAAAUGACUUGAUAUGCUUAGUUAGCUAGAAAAUGGCAUAACUACCUAGGAUAGCUCAAUAAUGAUCUACAGCUAGCUUAGCUAGUUCAUUUAUGACAUAAUUAGCUCACUUAGGUAAAAAAUGGCAUAACUACCUAGGAUAGCUGAAUAAUGAUCUAUAAUUAGCUUAGCUAGUUCAUUUAUGCCAUAGUUAGCUCACUUAGGUAAAAAAUGGCACAACAACCUUGGUUUAGCUCCCAAAUGACCUAUACUUAGCUUAUUUCCUUGAAAAUGACAUAACAACCUUACUUAGCUCUGAACUGACAUACUUUACCUAGGAUAGCUAUAAAAUGGCCUAUACUUAGCAUUUUUUUACUCCUAAAUGACUUAUUAUGCUUAGUUAGCUAAAAAUGUCACAACUACUUAGGUCAGCUCCAAACUGGCCUACACUUACCAUUUUGUCCUCCAAAAUGAAUAAAUUUGCUUAGUUAGCUCAAAAAUGGCAUAACUACCUAGGUUAGCUCCAAAGUGACCUAUUUACCUAGCUUAGCUCUAAAAUGACCUACACACUUAGCAUUGUUAGCUAGCUAAAGCUAAAAAUGGCAUUUUUACCUACCUUAGUUAGAAUAAGAAGAAGAUAAAGAAGAGGAGAGGAGAAAAAGAAUGAGAAGAUGAAUUCUUCUUUUUCUUCUUCUUCUUCUUUUUCUUCUUCUUUUUCUUCCUUUUCUUCUAGCUAGUCUUCUUCUUCUUCUUCUAACUUUCAUCUUUCCUAAUUUGUAGAUUUGCUUUAGAUGAGGAAGCUUGCAUUGAUGGAGUGUACUCUUCUACUUGUGCUUCCUUUUUGUUUAUGGAAACUUGUUUUGGAUAUGUAUGUAUAUAUGGAUAUGUUGUUGGAAGCCAUUGUAUGGUGGAUAUGUUGUUGGAAACUUGUAUGUUGGAUAUGUUGUUGGAAACUUAUUGUUGGUAUGCUUGUUGAAAUUAUUUUGAAAUGUGUGUGUAUAUAUAUAUAUAUAUCUGUGAAAUUCUGUCAAACUGAAUGAAUUUAAGAAAAAACAGAAAAAACAGGGGCUAUACAGUCUCUUUGUCGUCUGCUGGCAUAUGGCAAAGAGCUUUGCCAUCUGCCGGCAAAGCUGCCACAUGGCAGCUACCUGUGCAACUUGGGGUGCUCUGGGCUGACCUAUUUGGCAGCUUUGCCAUCAGCGGCAGAUGGCAAAGACCUUUGCAUCUUUGCCAUCCGCUAGCAGAUGGCAAAGAUGCAAAGGCCUUUGUCGUCUGCCAGCUGACGGCAAAGCACACCCUUAACCCCUUAACGGACCUAAGCUGCCACGUGUGGUGUCCAGGCUCUUUGCCGUCUGCCAGUAUACGGCAAAGAGGGCUUUGCCGUAGCUUAUUUAGCCGGACCUGUUGCCAUUUGUUGGCUGAUGGCAAAGGCCUUUGCCAUACUCCAGGCAUGCCUUUAUCGUCAUCCAUGGCUGACCGCAAAGUGCCUGAUUCCUUUAGUGUUGGCACAACUUGUAUUCCCGACCAAUCUGGCUUUUGGGGAUGUAGUGCAGUGGUGUACUGAAUGCAGUGUCGUGGUGUAGUGCGGGAAAGUUAAGAAAAAAAUGGACACAUGCAAGGCUAGCACCAUGAUGAACACUACUGAGGUAGAGGAGAUGAUGAAGAAGUUGGGGAUCACGGAGGAUGACUUUGAUGAUGUGGUAGUAGAGGAAGAGGAGGAGCUCCCUGCUGAAGCAAUCCAGUGGAUGGCAAUCAUGCGAGUGCACAUAGAGAAAACUUAUGCUCAGUACUGGUUUUCAGAAACAUGAGGGUGGCUUGGGACUUGGCGAAAGAGGUGAAGAUCUGGCUACUCAACAAUAAUAUGUACAUGCUGCAAUUUUCUUGUUUAGGCGACUAGGAGGGAGUCAUGGACGAUGGGCUCUGGACUUACCGAGGCAACACGGUGCUUUUGGCAUCGCAUGAUGGAUUCACUAAACCAUCAACCAUAGCCUUGGACACAAUUGAGAUGCGGAUCCAAUUCAUGAUCUACCAGAUAGCUACCCCUACCCCCAAUUGAGCCUGGCGCUUGCUAGACCAUCCCGGUUCUCUGAGUUCCAUUGAUCUUAAAAGUUCUAAACUAUCCAAAUAACCCUCUUUCCGAUGCAACCUUGGGACCACAUCCAUCACAUAUAUGGCCGACUAUUUUCCAUGGGAAAGACAUAAUGACUUAGGGUUUGAUAAGGAGAAUAGGAGACGGAGAAUCCCCUGAUAUUUGGAACAAUAAUAGGAUAACUAGAGAGCAUAUAAAGAGGCCGAGAACUUCACAAACACCACAGCCACCGACAAGCGUCGCUGAACACAUUGAUCACACUGUGUCAUCAAGGGCUGAACAACUUAUUCAAUCGAUACUUAUUCCCAUUGAUGCCGAGACUAUAUUGAAGAACCCUCUUUGCACGAGACAAAUAUCUUAUUUUUGGUCUUGGAUUGAGGAUAGAAGGGGCAUGUUCACUGGGCAUUCUGCUUACAAGAUGAUACAGUGAACCAAGAUCAGUAGAGAAUCAUGGCUGUAUGAGCAGGGUGGCCGAUCAAACUCAGAGGCUGAUUGUCAAGGAUGGAUAGACUUAUGGCAUAUAAAAGCCCCCCGAAAAUCAAGGUGUUCAUGUGAAUGUUAGCACAAUACUCACAAUGUCCUUCUUCAUCAUAGAAACAUGUCGAUGACGAGUGCUUGUUGUUUGUGCAGGUCUAACGAUAUGUGCAGGCACGCCCUGCUGAAUUGCUUGGUUUCAAGGAGCACUGAGCACUAUCAUACGAGCAAAUUGUCGAGCUAUUGAGUCUGAAUGUAAAUGAUGACGCCAAACAGUGGCUAUUCACCAUGCAUGAGGUUUUAUCACAUGCGGACGAUUUUAUCAUGUUUACGAUCACUUUUGUGGACGAUAUGGGGAGCUCGGCACAAAGCUAUACAUGAGGAGAUAUAUAAAAGCCCUUUCACUUUUCAGGCUUUUGUGCAGAGUUACUUAACUGAGCUGAGAGCUACCCAAAGCACUCGAAGUCCAGUUCCAGGGGCACCCGUGAUUAGGCCAAGUCAAUGUAUUGCUCCUCGGGAUGAUAUGGUGAAGGUCAAUGUGGAUGCUGCGGUUGGACCAGGCGACACUCGAGGCGCAAUGGGAGCUAUAUGCAGAGAUCAAGCAUGUAAUUUUCUAGGUGUGUCGGCCAUUGUGUUUCCACAUAUAUCAGAUCUUGUUACUGUCGAAUCUUCAGCAAUCAGGGUGGCACUUGCACUUGGUGAUAAUCUCUAUGAGAGGAAGAUUCAGGUGGCUUCAGAUUGCAAGGUGGUGUUGCAGAUAUACAUCAGAAGAGCGCAGCUAUCUACAGAGCAAUCAUAACUGAGAUCAUAGAUCAGAAGGCUACUUUUACUAAUUGUACAUUAGCAAUAAAUUUAGGAGCUUGAAUGUUGAAGCUCACAAACUCGUGAAGCAUGCCUUAUCCCUAGGGGUUGACCGCCAUGUUUGGUUAGGUAACCCCAUAGCUAAAGUUGUCUCGCCUUGCUUCAAAACUACUGGGCGUGCGCUGUGGUUUUGACCUAAAGCCUCCGUUUGCUGGAAUUAAUUGGAAUAGUUGAGAAGAAAGUGACCAACGGAUGCGUAAUGCGUGGAAAGCUGCUGGAUAGUUCGGGCCGAAUCCUGAAGAAAGUUCAAAGCGCUGUUUGCUGAGCCUACGUAGUAUUAGUUCGUUGGUCAGGUAAAGGUUGGCAAGCCAAUGAUGCUUAGCUGGUCUUUUUAAAUGUUUAGCCACACUGGACUGAGACAUGGCCUAGACUCCCAUGGGGGGCAGCAGAGGGGAAUCUUGGACAAUGGGCGAAAGCCCGAUCCAGCAAUAUCGCGUGAGUGAAGAAGGUCAAUGCUCCUUGUAAAGCUCUUACGUUGAGUGCGCGAUCAUGACAUAUCUCGAGGAAGAAGCCCAGGCUAACUCCGUGCCAGCAGCCGCGCUAAGACGGGGGUGGGGGGGUGGGGGGUGGGGGGAAGUACUCUUUGGAAUGACUGGGUGUAAAGGGCAUGUAGGCGGCGGGGUUGAAAAUGAAACUGUGAAAAUCAUAAUAAGUGGCGGAAUGCUCUUGAAACCAAUUCACUUAAGUGAGACAGAGGAGAGUGGGUGGUUUUCUAUUCGUCCCUAUAAACACUAAUCAUCAACCCGUGCACCUGCACGGGCUAGAUAUACCAUCAUAGAAUCUUGUAAAUAUACUUUGUAAGCCUAUAACUGGAAACAUAAAACAUGGAACAUGUUUUUCAGUUUUUAUUUUAUAGUGGUGUUUAGUCUUCAAAUUUCAGGCAGAAUUAGAAGUGGACACGUAUGAAUUCUCAAGUUCAUUGAUCAAGCGCAUGCAGUUGUUAUGGUAUACAAAAUCGAACAUGUUGAGGACUCACAUGCAUAUUUGUAGGAAAAACUAAAAAAAAAUUGUAAUUAUUUCUUACAUCAUUACAUUCAAACCCACACAAAGAAAAUACUCAAAUAAACAUCAUUUUUCUUUAAACAGAAGGAUCCAACUGACGCCAUAAAAUGUACCUUUUCCUUAUAUUGGCCAAUUAUUGCUCAAAUAGCUGUGCAUGUGCUGUGUAAAUAAGAUUUAGAUAUGGUACAUAGAACUUUUGUUAGAUUUAGAUCAUAGCUUCAGUGUGAAUGUUGCUGCAAUGGCACAGAAGUAUGAUCGGUUUGGCAUCGUCUGCUUUGCGAUGAUCCACUCCCGUGCACAGGCUCUAUCCUACGGAUCGUCCUAUGAGACAGCUAGCAGUAUAUGUCAUGCCAAAAGCUUCUUGACCAACAUAUGCGCUAGUAAAUCUAAUUACUCUAAAUUAUGAAAAUAUAGUUAUUCUGAAUUAUGAAAAUAUAAUUACCCUAAACUAUAUAUGUACCUUAGAUCGUAGAGGCCACCAUCGAACAGAACUAUAUAGGGAGUAGUUGUGCGGUAGUACUGUUGAGAUGUAGAAGUGGAAAAGCAAUAAUGCAUAACAAAAUCAUAUUCUAUCACACGCUUAUCUUAUACUAUAUAUAUUGGCACACAUUUUCUUUGCAUAUGCACCUGGUAGAUUAAACAAUGGAAGCAAACACAGUAGGGCAAACCAAUUUCAGAUUUUUAUCUCAAAUCAAAAGCCUAGAAAGGGUGAUCCAGGAAAAACAUUAAUCGCUGCAUUGUUGAGAGUCUCAUAUUUCAAUUUCACCAUCCAAUCUCAUAGAAAAAUGUAGGCAGCCGGUGAGGAAUCAGCAGAUGGUUGCCAUGUGCUUCUCGAUAUUUCUUUUCCCUAAUCACCAAAGAACACAUAGGCGAGCCCAGCAGUAACUUGAUAUACAGGAGGCUUCUUUGGUUUGCACCAGUGUAACACGAAAGAACAGAUACGCAGCCGUGAAAGUCGCUGGCUGCAUGAUGGAAGACGCCAACCACAUAUCGUUGAUAUUGAAGGCAACGCUUGAAUAUCUUUUUUGACCUCUUCGUUCACCAUAACCUUUCAUAGUGGGAUCCAUCUUUCUUAAGCUUUGACACUUGGAAAUAAUACUUACCAGCAUAUUAAUCAAACCUUGCUGCAUCCACCGAUUUUUUUCCAACUCAUGCAUGUGAAACCAUGGAUAUUUCAUCAGCAAAAAGUACGAAAAAGGACACAAGUAUGCACUAUUAAUUAUGUCUGUGCUCAGACGUACCGCUCUCCUGUAGUAUCCACAAAAGGAAAACCAAGAUUUUCAGUUCUCACGCGCCUGACAAACAUCAUCUAUCUUCUGCUUGCAAUCUUUCCUGAUGAUACAUCAUGUCUGUUGGGGGUAAUAUGAAUUCAAAAGGAUGGAAAAAAGACCUGGGAAGAGGGCAAUUAGGGAUACUGUGCUAAAUUGGGACAGGAGAGGAGAGCAUUAUGCCCUUGAAUGGAAUCCAUGAUGCGAAACGUUGUGCCGCCAUAGCGAUGAUGGCCACAACCAUACUUGCUUCAAAGAGGAACAUCAGUACUGUACCUCCUCCAAAGCCUCGAGCAAGCAACACAAUAUUGUACAGGAGGCCCCAUGCCAGCGGUAGGGGCCGAUCGCCGUUCAAUGCCUGCAGAGGGCCUCUCAUCCUUCUAGUACUGAAUAUGCUAGCAGUCGACUAAAAUAGAUGAUUGAGCUGAUACUGUUAUCAUUGCCAUCUGUAAUCGAUAUUGAAUACCUCCUCUUGCAUGCUAGAUCUAAACAUAAAAUUUAGCUCAACUGUACACAUCUGUUUUGACUCGACAGUAAGGAACCAUAAUAUUGGAACCCUGAGGAACAAAGCAACGGAUGAGUACUUGACAACAAUUUAGCUCAAGUGUACAGCUAAAAAUUUAAUUCUGAAGGACAAAAUUGGUUGCGACAAAAGCAGUCACUUGACAACAAUUAUCACAUUUGUCUAUGAAUAUUUGAACCUAUGGUCUUUGUUGCGCCCUGGUCGGAUGGAUUAAAAAACGCAACCAUCUAGUACAUAGGGAGAUUGUGCAUAGUUCUUACCUCCAAUAAUCUAAUCAAGGCAGUAGAGGAGGAUUAUGUGCCCUGUGUAAGAGGAACACGCAUCAAUCUGGAGUAGGAUCCAGGAGGCCAUUAUUGAACCAAUUUUCACAUAUCACCAGCUAAUGAAAAAUAAUCUACAAAUAGUAACUCUCAUCGAGUGGAAAUAAUAUCAUGCAUGGUACUUAAGCCAGCCGUACCUGAAACUUGAUGAAUCUAAUAUUUGUUCAAGGAAGUGUCUCAUGGCCUUUAACUAAAACUAACAAUUUACAGUUGACAGUGAUCUAGUUUCAUGAAACUAUAAUUAUUAGAAGUCACCAGAUGUCUGCCUCUCUUCGAUUUCUGCAAGUAGCACCUAGGUGAGCUCACCAAAGCACCCCAUGUUGCUCUAAGUAGGUAGAAAUUUGGCAGAUACACAAAUAUUAGUACGGUAUCCAUUAAUUCUAAUAAUUUAUAAAGAAGGACACUCCUCUAGCUUCUUAUGUGUGUGUGUGUGUGUGUGUGUGUGUGUUUGGUGCUGUGUAUUUCGAUGUGAGAUCAGUAAUUCCAACUCCCUACAAUUAAGAUAUGAAUAGUCAGUGGAAACUUACCAUUGGGAACCAUGGCUUGGGGAGCAUGUUCAAACCUGCAAGUUGCUGCUCUCAAUCUAUUGCCCAUGUAUAUGGAUGAUUAUUAAUCUGCUCAUAUGUUUACACCUCCAGACGUUGCCACUGCAGGGAUUACUAACAUGAACACAACCAUCAUCGCCAUUAAGUUAGCAACAUAGAUCAACAUACUUGUCGCCAUGGCGGGUAGGAAAAGUUUCACGUGUGAUGUUCUCUAUUGCUAUCACGUAAUCCUUGUAACUAACAGUCAAACGACAUGCUAGGCAAUCACAAAGGGAAACGUUUCUGGCCUGGGCACCGGCCGAACCUUCGGCCGGUCGCGAGCCACGCUGGCGCCCCGCGCCCGCCCAAGCUGCGCCCCGCGCGAGACUCCUGUUAUUGUUGGGCCCCACGUGGACCACCCCUCCUCCCUUUUUUAUCUUUCCCCUAACUGCUGCCUUCAUCCCCUACCUCCAGACACAUCCUUUCCCGUGGCCAUUUUUCUUCUUCCUUUUCCCUGCGCUGCUGCCUACCGGCGGCCGCUGCCGGCUGUGUGCUUCGCCGAGCCAAGGGGACUACCCGACUGCUGCCAGUCCUCCUCCUCCGCACAUCUUAUCCCCCAAAACAUCUCUCCUUCUCUCUCAAAUAAGCCAUGUUUCAAGAUGAGACAAGGUCUGGGAAGGAGGCUGCAACCAGUGCCCGGGGAGCCUGCGACCGGCCAUGAGACGGCGAGCAUGGUGACCUCAGGACGGCGAGGAUAGGGUAACACUCCUCCAAGAAAACAAUCGAUGUCGUUAUUUUUGCUACAUGCUUCAACCGGCGUCGGAAUUUGCUACAAACGGCAUCGCAUACUGCUGCCACUGGUGUCACAUUUUGCUGCAAUGCACAAUUGACCUCGCGUUUUUGCUAGAAUACAUGUCGCUUUUUGCUACAACCGUUUUCAUUUUUUGCUACAUAUGUUCAGGCUGAGCUGUGACCCGAUGACGUCGGCGAUGCCUUUUUUGCUGCAACCGUAAUAGAUUUUUGGUACAUCUAGCAACAAUUUUUUCUACAUCCAUUCUUUUUUUGCCAGCGACGAUACAAUGGUGAGAUACAGCCGCCAACGACGAUGACAAGCUUUUUCGCCGAAUAAGCUGCAACGGGCAUCGUCAAAAGCUGGAACCGGCCAUCAGCAGAGCUGCAUCUACUGUGGGUGGUGCCCCGGCAACCAUAUCGGGCACCUCUCGUGGAGCUCGACGCCCAUGGCCAUGGCGACAGCCCUCGCGGAGCUCGACGGCCAUGGCCAUGGCAGCACCCCUCGUGGAGCUCGAUGCCGAUGGCCAUGGCAGCACCCCUCGCGGAGCUUGACGCCAAUGGCCACGGCAGCAUCCCUUGCGGAGCUCGACUCCCAUGGCCAUGGCGUGCCCUAGCAGCCACGGUGGCAUCCCUCGAGUGGAGCUCGACGAACAUGGCCGUCGUGUCCAUCACUAGGCGGGGAAUCAUGCAUCUCGCGGGUCACAGGGGGAGCGCGCGUCCCGCGCGAGGAAGGAGACGAGUUUGGGGGAGAAUCGAAUGGUUAGAGGCAUGCAAAUCGUACGGCUACCGAGCGACCGACCGAACUUUCAGCCGGUGCGCCGGCGCCUAUCGUUACCCAAUCACAAAAGACAAUCUGGAGGAAGGCAACCGCUUGCACUGCUGGGGAGAGGGUCUAGAAAAUAUAGAACUUUCCCCAAAAUAAGAAUUUCCUGUAAAAAACAGAGCAGGAGCAGAUGAUGAACCGCGCUGGCAUAUACCUGCCUUUACCUUCUGGCAUGUGUGCCCUCCUUCAAACUACCAUGGAUACACAUCCACAUAUGCAUAGGCCAUCUAGGAUUCGGAAACCUGAAAUAAAAGGAUAUUGUUAGUCUAAUAUGUCACGUUUCGUGACAUAUCUCCUAAUCCCCUAAAUCGAGGAGAAUCGAUAUUGUUGUGAUCUCCCAUUUAUGGUUAGGAUUGUAAAUCUGUCUAUAUAUUGACAUGCAAUGGAAAAGCCGAAGUGUGGCAACAAUUCCUAAAUCUUUCAUGGUAUCAGCCUAAGAAAAUCCUCUCGCUUCCGCUCCCUCCAACCCUAGCGCCGUCGACCCUGUUCCCACGCCGCCGGCCAACACCUCCCUCCCCUCCCCUCCCAUGACGCCCUCCGAACCGCCUGCUCCCCAUCCCAACGCCGCCCUCUGGGUGCAGGCCACCGCCAUCCCAAGCGUCCGCUCUCUCGUCCCCAUCGUCCUCGAGUUCAAGAGCGCCGUCUUCCCCAAGUGGAGGACCUUAUUCAACAUCGCUGUCACCACCUACGCCCUUGAGGACCACCUCACCGCCGAGACGCCCUCCACCGAUCCAACAUGGCGCCGCCUCGACGUCUUGGUGCUCCGCUGGCUCUACGGCUCCAUGGCCAUGGACAUCGUCGACGUCGUCAUGCCCACCGACCCUGCCACCACCACGGCCUACAAGUUCUGGACCUCCGUCCUCGCUCUCUUCAACGACAACCAAAAGAGCCGCGAGAUUUAUCUCGCCGAGGAGUUCCACAACAUCAAGCAGGAGGAUCGGUCCAUCACCUAGUACCUUCACCUGCAAAAGACGGUGGCUGACGCUCUUGCCGAGGUCGGUGCCCCCGUAUCCGACCCCGAGCUCGUCACCAACGUCAUCAAGGGCCUUCACGAGCGCUUCGACAGCGUUGCCGACAUCGCCCCCUCCUCACGCUGUUCCCUACCUGCCUCAACUUCCACAACAUGCUGCUGCUCCACGAGAUGAAGACUUCCCGGCGCUCCACCAACACCUUAGCCUCCGCCUUCUACACCGCCAAAGGACCAGUCCCUGCUCCUCCCAGCGGCGGUGGGUCGUCCUCCGGCGGCGGUGCUCCUCCAAUGCCCACUCCGUUCAACCCUUGGACAGGAGCCAUCCAGAUGUGGCCCAUGCAGUCGCACCCCAACAGCACCGGCGACAUCCUUGGACGGGGUCUGGGAUCACGCGCCCACGCCUACAUGGCCGCUCCCCCGGCUUCUCUCGGCGCGCCCUACGGUGGCCAUAGCGCAACUCCGUUCGGUGCCGUGCUGCCCUACGCCACAACACCGACGCCGGCACCAUCAUGGGACACCGCCGCUCUCGCUCAACAGUUCACCAACAUGACGUUCAUCAACCCUCUCCUGAGUGGGUCAUGGAUAGCGGCGCGACCGCCCACCUCUCCUCCGAUGCCGGUAUCUUAUCAUCUCUUUCUCCCCAUCCUAUAUAUCGUCACGUGGUGGUCGGCGACGGUUCCACCGUUCCCGUCACCACAUCCGGUCAUUCCUCCCUUCCCUCCCUCUUUCCCAAUAGACCUCUUCACUUACGUCAUGUCUUAGUCACACCUGACAUUAUCAAAAACCUUAUUUCCGUUCGUCAAUUCACUACUGAUAAUCAUUGCAUCGUCGCUUUUGACCCUUUUGGUUUCUCUGUGAAGGACCUUCAUUCCCGGCGCGAGAUCCUUCGGUGCAAUAGUAUAUGGGAGCUCUACACGUUCACAUGUCCUCCGCCUCCUCGCACCCUCGCCACGCUCACCGCCCCUCAUGACCUGUGGCACCGUCGCCUCGGUCACCCCGGCCAUGAUGCCUAUAGUCGCCUCUCGCAACAUAUUUAUCUUCCUUGUAUUAGACAAAUAAAUCAAACCACUUUAUGUCAUGCUUGUCAACUAGGAUGUCAUGUACGUUUACCUUUUUCCUCUUCCACUACUCGUACAACUCGUCCAUUCGAGUUAGUCCAUUGUGAUCUUUGGACUUCACCGAUCUUGAGUGUUUCUGGCGAUAAAUAUUUUUUAGUCAUUCUUGAUGAUUUCACUCAUUUUCUAUGGACUGUUCUGCUUCACCAAAAAUCUGAUGCUUACGCCUCGCUCUCCGCUUUUCGCGCGUUCGCUCACACUCAGUUUGGCUUAUCUCUCGUGUCCAUAGAAUGUGACAACGGUCGUGAGUUCGACAAUAACAAACUUCACUCUCUCGCCGCCACGCACAACAUUCACAUUCGCUUCUCUUGCCCAUACACAUCCCAACAAAAUGGUAAAGUUGAAUGCAUUAUUCGCACUGUCAAUGACAUUGUGCGUUCUCUCUUAUUUGAGGCUAGCCUACCACCUCGUUAUUGGGCCGAAGCACUUCACACCGCCACUCACGUCCUUAACCAUCUUCCUACAAAAACAAUUAGCGGCCCCUCUCCAUACUUUGCCCUUCACAACGCCCAUCCCGAUUACUCGUCACUACGCGUCUUCGGCUGCCUAUGCUAUCCCAACACCGCCUCCACUAUGCCACAUAAAUUGUCGCCGCGUUCGAGUGCUUGCGUUUUUAUUGGCUAUUCCUCUCAUCAUAAGGGAUAUCGGUGCAUGGACCUCACUACCCACCACAUCAUCAUCUCUCGUCACGUCGCAUUCGAUAAGAUGACCUUUCCCUUUGCCUCCCCACAGCCUACCAACGCCGCCACGUACGACUUUCUCACCGCCGACGACAACCUACCCAUAGUUGUCCCACCCCUUCCGAUUACUACCCCUCCACCCACCCCACCACCCUCCCUCCUCCCGCCCCUCCCUCACCACCUGCACCACCCUCACCACCUGGACCUCCCUCACUGGGCGCCCCUCCUGCAAACACUCAUCGCACGCGCAACACCUCCGGCAUCCACAAGGGGCCUCGCGAGCGGCUUAACCUGCAUGUUUCGUCUGUCAGCAGGUACUCACCGGUUCCCACCUCCGCCUGUGCAGCUCUCAAGGAUCCCAACUGGCUCGAUGCUAUGACUGCGGAGUACCGCGCUCUCCUCAACAACAACACUUGGGAUCAUGUGCCUCCUCCUCGGGAUGCUAACAACGUCUCCGGCAAGUGGGUUUUUUGCCACAAGCUCAAGCCCAAUGGCUCCCUCGAUCGCUAUAAAGCUCAUUGGGUGCUUCGAGGUUUCUCUCAGGAGCCAGGUGUCGACUUCGACGAGACAUUCAGCCCGUUUGUCAAACCAGCCACCGUGCGUGUCAUCUUCUCCAUCGCGCUCUCUCUUAAUUGGGAGACUCGUCUGAUCGACAUCAAGAACGCCUUUCUGCAUGGCACUCUUGCUGAGGUUGUCUACUGUCGUCAACCCACUGGCUUCAUCGACUCCAGUUGCCCCGACCACGUCUGUCGGCUGAACCGUUCACUCUACGGUCUCAAGCAGGCUCCUCGUGCGUGGUACCAACGCUUCACUGCUUUCACCACUUCAACCGGCUUCAUAUGCUCACGCUCAGACACUUCGUUCUUCGUCCUCCGGUGUGCAGAAGGCACGGCCUUCCUCCUACUCUAUGUGGACGACAUCAUCCUCACCGCCUCGUCGACUCGCUUGCUCGACAUGAUCACGUCCUCUCUCCAUGCCGAGUUCGCCAUGACGGACAUGGGCAUCCUCCACUACUUCCUCGGCAUCGCGGUUACCCGCGACUCCUCCGGCAUGCAUCUUUUGCAAGCUAAGUACGCCACGGAGAUUCUGGACAGGGCCGACAUGACUGCUUGCAAGUCGGCCACGACACCUGUUGAUACAUCACCGAAGCUCGCUGUUACUGCCAGUCCUUCAGUGGCCGAUCCCACGGAGUACCGGAGUCUUGUCGGCGCUCUCCAUACCUCACUUUUAUGUGCCCAGACAUCGUGUAUGUCAUUCAACAUGUUUGCCUUCAUAUGCACGACCCGCGUGAGCAACACCUCGCCGCCAUCAAGCGCAUCUUGCACUACGUCAAGGGCACGCUCUCUCAUGGCCUUCAGCUCUACUCGACUUCACCAAGCUCCAUGAUCGCCUACACCGAUGCCGACUGGGCCGGCUGCCCCGACACUCGGCGGUCAACGUCAGGAUUCUGUGUUUACUUUGGAGAUAACCUCAUCUCUUGGUCCUCCAAGCGGCAACACACAGUCUCGCGUUCGAGUGCUGAAGCCGAGUACCGUGCCGUGGCAAACGCCGUGGCUGAGGCGAGUUGGCUUCGGCAACUUCUCUAGGAACUUCAUCGACCAUCUCCUCCUGCGACAAUCGUCUUCUGCGACAACGUCAGCUCUGUCUACAUGUCCACGAACCCAGUACAACAUCAGCGUACCAAACACAUCGAGAUCGAUCUCCACUUCGUUCGCGAUCGUGUUGCCAUGGGUCAGGUCCGAGUGCUUCAUGUUCCUUCGUCACGACAGUUCGCCGACAUCUUGACGAAGGGUCUUCCGUCGCCGUUGUUUUUGGAUUUUCGGUCCAGUCUCAAUGUCCGUUCUCCUCCUGUUGUGACUGUGGGGGAGUGUUAGACUAAUAUGUCACGUAUCGUGACAUAUCUCCUUAUCCCCUAAAUCGAGGAGAAUCGACAUUGUUGUGAUCUCCCAUUUAUGGUUAGGAUUGUAAAUCUGUCUAUAUAUUGACAUGCAAUGGAAAAGCCUAAGUGUGGCAACAAUUCCUAAAUCUUUCAGAGAUAUCAAAACUCGAGUGGAAGGGCAAUGUGUAGAGAUUGAAUUGGUUCAUUUUCUUCUAGAUGGACUGCAUUAGGGAUCGUACCUUGCAGUAUAUAGGAGAACAUGGAGAGGCGGCGGAGGAGGAGGAGCGGCGCUGGCAGAAGAGAUGUGGCCAUGCGGGGAAACCUGUUUUUUCUUUGGGUUUCCAUACGAAGACCUCUGAGAUAAUUUGCUAGGACUCUCAGGGAUUUCAUCCAACGGCUGUAGAUAUUUUAUACUGAGAUCAGAUGGUUAUUUUUGUUAGUUUUGUAGGAUUAACGUGAUGCCUCGUUUGGUGCCUCCAAUUAGUAAAUAUAAGAUAAGAUAUAAGAUAUAAGAUAAGAUUGUGAGGUACUAAAAUUAUUUUUUUUGAAAGGAAAAGUUGAAACAGACGCUCACUUCCAUGAACACGUGGACACACAACCGGUGGCUCCAUGCAUGCAUGCAUGAUACAUCGCACGCAGUACGCAAGCGGGCUGUUGCCAAGCUAACUAAUGGCGCCCGGCCGACAACACAGUACAGCUAGUAGAGCACUCGCUGCCAAACGCCUACGUGAGAGACCCUCGUGAGCCCAGCUAUACAACCUCCGCUCCUCCACCCAUCCUCGUUCACUCCGCAUCCGCAGCCGAAUUCCCCCGUCUCCACCGCUCAGUCCCCCGGACCGCCGGACCUCUCCUCGCCUUGCCAUGGCAGCCGCAGCACUGAGGGCGCAGCUGAACGCCCAUAUCGCCGGCAUGUACACCAAUGUGAGGCCCUUCCCCUCCCCUCUAGUCGUGUGGUAUUGGAUUUUGGCUUGGCUGGACGACUAACUUGGCCUUUGCCUUUGCUUUGGCGUGGUCGAUGUCGAUGCAGGGUGUGGUGGACGAGGAUACAUUCGAGGAGCUGCGGGACGAGGGCACCACCGCCGAGGUCUCCCGCCUCUUCAUCUACGACGCCUCCGAGAUCAUCGACGACAUCGACCUCCUGAUGUCCGCCCCCACGCCCUCUGUCAUCUCUCCCUCUGCUCUCUGUCUCGGGAACUGACUCAUCUUAAUUAUCUGCUCUGGAAAUCGCAGGGAGGAGCCUGAAGUGGACUUUGACGAGGUGGAAGCCCUGACGCAGCAGCUCAUGCGGUGCACCUCCAGGUGAUGACUAUCAUAAACCAUUUCUCUCUCUUCCACCUGCUUAUUUUUAACUCUAUGUUUGUUUGCCCGCUGCGUCAAUGUCGUGCGAUUCGGAUCUAUUUAUACUGGGCAAAGGAUUCUUAUUUGUCGGUUGCACUACCCCAUAGGCGUAAUUAGAAGAAUCAAGUUUAGUCGCGUUUAAUGUAACAGAGUUACCAGUAUCCCGAUUAAUAUCAAUGUUAUGAUGAGGAUAAAUUGCUGGCAUUUUUGGAAUAGUCUUGGUAUUAAUGAUCUGCUAUUCUGUGUAUUGCUAAUGGUGGUUUUUCUGGUAUUAAUGAUCUGCUAUUGUAUGUAUCUCUAAUGGUGUUUUUUCUAGUUUGUCCACGGCUUUGAUGUUGUUUUUUAUUUUGAUGUGUCGGCACGGGGUGUGUACCUCACGACACGGCCACACAAUUGAGGUUUGUGUCGUUUUACAGGCGUCGUAUAGCCAUAGGUAGAAGAGCUGAGUUUAGUCAUAUAUCGUGUAACGAAAUUGUUGGUAUUCUUCCCAAUGUUAAUCAAAUUGUAUAGCUUGGCGAGGGGAAUUUUUGUCGUUUUGCAAACGUUUGUUUUACUAUCAUGUCUGUUCUUCGGGCAAUGCCAUUAUUCUAGGUUGAGAAUGAAAAAAAUUGUCGUUUUAUAAGCAUGGCUGGUAUUAAUGAUUUGCAAUUCUACAUAAUGCCAAUGGCCAUGUUUCACCAUUGGAACGGUGUUGUUUCUAUUCAGAUUUGUCAGGCACAGGGUGUGUACGUCAUGGACGUCAUUUGGGUGUCGUAUAUCCAAAAUUAGAAGACCUCAUUGUAGUUGUGUCGUGUGUAGCGGAAUUGUUGGUAUUCAUGACAAUUUCAUGGUCCGGCAAGAAAAACUUUGUCGUUUUCUAAAUAUUUCUGGUACUACUGAUCUGCUAUUGCACAUAGCGGCAAUGGUGUUUUUUUUUCUGCUUCAUCAAACAAUUUAUGGAGUUGACAAUCAUGAUAGGAAAUGGCUCCUUGAGAAUAUUAUUGAGUUGACGUCUCAGUUUAUAAUAAGUUUGAUAAGUUCCUAAUUUCCUGAUCUGCAUUUUUUUUGCAUGUUUCAGUGUUGGUGCACAGCAAGUGAACCUCGCCUGCAUGCACUUCGGCAAUUUCUAUGCCAUACAAUACAAACAAGGGUCAGAACUUAGUAGCUUAUUUAAUACUGUUACACAAUAAUUAUUCGCAACAUUGUUUUUCAAUGUCUCUAUGUAAACCUGACAGCUCAUGUUGUCUUUUCUGUCGUUAUUUUCAGCUCAUAUACCAAUCUAACAUUGUUAAGAAGUAUCCUGAUUUGCUUUUUCACUUCAUCUGCAAUCACGUUAUUGAUAUUACUCGGUUCACUAUCUGAAUAUGCUACUCUUUGAUGGUUCUCUUGUAAUUUAUUGGCUCUAGGCUUUUGUUUAUAGCACAACUAAAUUCUUAUAUGGCUAGAGAUUUUUCUUUUUUCAAAUAUAGGGUUACAAUUUUUGAACCAUUUCAUCUCUGUUCUGUUAACCUCUUCAGAAUUUGACAAUGUGGUCAUUUUGCAUUAUUUCAGGUGUCUCGUGUCAUUGGCUCUUGUUAGGAAUGAGUUCUAUAUUGUGCGACAUGAGUUGGAGAUCGUGAUGCAGGUAGCACCGUAUGUGCAUAAUGUUGGAUGUUGAUACCAACUUUCCACUAGUUUCAUAACCCAUAGAUUGGUCAUAUUAAGAUAGAGAAAUGGGAACAAUCUUUAAUCCUUAAUCUAAUUCUUUUGACAUUUAGAUUUGGAGCACUUAGUUUGAGGUACCGAAAAGUCUCCUUUAGCCGUUAAAUGAUUAUGUGGUAAUUUUGUCAUCAUGUUCGGUAGAUGCAUAGGGUAGCUAAAAAAAGUGGGAGAAAUUCUCUGUUUCCCGGCCUAAAUUAAGCUUCACGAAAUACCCAAAUAAGAAACUAGCUAACUUGUAACAUGGUGAUUAGUGAAACCAUGUGACUUGAGCACCAUUAUGUGCCAUAGACUUAUCUUAAUCAUUUUUCGGAAGGUACUUCUCUUAAUCAUUGACCUAUUAUUCAUAUUUUGUUGCAGCUCGAAGAGCAGAUCGCGGCAUGUGGUCCUGACUCCUAAGUAGCGGCAAGUGAAGGGGGAAGAGCGUGGCCCCAUGCAAUCCCUUGCAUUAUGCGGUCCAUGUGUCUCGGAAGAUGUAGCCGUUUUCAAAGGGUGUCUAGUACUAUAGGGUGCGCGUAAAACUUAGAUGAAUAUUCUCGCGUCGGAACUUUGGGCUCGUAACCCUGUGAAAGAAAACUGUUGUCGUGUGUUGAUGUCAGUGUGAAGUCCAUAUUCUAGAGUGUCGUGGAUGUGUUGGCCCCCGCCUACGGGCUGUUUAUGAAACCUAUACUUGGUUGGUUGGUCCUCUAGUGACUUUGUUUUGCUGUUUCUUCUGUUUGUUUUUCUCUAUAAGCAAGUCUUGUUGUUAGUUGUUGUACCCAGAGUGUAGCCAAUCACCAUAUUUGGGCAUAUUAAACAUGUUGUUUCGGUCUGAAAUUUCAGCAUGGCCUUCUUAUAAGAGUACGACGGCACUUCCACGAGCAGUAGCCGGAGGAGGGGGAAAACAGAGGGGAUGGUCUGUGAGGUCACAUCCAGGGAUCACAAAGCUGUCGGUUCGCGAGACGACGUGAAGAGCAUCUCUGGGCUUGGGUAUGUUUGCAUUGGUAUGAAAAGUCUGGGCUAAUUAAGUCGCCAAUUACAGCUCCAACGAUGAUCGCUGGAACAUCAUACUACUCCUACUCCACAUAGUUAUUUAGACUACCCUGAAUCACCAACUGGGCAAGAGAACAUGUGGCCAUCUUCGUCUUUGUCCUGUAGUGGCUGAUCUCACCUAUUGCAAACCAUGUUCUGAUGUGAAACUUCGGGUCUUUGAUGGUAGUAGAAACUGGUGUUAUUCAUCACCAUGGCUAGCCGAUGCUCGUACGGCCUCCCUUCCAUGACUGCUAUCGCUUCUCAUGCUGGCUCGCCAACUAGGGUAUGGUUGGUUGAUGAAAGAAAAACUCUAUCACACACCAAAUUUAGAUCCCGCUUUCUUAUAUAUGUGCAAAUUUUUUGGUACAACCAUGCUCCACAUCGAACUCUAUCUUAUUUUUCCAGAGUGGAGGAAGGGGACACUUUGUGGGACUUUCAGUAGAAAAUUGUCCAUACAGAUAGAAGCACCUAUUAAAAAGAUACUCCAAAGGCUUCCGGAUCAUAGUCUCAUUAGCUGAAGAACACCCAUGCUAAUCUAUAUUAAGUGCAUUCAAAUCAUGCCUUUAUUAACUAGUCCAAGGCCUCAUCAGCCACAACAUCAUAAAUACAAAGAGGAAAAAUAUGAAACCAAGUUUUACACAAAUUAUUGGGGCAACCUUCCCUUGCCAUGAUGGAAUUAGCCCUAUUAGUUGUUCUUCUAUUCCACUUCACCCGAUGCUCUUCUAAAGCAAAUAACAAGUCCAUUAUGUNNNNNNNNNNNNNNNNNNNNNNNNNNNNNNNNNNNNNNNNNNNNNNNNNNNNNNNNNNNNNNNNNNNNNNNNNNNNNNNNNNNNNNNNNNNNNNNNNNNNNNNNNNNNNNNNNNNNNNNNNNNNNNNNNNNNNNNNNNNNNNNNNNNNNNNNNNNNNNNNNNNNNNNNNNNNNNNNNNNNNNNNNNNNNNNNNNNNNNNNNNNNNNNNNNNGUUAGUCUACAGAGUUCAGCGUUAUAGCCACACCCUGAUUGUCAUUAAUGAAUACAAUUGUUUGGUCAAAUAUGUUGUUUGAGAGUAGUUCAUGAUGGCCUUUCUAGUUGGAGAGAAUAAUUCUUUCCUUGAUGAUUUCUCUUACAAAGAUCAAGCAUAUAUAUCGAGGGAGAGAGAACCCACUCCCCUGGAACGUAGGCAUGCAGGCCAUGAGAACUAGGAGAUCCUAACAAUGGUGCAUAGACGUCCUGCACAAACGGUUCUCCGUGUUAUGGCAGGUUACAUUCUCAUGUUUUUUACUUUACAGUGCUUACAAGUUGAGAUUUGAAAAAAUCUAGCCUAGAACAUAAGUCAUCAAAACUCAUGGCAUUUUGAAACUUUAGUCAUAAAAAGAUAUCAAAUAUCAGACACAAAAAGGGAGUGCUAGACAAAAACGCAAAAAGAAUGAAAAUAAAGAAGUGGCACAAUAGUUACCGAGCGUUGAUAUGUCUCCAACGUAUCUAUAUUUUUUAUUGUUCCAUAAUAUUAUAGCCCGACAGCCCCAUCCUCUACUCCAUCGAUGCGUCCACUGGGCGAGAUCGGUGGUGUGCCAUCUGAGGGAGUCCCGGAUUAGGGGGUGUUCGGAUGACCUGACUAUGACCUUUGGCCGGACUCCUGGGCUAUGAAGAUACAAGAUUGAAGACUUCGUCCCGUGUCCGGAUGGGACUUUCCUUGGCGUGGAACGCAAGCUUGGCGCGGAUAUGUAGAUCUUCUCCCAUUGUAACCGACUAUGUGUAACCCUAGCCCUCUCCAGUGUCUAUAUAAACCGGAGGGUUUUAGUCCGUAGGACGAACAACAAUCAUACCAUAGGCUAGCUUCUAGGGUUUAGCCUCUCUGAUCUCGUGGUAGAUCUACUCUUGUACUACCCAUAUCAUCAAUAUUAAUCAAGCAGGAGUAGGGUUUUACCUCCAUCGAGAGGGCCCGAACCUGGGUAAAAACAUCAUGUCCCUUGUCUUCUGUUACCAUCCGCCUAGACGCACAGUUCGGGACCCCCUACCCGAGAUCCGCCGGUUUUGACACUGACAUUGGUGCUUUCAUUGAGAGUUACUCUGUGUCAUCAUCUUUAGGCCCGAUGGCUCCUCCGAUAAUCAACAACGAAGCGGUCCAGGGUGAGACUUUUCUCCCUGGACAGAUCUUCGUAUUCGGCGGCUUUGCGCUGCGGGUCAAUUCGCUUGGCCAUCUGGAGCAGAUCGAAAGCUACGCACCUGGCCAUCAGGUCAGAUUUGGAAGUUUAAACUACACGACCGACAUCCGCGGAGACUUGAUCUUCGACGGAUUCGAGCCACAGCCGGGCGCGCCGCACUGUCACGAUGGGCAUGAUGUAACUCUGCCACCGAACAGUGUCCAGGAGGCCGCCCCAGCGUCCGCUCCGACCCUUAGCUCGAAGCCGACUACGCCAAUCGAGGACGGGUGGCUGGACACCGCCUCGGGGGCUGCAAUCCCUACGGCGAUCGAGCCGAAUACCAGCCUUGUCCUUUACGAAGCUCGUGACUCCCAGGUGCCGGACUCCUUUCCAGACUCCAAACCUUCCGCGCCCCUGCCGAUCGAACCCGAUUGGGCGCCGAUCAUGGAGUUUGCUGCCGCAGACAUCUUUCAGCACUCGCCCUUCGGCGACAUUCUGAAUUCACUAAAGUCUCUCUCUUUAUCAGGAGAGCCCUGGCCGGACUAUGGUCAGCGAGGUUGGGAUGCGGACGACAAAGAAAUUCAAAUCCCACCCAUCACCCACUUCAUAGCUACUGUCGAUGAUUUAACCAACAUGCUCGACUUCGACUCCGAAGACAUCGACGGUAUGGAUGCUGAUGCAGGAGACGACGAAGAACCAGUGCCUAUAGGGCACUGGAAGGCCACCUCAUCAUAUGACAUAUACAUGGUGGACACCCCAAAAGAAGGGAAUGGCGAUGGAACAACGGAGGUUGACCCCUCCAAGAAGCAGCCUAAGCGCCGGCAUCAGCGGCGCCGCUCUAAAUCCCGCCCAAGCAAAAACGAUGAUUUCGGCACGGGAGAUAAUAACACCCCGGACAGUGCCGAAGACAACCCCCUCCAGCAGGAUUCAGCACAGGAGGAUGGAGAAGCCAGCCCUCAUGAGAGAGCGGCAGACAGAGAGGUAGAGGACGAUAAUCACAUGCCACCCUCCGAAGACGAGGCAAGCCUCGACGACGACGAAUUUAUUGUGCCUGAGGAUCCCGUCGAACAAGAGCGUUUCAAACGCAGGCUUAUGGCCACGGCGAGCAGCCUCAAGAAAAAACAGCAGCAGCUUAGAGCUGACCAAGACUUGCUACCCGACAGAUGGACUGAAGUCCUUGCAGCCGAAGAGUACGAACUCAAACGCCCCUCCAAGAGCUACCCAAAGCGUAGGCUGCUAUACCAAUUAGAGGAGGAAGCACCUAAACCUACAUCACCAGCGCACGACGCGGCAGACCGGCCACCUCGUGGCCACGACAGAGAGGCCUCUUGGCCAUCCUCUCAAGCCGCACCCCGGCGUUGCUCAAAAAAUACCAAGGCACGGGGAAAGGCGCCAGACCUGCGAGAUAUAUUGGAGGACAAGGCAAGGCAAACAAGGUCGAUCUCCGGAUCGCGUGGGCGCCCCACGACACGUAACGAUAACCGUCAUGCCGGAUAUGGCAAAUACGGCCAGGCCAAACACAGCAGACAAAGCUCAUUUGAGCUACGACGUGAUAUAGCCCAGUACAGAGGCGCCGCACACCCACUAUGCUUCACAGAUGAAGUAAUGGAUCAUCAAAUCCCCUAGGGUUUUAAACCCGUAAACAUCGAAUCAUACGAUGGCACAACAGAUCCUGCGGUAUGGAUCGAGGACUAUCUCCUUCAUAUCCACAUGGCCCGCGGUGAUGACCUACACGCUAUCAAAUACCUCCCAAUCAAGCUUAAAGGACCAGCUCGGCAUUGGCUCAACAGCUUGCCAAUAGAGUCAAUUGGUUGCUGGGAGGACCUGGAAGCCGCAUUCCUCGACAAUUUCCAGGGCACCUAUGUGCGACCACCAGACGCCGAUGACCUAAGCCACAUCAUUCAGUAGCCAGAGGAAUCGGCCAGACAAUUCUGGACACGGUUCUUAACCAAGAAAAAUCAAAUAGUCGACUGUCCGGACGUAGAGGCCCUCACAACCUUCAAACAUAGCAUCCGUGACGAAUGGCUUGCCCGGCACCUAGGACAGGAAAAGCCGAAAUCCAUGGCAGCCCUCACAACACUCAUGACCUGCUUUUGCGCGGGAGAAGACAACUGGCUAGCUCGUAGUAAUAACAUGACCAAGAGCCCUGGUAAUUCGGAUACCAAGGACAACAAUGGCAGGUCGCGUCGCAACAAAUACAAGCGCCGCAUUAAUGGCGACAAUACUGAGGAUACGACAGUCAAUGCCGGAUUCCGAGGCUCCAAACCCGGUCAGCGGAAAAAGCCAUUCAAAACAAGUACUCCGGGCCCGUCCAAUUUGGACCGAAUACUCGAUCGCUUGUGCCAGAUACACGGCACCCCCGAAAAACCAGCCAAUCACACCAACAGGGAUUGUUGGGUGUUCAAGGAGGCAGUCAAGUUAAGCGCCGAAAACAAAGACAAGGGGCUGCAUAGCAAUGACGAGGAGGAGCCCCGACCGCCGAACAAUAGGGGACAGAAGGGCUUUCCCCCACAAGUGCGGACGGUGAACAUGAUAUACGCAACCCACAUCCCCAAAAGGGAACGGAAGCGUGCACUCAGGGACGUAUAUGCGUUGGAGCCAGUUGCCCCAAAGUUCAACCCAUGGUCCUCCUGCCCGAUCACUUUUGAUCGAAGGGACCACCCCACUAGCAUCCGCCACGGCGGAUUCACCGCGUUGGUUCUAGACCCAAUCAUUGACGGAUUUCACCUCACUAGAGUCCUUAUGGACGGCGGCAGCAGCCUGAACCUGCUUUAUCAGGAUACAGUGCGAGAAAUGGGCAUAGAUCCCUCAAGGAUUAAACCCACAAAGACGACCUUUAAAGGCGUCAUACCAGGUGUAGAGGCCCACUGUACAGGCUCAGUUACACUCGAAGUGGUCUUCGGAUCCCCGGAUAAUUUCCGAAGCGAGGAGUUAAUCUUCGACAUAGUCCCGUUCCGCAACGGCUAUCACGCGCUGCUUGGACGAACCGCAUUUGCAAAGUUCAAUGCGGUGCCGCACUACACAUAGCUCAAGCUCAAGAUGCCAGGCCCUCGAGGAGUCAUUACGGUUAAUGGAAACACCGAACGCUCUCUCCGAACGGAGGAGCAUACGGCGGUCCUCGCGGUGGAAGUACAAAGUAGCCUCUCAAGGCAAUUCUCCAGUCCAGCUAUUAAACGUCCAGACACCGUCAAGCGCGCCCGGAGUAACCUACAGCAAGACCACCUGGCACGUUCCAAACAAGUGUAGCAGUGCGGCCCCGACCCCAGCCCUCGCGAAAUUGCGAAACCAGUACCACGCGUACAUAAUUACGCUCUGGAAAUAUCAUGGGCAUAGGGGGAGGGGCACAACCAUGGCACGCCCAAAAUGCGGCUCAACCGCACUAGGGGCUCCCAAUUUUGUCAUUUAUUUUUUCUUACUUUGAGGACUCCAUUCUCCGGAAGGCCUGUCCGACAGUACAAUCGCCGAACACACGAUGCAACAGCCAGGGAGGCAGCAAGCUACGUCAAAUAUCCAGGUGGUCUCUAUAACGAGCUAAAUACAUGUCUUACAUAAAGUCUCGCAGCUUGCCCUUGGAGGGGGACAUGUCAAAUAAUCACAUCUCUUGCUUAUCGCACUAUUUGUAUCGUUCUGCUUUCACAGCAACCUUUUAAUAUACAAUGCAUAGCUCUUGUCUAUUAUUGCAUUCAUUUUUUAUGUAAAUAUGUUCAGUCAUGACAUUAUGCAACCGUACACUUUGGUACGGCCAACACACCAGGGGCUUAAGUACUCCAGAAUAUGGUGUGAGAAGUCCGAACACUCUCACGAGUGCGGCACCCCGAACUUAUAGCAUUAUAUGCAUCGGCUCUGAAUCAUGUCUUGGGUCAAUAGUUGGGUUUGCCCGGCUCCCAUGUUUUGGUACCUUACGUUCCGUUAUAUCGGCUAAGGUAGCGCUGGGAGAACUACUGCAAUUGUGCCCCAGUUGAGCUGGGUUAAGCACCUCAGUAGACAAAGCUAAAACUGACCGUCAUGAUAGGGCGAGAGCCGGUCGCUGUUCGAGAGGUUUCGAGUCCCUAAACACUUAUGCCGCUUAGAGCGAGGAGCUGGCUUUGUCCGGCCUAGGCGUGGAUAGCGCCCCAAACUCGGUCUUCCGAAUACUAGGGGCUUCGCCGAAAUUUAAAAUUGUAGAAUUCUGUGGCUAAGUGAGAGUGAUAAAGCAUUACAGUCCGAUUGCCUUGUUCGUUGUGCUGAGCGCCUCCCUCGAAGGACCCAAUAAUGGGAACAAGAGCGCUCAGGUUUAUCCCGAACACCCCAGCACUCGUGGCAUGGGGGUAGAAGCCGACGACUCGCCAUCUCUCAGAUUUGAUAAAUGGCCGCACAAAAGGUAAUAUUGUAAAUUCAAAAAGCAUUGCUUAGUGCAUAUGAACAAGUCAUCAGCACACAGGAUAACACGAGCGAGUUUACUCAAAUAUUACAUAUUUGGAACAUUCAUUCGCCACAAGGAGGGCACCCUUCAAGAUGCCCUCAUAAUACAUCUCGGGCAUGCGAUGCUCCUUCCCCUCCGGUGGCCCAUCUGUCACCAGCUUCUCAGCAUCCAGCUUGCCCCAGUGUACUUUAGCACGGGCAAGGGCCCUACGGGAGCCUUCGAUGCAUACGGAGCGCUUGAUGACUUCAAGCCGUGGACAGGCAUCCACCAGCCGCCUCACCAGCCCAAAGUAGCUCCCGGGCAUGACCCCCCCAGGCCAUAGCCGGACUAUUAGGCCCUUCAGGGCCUGUUCGGCUACCUUAUGGAGCUCGACCAACUACUUCAGCUGGUCGCUCAAGGGCAUCGGGUGUCCAGCCUCAACAUACUGGGACCAGAACACCUUGUCCGUCGAGCUCCUUUCCUCGGCUCGGUAGAAUGCGGCAGCGUUGGACACACUGCGGGGCAGAUCUGCGAAUGCUCCUGGAGAGCUCCAGACUCGGGUAAGUAACAAGUAAUUCACUUUCACGUGCUUGCUUUGCAUAAAGAAUGUCUUACCUGCCGCUAUCUUCUUCAUCGCCUCAAUUUCCUGGAGGGCUUUUUGGGCUUCGGCCUUGGCAGAUUUGGCGCUUUCAAGAGCCGAGGCAAGCUCGGACUCUCGAGUCUUUGAGUCAAGCUCCAAACUCUCGUGUUUUUUCACAAGAGCGUGGAGCUCUUGCUGCACCUCCUCCACUCGCGCUCCUACUUUUCUUGCUCGAUGCGCACCAUGGCCGCAUUGUCUUCGGCCUUGGACAGCGCUUCCUUCAGGGUCGCCACCUCGGUUGUGGCCCCUAUAACACUCACGUUGGUCCUGUCACUAUUUGCAACCAGGUAUUUUUAUAUACUUACAUAAGGUACUACUUACCUUCCUUGUCCUCAAGCUGCUUCUUGGCAAGGCCGAGCUCGUUCUCGGACCGCUCGAGGCUCUUCUUCAAUGCAUCGACCUCCGCAGUCAGUGCGGUAGAGGUCAGCAGCGCAGCCUGCAUUCCCAUCUUGACAUAUUUAUCUUAGAGUCCUGCAUAUAUCUUUUUAGAUCCUCAGUCUGGAUUUUCUUUCCGAACACCAAACUGAGCAUCAGGGGCUAAUGUCUAUGCGGUAAUAUUUUUACAUGUCUUAAAUACAUACCUCAAAGCCUGUUAGAAUGCUGGCACAGGCUUCUGUCAGCCCGCUCUUGGCGGACUGAACCUUCUGGAUCACCACACUCAUAAUAGUGAGGUGCUCCUCGUCGAUGGAGGCGCCGUUAAGCACCUCCAGCAAAUUGUCCGGUGCCUCCGGUUGGAUGGAGGACACCGGCGUCGUAGGCUUGCCCUUCUUACGAGGGGGCCGCCUGCCGGACUCCGGAACCACUGAGGGUUCCGGUGCGGUGUCCGGCCCAUGGCCGGACUUAGAUCCCUCUGGGGUUUCAUCCCCUUUGCGCCUGGAGCCCGGGAGGUCGCCUUGCGGCGCCUCCAGGACCACCCCCUCCUGGCUUAGCCCCUUUUGGGACUUCACCUCGGCAUCGUCCGCGGGGUGAGGGGAGGUAGCAGUCGGGAGUGAAAGACUAUUCACAUCCGACGAAUCCAGGGAGCCGCUCGAUGAAGCAUCGAGCUGGGCCUUGGGCGGACUACAUGAUUAUAUUCGGCGUCAGAAGAUACGGUGCAAUAAAGGAACACCAUGAUUUAUUCUGGUAUCCGGAUACUUACGAUUUUGCCAGGGGCUUGGCCCUGGACGGCCACUCCUCUCCGCCUUCAUUGGCGCUGGUGGAGUAGUCCGGAAGAAGGGUCUUUCUCUUCUUGGACCCUCCGGCCUUCCCAGUUUGGGCGGCCUUCCUUUUCUUUCCUCCCCCCGUUGGAGGGGGACAGGCUUCUUCUUCCUCCUCCUCGUUUUCGGGGGAGGAGUGCGCUUCGGGGUCGUCAGGCGAUGAAUCCGACACCACCAGGCGCCAGGAACUCUUUCGAGUUCCCGUGGACUUAUUCUUGGCCUUCUUCUUCGGCACCAUGUGAGGUGUCGGGACCAGCAGCUUCGCCAAGCGUGCGUCUACUAGGCCUUCGGGCAAAGGAGCCGGACAGUCAAUCUGUCCGGACGUCUUCUUCCAGUCAUGUCAAAGGAGCGGGAGCUUAGAUCCCGCGUAGAGUCAAACUAUUAAAAACAAGUAUCCUGUAAAGGGUAAAACAAGCUUACUGCGCUGGCUUGGCGCUUCGCGCAGAAUCCGCGAUCCUCGGUAAUGGGAGGGGAAACCUCGGAGCCCUUGAAUAGCACCUUCCAGGCGUCUUCGUGCGUUGUGUCAAAGAGCCUGGACAAAGUUUGAUGUUGGGCCGGGUCGAACUCCCACAAGUUAAAAGCCCGUCGUUGACACGGGAGGAUCCGGCGGAAGAGCAUGACCUGGACUACGUUGACAAGUUUAACCUUCUUGUCCACCAGGUUUUGGACCCAGGUUUGGAGUCCGAUCACCUCUUCCCCCACGACAGGCCCAUCCCUUUCCAGGAGGUGAGACAUGUGGGGAUGCCAGAUUGGAAUUCGGGGGCCGCUGCCCAUUCAGGGUCACGCGGCUCGGUGAUGUAGAACCACCCCGAUUGCCACCCUUUGAUGGUUUCCACAAAGGAGCCCUCGAGCCAUGUGACGUUGGGCAUCUUGCCCACCAUGGAGCCUCCGCACUCCGCUUGCCGGCUGCCCACAACCUUCGGCUUGACAUUGAAGGUCUUCAGCCAUAAGCCGAAGUGGGGCUUGAUGCGGAGGAAGACCUCGCACACGACGAUAAACGCUGAGAUGUUAAGGAUGAAGUUCGGGGCCAGAUCGUGGAAAUCCAGGCCGUAGUAGAACAUGAGCCCCCGAACAAAUAGGUGGAGUGGGAAACCCAGUCCGCGAAGGAAAUGGGGGAGGAACACCACCCUCUCAUGGGGCCUGGGGGUGGGGAUGAGCUGCCCCUCGUCUGGAAGCUGGUGCGCAAUGUCGUUGGACAAGUAUCCGGCCUUCCUCAACUUUUUGAUGUGCCCCUCCGUGACGAAGGAGGCGAUCCACCGGCCUCCCGCUCCGGACAUGGCUGGAGAAGGUCGAGGUGGGAAGUGCGGACUUGGGCGCUAGAGCUCGAGUGCGCGGAAAUGGAUAAGCGAAGGAGGAAGAGGGCGUGGAUGGAAAAGGUGGAUCCUUAUCCCCUUAUAUGAGCGGACGAAACUGUGUGCCCCCACCAGCCUGGUAAAACUCUCUUAUCUCCCAAGUGCCGUGAUUAAUGGCACGGUUGGGUUACCCACGCCCGUAUUGAUGAGAAUCCCGGAAUAAGGGGACAUGAUCUCUGCUUUGACAAGACGUGCCAAGGAAACCGCCUCGCUGAACGCGCUGAGGUGGGACAAUAAAACGAUUCGAAUGAAGGCUUGGCCGUCGGAUGAUGUCACGCUACGGAAUACGUCAGCAGAUUAGAUUUGUACAAACAUUAUUCUCUCUACGCUGGUAUGUGGAACUUAUUUUGCAGAACCGGACACUAUCCUUGUGUUCAAAAUCUUCUAUGAAGUAUUCGGAGGAGGAACCCGCCUUGCAAUGCCGAAGACAAUUUGCACGCCGGACUCGUCGUCAUUGAAGCCUAGUUCAGGGGCUACUGAGGGAGUCCCGGAUUAGGGGGUGUCCGGAUGACCAAACUAUAACCUUUCGCCGGACUCCUGGGCUAUGAAGAUACAAGAUUGAAGACUUUGUCCCAUGUCCGGAUGGGACUUUCCUUGGUGUGGAAGGCAAGCUUGGCGAUACGGAUAUGUAGAUCUCCUCCCAUUGUAACCGACUCUGUGUAACCCUAGCCCUCUCUGGUGUCUAUAUAAACCAGAGGGUUUUAGUCCGUAGGACGAACAACAAUCAUACCAUAGGCUAGCUUCUAGGGUUUAGCCUCUCUGAUCUCGUGGUAGAUCUACUCUUGUACUACCCAUAUCAUCAAUAUUAAUCAAGCAGGAGUAGGGUUUUACCUCCAUCGAGAGGGCCCAAACCUGGGUAAAAACAUCGUGUCCCUUGUCUCCUGUUACCAUCCGCCUAGAUGCACAGUUCGGGACCCCCUACCAGAGAUCCGCCGGUUUUGACACCGACACCAUCCUCACAUUAGGGGGUUCAACCCCCCAUCUCAACUGCGAUUCCUGGAUCAUCAGGGACACCUCCUCUCCACUCCAUCUCCCACAUGAUGGCCACUCUAGCACUAGAUACUUAAUGAGUGAUGGUGGUUCACAUUUUAUUCAUGGUGUUUUUCGUAAAAUGCUUGCUAAGUAUGAUGUUAAUCAUAAAAUUGCAUCUCCAUACCAUCCACAGUCUAGCGGUCAAGUAGAAUUGAGUAAUAGAGAGAUUAAAUUGAUCUUGCAAAAGACUGUUAAUAGAUCUAGAAAGAAUUGGUCCAAGAAACUUGAUGAUGCAUUAUAGGCCUAUAGAACUGCAUAUAAAAAUCCUAUGGGUAUGUCUCCGUAUAAAAUGGUUUAUGGAAAGGCAUGUCACUUACCUCUCGAACUAGAACAUAUGGCAUAUUGGGCCACUAAAGAGCUCAAUUAUGAUUUCAAACAUGCUGGUGAGAAGAGGCUUUUUGACAUUAUCUCACUUGGUGAAUGGGGAACCCAUGCCUAUGAGAACGCCAAACUAUUUAAGAAAAAGUUAAAAGGUGGCAUGACAAAAAGAUACAAACGCGGGAGCUUAAUGUAGGUGAUUAUGUUUUGCUAUACAACUCUCGUUUAAGAUUUUUUGCAGGAAAACUUCUCUCUAAAUGGGAAGGUCCUUACGUUAUCGAGGAGGUCUAUCGUUCCGGUGCCAUCAAAAUCAACAACGCUGAAGGCACAAAUCCGAAGGUGGUGAACGGUCAAAGAAUCAAACAUCAUAUCUUAGGUAAUCCCAUAAAUGUUGAAACCAAUGUUAUUGACACCGUAACCCCGGAGGACUACAUAAGGGACACUUCCCAAAAUGUUUCAGACUCCAAAAGGAAUAGGUAUGUGGUACGGUAAGUAAACUGACUCCAAAACAAUUAUAAUAGCAAAUUUUCUCUGUUUUGGAAUAUUUAAAAAAUUAGGAAAAUAAGAAGUAGUCCGAAGGAGACACGAGGCAUCCACGAGGGUGGAGGGCGUGCCCUACCCCCUGGGCGCGCCCCCUGCCUCGUGGACACCUCGUGUGCCCUCCGGAUUCCGUUUUCUUGCACGAUACUUCUUUUUGUCGGUAAAAAUUCAUUAUAUAAUCUCCCAAAGGUUUUGACCAUCGAACCAUGACAAAAUCAUCUGCUUUUGUUUCGAGCUGUUUUUCUGACAGAUCUAGAUCACCAUGACGUCUUCAAGCGCCCCCAAGGACAUGUUUUCAAGUGCCAAGGGAUGGUGGAACACGGACUCAACGCCAACCACAUGAUGGUCGCGGAGUUCACCAACAACCACAAGUUGGAUGCCAAGAACAUUGGGGAGACCAUCUUCAAGCUUCAUGAGAAAAUCGAGCACCUCCAAGCCUAGAUCUAUGACUUGCAAAACCAAAACUGUGAGUAUGAAUAUAGAUUCAAGAGGAUGAGUUUGGCUGCAGAUUUGAGGAUCCCGGAGACUCAAUCAUCCUUCUAUGAUGGUGAGCCUAUGCCCUGGAAGAUGGACCACAAGCCUACAUCAUCAACAACUCCAGCAUCACCACCCCAAGAAAGAGACAUAAACACAUGGGUAUGGGAACUCCCCUUGGCAACUACUAAGCUUGGGGGAGCUGCCCCGGUAUCGUAUCACCAUCACAUUUCUAUCUUUACCGUUUUUCUUAGUUCGGUCCUUUUGGUUAUAUCUUGAUCUAGUAGAAUAAAGUUUUAGUUCGAUCUAGCUUUGAUUUUUGUGUUGAUACCUAUCUAUGUAAUCGAUUCCAUGAGCUAUAUAUAAUAAAGAUUAGUUUUGAGUUGAGGGCUUUGCUAUCUUGCUAUGAUAUUGAGGGAAUAAAAGAAAAAGAAAGAAUAAAAAUAAAUAAAAAGAUCAUAUUGACCUUUUGGGGAGUAAUGACUUUACACAUAAAGAGUAUGAUGAAUAAAAGUUGUUGAGAGUUGACAAACAUAGUUUUGGUCAUCGUGGCAAUUAAUAGGAAGUAAUAAACAAAGAGAGGUUUUCACAUAUAAAUAUACUAUCAUGGACAUCUUUUAUGAUUGUGAGCACUCAUUAAAAUAUGAGAUGCUAAAAAGUUGAUGUUGGACAAGGAAGACAACAUAAUGAGUUAUGUUUGCUUAUAUCCUAAAUAAAUUAUAUUGUCAUGGAUCAUCCAACAUGUUGAACUUGCCUUUCCCCCUCAUGUUAGCCAAAUUCUUUGAACCAAGUAGAGAUACUACUUGUGCUUACAAACAUCCCUAAACCCAGUUUUGUCAUGAGAGUCCACCAUACCUACCUAUGGAUUGAGUAAGAUCCUUCAAGUAAGUUGUCAUCGGUGCAAGCAAUAAAAAUUUCUCUCUAAAUAUGUAUGAUCUAUUAGUGUGGAGAAAAUAAGCUUUAUACGAGCUUGUGAUACGGAAGAAAUAAAAGCGACGGACUGCAUAAUAAAGGUCCAUAUCACAAGUGGCAACAUUAAGUGACGUUCUUUUGCAUUAAGAUUUUGUGCAUCCAACCAGAAAAGCGCCUAUCUUUUAUUUUUACCUUCUACCCUUAUACAAGAGUCUUGGUGAUCUUCACCUUUCCUUUUUAUACUUUAUCCUUUGGCAAGCUCUGUGUGUUGGAAAGAUCCUGAUAUAUAUAUAUUUAUAUUUAUAUAUAUAUAUAUAUAUAUCCAAUUGGAUGUGGGUUUUCAUAAAGUAUUAUUGUUGACAUUACCCUUGAGGUAAAAGGUUGGGAGGCGAAAGUAUAAGCCCCUACCUUUCUCUCUGUCCGAUUGAAACUUCAUACUCAUAAGUAUCGCGUGAGUGUUAGCAAUUGUGAAAGAUUAAAUGAUAAUUGAGUAUUUGGACUUGCUGAAAAGCUCUUAUAUUGACUCUUUCCGAUGUUAAGAUAAAAUUGCAAUUGCUUCAAUGACUGAGAUUAUAGUUUGCUAGUUUGCAAUGAAGUUUCUGAUUCAUACUUUACAUUGUGAAUAGAUUGUUACUUUAGCAUAAGAAAUCAUAUGAAACUAUAUAUGUUGUUGUUCUAAGAAUGAUCAUGAUGCCCUCAUGUCCGUAUUUUAUUUAAUCGUCACCUCUAUCUCUAAACAUGUGGACAUAUUUUUCGAUAUCGGCAUCCGCUUGAGGACAAGCGAGGUCUAAGCUUGGGGGAGUUGAUACGUCCAUUUUGCAUCAUGCUUUUAUAUCAAUAUUUAUUGCAUUAUGGGCUGUUACUACACAUUAUGUCACAAUACUUAUGCCUUUUCUCUCUUAUUUUACGAGGUUUACAUGAAGAGGGAGAAUGCCGGCAGCUACAUUCUGGGCUGGAAAAGGAGCAAAUAUUAGAGGCCUAUUCUGCACAACUCGAAAAGUCCUGAAACUCCAGGAAAGUCAGUUUUGGAAUAUAUUAAAAAUAUUGGGCGAAGAAAGCACCAGAGGGGGGCCACCCACCGUCCACGAGGGUGGAAGGCGUGCCCUACCCCCUGGUUGCGCCCCCUGCCUCAUGGGCCACCUGGCAGGCCCCCGAUGCCCAUCUUCUCCUAUAUGGUGUCUUUUGCCCUGGAAAAAAAAUCAUAAGGUAGAUUUCGGGACGAAGCGCCGCCGUCUUGAGGCGGAACCUUGGUGGAACCAAUCUAGGGCUCCGGUGGAGCUGUUCGGCCGGGGAAACAUCCCUACGGGAGGGGGAAAUCAUCACCAUCGUCAUCACCAUGGAUCCUCUCAUCGAGAGGGGCCAAUCUCCAUCAACAUCAUCACCAACACCAUUUCCUCUCAAACCCUAGUUCAUCUCUUGUAUCCGAUCUUUGUCUCAAAACCUCAGGUUGGUACGUGUGGGUUGCUAGUAGUGUUGAUUACUCCUUGUAGUUGAUGCUAGUUGGUUUAUUUGGUGGAAAAAUCAUAUGUUCAGAUCCUUUAUGCAUAUUAAUACCCCUAUGAUUAUGAACAUGAAUAUGAUUUGUGAGUAGUUAUUUUUGUUCCUGAGGACAUGGGAGAAGUCUUGUUAUAAGUAGUCAUGUGAAUUUUGUAUUCUUUGAUAUUUUGAUGAGCUGUAUGUUGUCUCUCCUCUAGUGGUGUUAUGUGAACAUCGACUACAUGAUAGUUCACCAUUGUUUGGGCCUAGGGGAAGGCAUUUGGAAGUAAUAAGUAGAUGAUGGGUUGCUAGAGUGAUAGAAGCUUAAACCCUAGUUUAUGCGUUGCUUCAUAAGGGGCUGAUUUGGAUCCAUAUGUUUCAUGCUAUGGUUAGGUUUACCUUAAUUCUUCUUUCAUAGUUGCAGAUGCUUGCGAGAGGGGUUAAUCAUAAGUGGGAUGCUUGUCAAAGGAAGGGCAGUACCCAAGCACUGGUCCAACCACAUAUCAAAUUAUCAAAGUAACGAACGUGAAUCAUAUGAGCAUGAUGAAAACUAGCUUGACGAUGAUUCCCAUGUGUCCUCGGGAGCGCUUUGCUUUAUAUAAGAGUUUGUCCAGGCUUGUACUUUGCUACAAAAAGGAUUGGGCCACCUUGUUGCACCUUGUUACUUUUGUUACUUGUUACCCGUUACGAACUAUCGUAUCACAAAACUAUCUGUUACCAAUAUUUCAGUGCUUGCAGAGAAUACCUUACUGAAAACUGCCUGCCAUUCCUUCUAUUCCUCAUUGGGUUCGACACUCUUACUUAUUGAAAGGACUACGAUAGAUCCCCUAUAGAUGUGGGUCAUCAAAUAGUACAUAACAUAACUUGAGCUUUAGAUUUGGCUCAUUAUCACACUGAUGUCAAAUUUAUCAUUUUUGUAUCUUAAAAAUGUUAUAAACUUUAAUACAAAAUUUUUGUGACAUCAUACAUUGAUGUGCGUUAAUGUGCUAGAUUUUUUUUACUUUUUAAAAUGUUCUAUAGCAUCCGGUGCACCGGUAGCACCAUUACUGCGGGUGCAUAGGAUACAUCCCCGCGAGCGAUCCGUGGAUGGCUUGGUGCGGACGGGCGCGUGCGGUUGCCGAUCCAUAUAUUCCUGAACUCGGAUCUAGACACAAGAUCCUCCGUUGCAUGCCACAUCCAUGGCUCUAGUGAACCAGAUCCGCACAUGUGAUAUGUCUCCAACAUAUUUACUUUUUGUUUUGGCCUCUAAUUUAUAUGAUUUGAAUGAAACUAACCCAAACUAACGCUGUUUUAAGUAGAACUACCUUGAUGUUAUUUUUUGUGUAGAAAUAAAAAUCUCAUAAUUGGACGAAACUUCGUAGAGAUUUUUUAUGGAAUAAAUAAAAAAUACCGGAGCAUCGGCAUCCGUACCAAGAAAAUAAGAGAGAAAGUAAUUUGGGAGCUGCCACCAUCUCUUGUCUUCAUUGGGAGCCCUGAUCUGGAGUCCAUUCCUAGCUCCGGAGAGAGGGAUUCGUCGUGGUUGUAAUCACCAACCCUUCUCCAUCAAUAAUUUCCUGAUUCUCACCACCAAGAGUGUGUAAUCCCUUUCAGGCAUACUAGAGGUAGAGUAAGAUGAAUGAGAUUUCCUAUGUAAUCAUGUCAAUUUGUUAGGGCUUGAUCCCUAGUAUGCACUAUGUUCUGAGAUUGAAGUUGUUAUGACUUUCUUAUACUUAAUGCUUGUCAGUACGGCCCGAGUGUCAUAAUUUCAGAUCUGAACACUUAUGCUUCUAUGAAUAUAUUUGACAUGCUGAUCUUACCUGCAAGUUGUAUACACCUGUUAUCAUUCCAAACCUUAGACUUCCAAGUUGACCAUUGAAAGUGCUAGUUAUCGACUAGAGGGGGGGGUGAAUAGGCAAUUUUUAUAAAAGUCUUCAAAACAUGCAAUGUCUUCGAAAACGCGGAAGAAAAACAAUCACUAAACAGGAUACAUCGGAAUAUAAACCACACUAGACAUGUCGGUAUGUCAACAAAAAUUGACGUAAGAUGCGAAGAUAGAAAACAACUAGGUAGUUCAGAACAAUGAGAAGAUAGUGUGAAGACAAAUAUGUAAUCAGAGGAAAUGUCUUCAUACAAUGUCUUCGAAUAGUAUGAGCACGCAAAGGCAUCACAAAACUAAACAGUAAGUAAAGGAGUGAAGUGAUGGAACCAGUUGCUCAUAGAAGACAUGUGAUUUGUUAGACCAAUUCCAGCUGCUGUGACAGCUAUAUGUCUGGUUAAGGAGGCUGAGAUUGAAAUCUGAAGACUUAGUCUUCACCUUAUUCCCCUUAAGCUAAUAUCCGCAAAUCUCACCCAAUCACUCGGGGAAGUCUUCAAGGUAAACUUCCAAACCUUCACAGACUUCGUUCACUAGCAAUCCACAAUGACUCUUGGAUGCUCAGAAUUUGACACCUAACUGGUUGGAAGAUCACAGUCUUCAAGUGUAACAAGUCUUUGGUUCACGCAGAACAGAAAGGCUUCAGUGAUGCUCAAUCACUUUGGGCUCUGGGUGUUUUGGGUUUGUCCUCGCAAGGAAUUUCUCUCAAGGCUUAAGAGGUGGGUUGCUCUCAAACGAUAACAACCAUGUAAUAACUCAAAACAACCACCAACUUAUGCUGGAGGGGGUGGGCUAUUUAUAGCCAGGAGGCAACCCGACAUGAUAUGACCAAAAUGACCCUAGGUCAAUGGGUAACCGACAUGUGUCCAACAACCGUAUUUCAAACACACGCGAUAGCUUUACUUGAGCUCCAACUAAAGCUAACUCAACGAACGUUGGAAAAGGUGUUCUCUCACUGUCUUCACUGGAAGACAUAGAAUUUUAGGUUCAACAUCAAGUCAGUUUCUAACUUUGUUUACCUCGACCCCAUUUAACAAUAUGGUGGUUCCUAUGGCUCAAGAAAGGCGAAAAUGAAACUAUCAAAAGACUAUGUCUUCGUGCUCCAUUGUAUUCAAGCGAAAGUCCUCACGUCCCAUUGUCUUCAAAUAAAUGUCUUCCCGUACCACCAUUAUCUUUAAUGUCUUCAUACAUGUUUAGGAGUCAUAUUUGAUUGGUAAGCCGAAUCUCUAGGGACUUCUAUCUGUGUUCUCCUGUGAAUCUCAUAAAUAGAUUAGUCCCUCAACCAAAUUUGUCGUCAAUACUCCAUAACCAAUGAUAUGUCCAUUUUGCAUCAUGUUUUUAUAUUGAUAUUUAUUGCAUUAUGUGCUGUUAUUACGUAUUUACGUACAAUACUUAUGUCUUUUCUCUCUUAUUUUACAAGGUUUACACAAAGAGGGAGAAUGCCGACAGCUGGAAUUCUGGACCGGAAAGGAGCAAAUCUGAGAGACCUAUUCUGCAUAACUCCAAAAAUCCUCAAAAUUUACAGAGAAUUAUUUUGGAAUAUAUAAAAAUAUUGGGUGAAGAAAAUACAAGAGGGGACCCACCAAGUGGCCACAAGGAUGGGGGCACGCCCUACCCCCUGGGCGCGCCUCCCUGGCUUCAGGGCCCCUUGGCAAGCCUUUGGUGCCCCUCUUCUACUAUAUGAUGUCUUUUGACCUGGAAAAAAAAAUCAGAAGAGAGCUUUCAGGAUGAAGUGCCGCCGUCUCGAGGCGAAACUUGGGCAGAACCAAUCUAAGAUUCAGGUGGCUUCAGAUUGCAAGGUGGCGUUGCAGAUAUAUAUUAGAAGAGCGCAACUACCUAUAGAGCAAUCAUAACUGAGAUCAUAGAUUGGAAGGCUACUUUUACUAAUUGUACAUUAGCCAUGAAUUUAGGAGCUUGAAUGUUGAAGCUCACAAACUCGUGAAGCAUGCUUUAUCCCUAGGGGUUGACCGCCAUGUUUGGUUAGGUAACCCCAUAGCUGAAGUUGUCUCGCCUUGCUUCAAAUCUACUGGGCGUGCACUGCGAUUUUGACCUAACGGCCUCCAUUUGCUGGAAUUAAUUGGAAUAGUUGAGAAGAAAGUGACAAACGAAUGCGUAAUGCGUGGGAAUCUGCCGAAUAGUUCAGGCUGAAUCCCGAAGAAAGUUCGUUGGUCAGGUAAAGGUUGGCCAGCCAAUGAUGCUUAGCUGGUCUUUUUGAAUGUUUAGCCACACUAGGACUGAGACAUAGCCCAGACUCCCAUGGGGGGCAGCAGAGGGGAAUCUUGGACAAUGGGCGAAAGCCCGAUCUAGCAAUAUCGUGUGAGUGAAGAAGGUCAAUGCUCCUUUUAAAGCUCUUACGUUGAGUGCACGAUCAUGUCAUAUCUCGAGGAAGAAGCCCCGGCUCACUCUGUGCNNNNNNNNNNNNNNNNNNNNNNNNNNNNNNNNNNNNNNNNNNNNNNNNNNNNNNNNNNNNNNNNNNNNNNNNNNNNNNNNNNNNNNNNNNNNNNNNNNNNNNNNNNNNNNNNNNNNNNNNNNNNNNNNNNNNNNNNNNNNNNNNNNNNNNNNNNNNNNNNNNNNNNNNNNNNNNNNNNNNNNNNNNNNNNNNNNNNNNNNNNNNNNNNNNNNNNNNNNNNNNNNNNNNNNNNNNNNNNNNNNNNNNNNNNNNNNNNNNNUAAGUACUCUUUGGAAUGACUGGGUGUAAAGGGCAUGUAGGCGGCGGGUUGAAAAUGAAACUGUGAAAAUCAUAAAAAGUGGCGGAAUGCUCUCGAAACCAAUUCACUUAAGUGAGACAGAGGAGAGUGGGUGAUUUUCUAUUCGUCCCUAUAAACACUACUCAUCAAUCCGUGCAGGUGCACGGGCUAGAUAUACCAUCAUAGAAUCUUGUAAAUAUACUUUGUAAGCCUAUAACUGGAAACAUAAAACAUGGAACAUGCUUUUCAGUUUUUAUUUUAUAGUGGUGUUUAGUCUUCAAAUUUCAGGCAAAAUUAAAAGUGGACACGUAUAAAUUCUCAAGUUCAUUGAUCAAGCGCAUGCAGUUGUUAUGGUAUACAAAAUCCAACAUGUUGAAGACUCACAUGCAUAUUUGUAGGAAAAACUAAAAAAAAUGUAAUUAUUUUUUAGAUCAUUACAUUCAAACCCACACAAAGAAAAUAGUCAAAUAAACAUCAUUUUUCUUUAAACAGAAGGAUCCAACUGACGCCAUAAAAUGUAUCUUUUCCUUAUAUUGGCCAAUUAUUGCUCAAAUAGCUGUGCAUGUGUUGUGUAAAUAAGAUUUAGAUAUGGUACAUAGAACUUUUGUUAGAUUUAGAUCAUAGCUUCAGUGUGAAUGUUGCUGCAAUGGCACAGAAGUAUGAUCGGUUUGGCAUCAUCUGCUUUGCGAUGAUCCACUCCCGUGCACAGGCUCUAUCCUACAGAUCGUCCUAUCGGACAACUAGCAGUAUAUGUCAUGCCAAAAGCUUCUUGACCAACAUAUGUGCUAGUAAAUCUAAUUACUCUAAAUUAUGAAAAUAUAGUUAUUCCGAAUUAUGAAAAUAUAAUUACCCUAAACUAUAUAUGUACCUUAGAUCGUAGAGGCCACCAUCGAACAGAACUAUAUAGGGAGUAGUUGUGCGGUAGUACUGUUGAGAUGUAGAAGUGGAAAAGCAAUAAUGCAUAACAAAAUCAUAUUCUAUCACACGCUUAGCUUAUACUAUAUAUAUUGGCACACAUUUUCUUUGCAUAUGCACCUAGUAGAUUAAACAAUGGAAGCAAACACAGUAGGGCAAACCAAUUUCAGAUUUUUAUCUAAAAUCAAAAGCCUAGAAAAGGUGAAUCUGCCGAAUAGUUCGGGCCGAAUCCUGAGGAAAGUUCAAAGCACUGUUUGACGAGCCUACGUAGUAUUAGUUAGUUGGCCAGGUAAAGGCUGACAAGCCAAUGAUGCUUAGCUAGUCUUUUUGAAUGAUUAGCCACACUGGGACUGAGACAUGGCCCAGACUCCCAUGGGAGGCAGCAGAGGGAAUCUUGGACAAUGGGCGAAAGCCCGAUCCAGCAAUAUCGCGUGAGUGAAGAAGGUCAAUGCUCCUUGUAAAGCUCUUACGUUGAGUGCGCGAUCAUGAUAUAUCUCGAGGAAGAAGUAACUCCAUGCCAGCAGCCNNNNNNNNNNNNNNNNNNNNNNNNNNNNNNNNNNNNNNNNNNNNNNNNNNNNNNNNNNNNNNNNNNNNNNNNNNNNNNNNNNNNNNNNNNNNNNNNNNNNNNNNNNNNNNNNNNNNNNNNNNNNNNNNNNNNNNNNNNNNNNNNNNNNNNNNNNNNNNNNNNNNNNNNNNNNNNNNNNNNNNNNNNNNNNNNNNNNNNNNNNNNNNNNNNNNNNNNNNNNNNNNNNNNNNNNGUACUCUUUGGAAUGACUGGGUGUAAAGGGCAUGUAGGCGGCGGGUUGAAAGUGAAGCUACGAAAAUCAUAAAAAGUGGCGGAAUGCUCUUGAAAUGAAUUCACUUAAGUGAGAUAGAGGAGAGUGGAUGGUUUUCUAUUCGUCCCUAUAAACACUAGUCAUCAACCCGUGCAGCUGCACGGGCUAGCGACUUGAGUCCGAAAACUUUGUGUUUAAUAUACUCUGGAAAAAGAAUAAACAUUGAAUAACAUUCAUAAUUUGUAAUUAUAAGUGUACUUUUUAAAAUCACGGUUACAUUGUUUAGCCUUUCAAGCAAUGCACAACAAUAAUUAGUGGCAAUGCACAACAAUAACAUUCAUAAUUUAUAAUUUCAACCGUGGUAUUAUAGGAGCAUACCACAUCACCUUGGCAGGAAUCUUCUUCCUGGAGCGCUCGCCCUCGACAUCUCCAGGGUCAUCGCGGCUGAUCUUAUAGCGCAAUGCACCGCAUACGGGGAACGCGUUCAAAUCCUCGUACUCACCACAGUAGAGGAUGCAGUCAUUAGGGCAUGCAUGUAUCUUCUGCACCUCUAAUCCUAGAGGGCAGACAACCUUCUUUGCUUCGUACGUACUUGGGCAAUUUGUUGUCCUUUGGAAGCAUCUUCUUUAACAUUAUCAGCAACUUUCCAAAUCCCUUGUCAGAUACACCAUUCUCUACCUUCCAUUGCAGCAAUUCUAGUGUGGUGCCCUGCUUUUUCUUGUCAGCUUCACAAUUUGGGUACAACAAUUUCUUGUGAUCCUCUAACAUGCGCUACAACUUCUUCUCCCCCUUUUCACUUGUGCAGUUUCUCUUUGCAUCAGCAAUGGCACGACCUAGAUCCUCAGCGGGCUCAUCUUAUGCCUCUUCUUCAGCUUCUUCCCGCAUUCCCGGCUCAAUUUCUUCCCCCAUUGUUGUACCAUCGUAUUCAGGGAACCCAUGGCCAGGAUAGCUAUCGUCGUCCUCUUCUUCUUCACUGUCUUCCAUCAUAACCCCUCUUUCUCCGUGCUUAGUCCAAACAUUAUAGUGGGGCAUGAAACUGGACACAAAUAGGUGGACGUGAAUGGUUCUUGACUUAGAGUAAUUCAGAUCAUUCUUACAGUUAGCACAUGGACAAGGCAUAAAACCAUCCGCCCGCUUGUUUGCCUCAUCUGCAAGUAGAAACGUAUGCACACCAUUAAUGAACUGGGGAGAGCAUCGGUCAUCGUACAUCCACUUCCGGUUCAUCUUCAUUUACACAACACCGAAAAUUCCAAAUUAAUACAAGUUCAUACAAAACAACAUACAAAUAACUCUGUAGCUAAAGUAUUUAAAUGCAACAACAAAUGCGAUCAAGAUCGCAACUAAGGUAACAAUUGAUCCAACAACAUAAUGAUACCAAGCCUCACUAUCAAUGGCAUAUUUUUUAAUCUUUCUAAUCUUCAAGCGCAUUUUCUCCAUCUUGAUCUUGUGAUCAUCGACGACAUCGGCAACAUGCAACUCCAAUUCCAUCUUCUCCCCCUCAAUUCUUUUCAAUUUUUCUUUCAAAUACUCGCUUUCUUUUUCAACUAAAUUUAACCUCUCGAGAAUAGGGUCGGUUGGAAUUUCCGGUUCACAUACCUCCCAGAUAAAAAUAUCUGUCAACUUGAUGGGCAUAAUUUUUCAUAAACACGAAAUGCAACAAAUAGUUAUAAAAGGGAAUAUACCACAUCCGAAUCAUAACCCGGACGAGGGCCGACGGGGACGGAUAUCAAAACUAUGGCACUAUGUAUAACAAACAACAUACAUGUAAGAUAAUUAUACAAGUAACUAUAUAUCUAAAUAACAAAAAAAUGAUUUUUCAUAUAUUAAAAAGAUAAGAACAAGAGACUCAUCACAAGGUGGUGCCGGCGACGGGACGGUGCGGGCGGUCGACGGUGGUUAGGACGGAGACGGGAAGGCACAAAGUAAACCACACCUACAUAUGCAAACUAAGAGUUAUUUUGACCUCAAAUUGCAUAUAAAUCAAAUAAACUACAACAUAUAUAUAAUUCCUCCCAAACUAAAAACCCACAAAUCACUAUACUUAUAGAGCAUUGUAAGAGCUAAUGUAACAAUGAGAGAUGAAAGGACAUAGUUGCUAACCUUUGUGAUCACUUGGACGGAUGGGGUGCCUUCAAAUGUUGGAAAAUUUUGGCAAAAAUGGAGGUGGCAGAUUGAGCAAGAGGGGAAGAAAACAAAGAGGAGGGGAAAAGUAGAGGGCUUCGGCUCGGACUGGAAGAAGCACUAUAUAUAGUGAUAUCUGUAGUCUUGGUUGGUUACACGAACCGGGACUAAAGGUCAACUUCUAGUCUCGGUUCGUGGCAUGAACCGGUACUAUAGGUCAUGGUGCGGCCGCAGCCUGCCGCAAGCCUGCCACCACCUCUUUAGUACCGGUUUGUGGCACGAACCGGUACUAAAGGUUCGCCACGAACUGGUACUAAUGAGAGCAGCCCACCUAGCCGUUGGAACCGGCAGUAAUGGUCACAUUAGUGUCGGUUCUAUUAAAAACCGGGACUAAAUAGUUGAACAUUAGGCCCAUUUUCUACUAGUGGUUACUUGACGGGCACUAUUUUUGUAAGGCAAAUGCCAAAUAAUUGGUCGGUAUUAAAUGUUGGUUGCCUAAACAAAAUAUUGUAAAUUUUUGGUCGGCGAAACAAACUCCCAUCUGACCGUCGGUCGAUACAUGUCCAUGGCAACCCUAACUAAUUGUUGGAUGGGAAAAACACUAUUUGAUAGUCGGUCAGGAAAGGACCAUAGUAGCUCAAAUGGACUGUCGGUCGGGAAAGGUCCGUGGCAGGCCCAACAGAAUGUUGGUCUCGAAAGAUACACUAUAGCCGACAAGCAGUCGGUUGGGACUAACAUGUCGGUCGGGAAAGGGUUUUCCUGUCUGGACUUUCCCCAAGGAUCUUUGCCGUCAGCCAGCUCACGACAAAGAAAGUUUUUGCCAUCAGCUUACAGAAAACUGACUGCAAAGAAAGAGCCAACGACAAAGAGCAUGUUUGCCGUCCGGCAUAGCAGCCGACAAAGAGGGAGGGUGGUCCACUAAGGAGUACCACCUAACGACCACUUUCUUUGGCGUCUGCUAGCGGACGACAAAGAUUGCAGCUAAUGGCUACAUACGGCCCACCCCACACCUCCCACUCUCCAUUUCUCUUUCUCUCUCACUCCACCGUGCCGACCCCGAUCCCAACCGCCGCCGCCGCUCCCGACCCCCACCUCCCGCGCCGCCCCUGACCCCCCUGCCGCCCCUCCGGUCCAUGACCCGCCACCCCGCGGUCCGCUGCGCCCCCCGGCCCCUGCAACCACCGACNNNNNNNNNNNNNNNNNNNNNNNNNNNNNNNNNNNNNNNNNNNNNNNNNNNNNNNNNNNNNNNNNNNNNNNNNNNNNNNNNNNNNNNNNNNNNNNNNNNNNNNNNNNNNNNNNNNNNNNNNNNNNNNNNNNNNNNNNNNNNNNNNNNNNNNNNNNNNNNNNNNNNNNNNNNNNNNNNNNNNNNNNNNNNNNNNNNNNNNNNNNNNNNNNNNNNNNNNNNNNNNNNNNNNNNNNNNNNNNNNNNNNNNNNNNNNNNNNNNNNNNNNNNNNNNNNNNNNNNNNNNNNNNNNNNNNNNNNNNNNNNNNNNNNNNNNNNNNNNNNNNNNNNNNNNNNNNNNNNNNNNNNNNNNNNNNNNNNNNNNNNNNNNNNNNNNNNNNNNNNNNNNNNNNNNNNNNNNNNNNNNNNNNNNNNNNNNNNNNNNNNNNNNNNNNNNNNNNNNNNNNNNNNNNNNNNNNNNNNNNNNNNNNNNNNNNNNNNNNNNNNNNNNNNNNNNNNNNNNNNNNNNNNNNNNNNNNNNNNNNNNNNNNNNNNNNNNNNNNNNNNNNNNNNNNNNNNNNNNNNNNNNNNNNNNNNNNNNNNNNNNNNNNNNNNNNNNNNNNNNNNNNNNNNNNNNNNNNNNNNNNNNNNNNNNNNNNNNNNNNNNNNNNNNNNNNNNNNNNNNNNNNNNNNNNNNNNNNNNNNNNNNNNNNNNNNNNNNNNNNNNNNNNNNNNNNNNNNNNNNNNNNNNNNNNNNNNNNNNNNNNNNNNNNNNNNNNNNNNNNNNNNNNNNNNNNNNNNNNNNNNNNNNNNNNNNNNNNNNNNNNNNNNNNNNNNNNNNNNNNNNNNNNNNNNNNNNNNNNNNNNNNNNNNNNNNNNNNNNNNNNNNNNNNNNNNNNNNNNNNNNNNNNNNNNNNNNNNNNNNNNNNNNNNNNNNNNNNNNNNNNNNNNNNNNNNNNNNNNNNNNNNNNNNNNNNNNNNACGACACCACCAACACCCUGAUCCCCGACAUGACACUCGAGACCCCGACACGGCACCCCCAACCUCGAGACAGCACCCCGACCCUAACAUGACACCCCCGAAACCCCGACCCCCAGAGGCCGACGGGGUCAUAUAUUUGUGAAUUAUGAGUUAGGUCAGGUAUUCAAUUAUUAUUAUGUACAUAUACAUAUAUAUUAUUAUUAAUUAGUUCAUGUUAUUAGGUAUUCAAUUUUUUAUUAUGUUCAUGAUGAUGAUACACACUUAAUUUUUUUAUCAUGUUUAUGUUGUACUAAUUUCAUUUACUCUUUGUCAUUGCAGGUGUUGACAGAUGGUGGGCUCGGGUCGAGAGCGCUCCGAGCCUCCUUCUUCGGCGCGUGCUGGGAGGUGUGUUGUUAUUCCACUCCAGCACCUUCGGAGAGCGCUGAUAGACAGCACACAGACACCAGCGGGCGCUUCUUCUUCGACCGAGAGAGGUCGGGGGAAGACGAAGAGGGGUACAGCUAGACGUGGCGGCGGGAUAGGUAGGAAGGCUGCUACGCCUUCCUCGCCGCCACCCCAGCUGAUUCUUUGGACCACUGGAGUGCUUCGUCCCAGGUGGACCCGUCUGACUUGGACCCUUCUCGGACUCCGGUCCACAAGCCUCGGGCCAACGAGCCUACAUCCGACGAGACUCGGGUCCUAGAGUCUUCGUCCCAGGAGACUCGGGUCCCAGAGUCUUCGUCCCACGUGACUCCGGAGACUAGUGGCCAUGCUGAUGGUGGCGAGGACACCUUAUCUGACGAUAGCUACAAUGAUGGCGAGCUAGUUGAGGGGGGCAAGAAGGUCUACCAGCGUGGUGGUACAGAUCUCCCGUCCGUGUCGGCGACCCGCGACCAGAGGUGGUUGAUUGAGCCUAAAGGGGAGAAGUAAGUGCAUUUACUCUUUUUUAACCAUUUGCCUUCAUGUUUCUUCAAAUUAAUAUCUAAUGUGUUGGCCUUGUCAUACUGCAAGGGUUGGAUACAUGCCUCUGAUGUCCGUAGGCCCAACCAGGUCCUUGGUGUGAUUUGCCGGCACCACUUCCCGGGAUGGGUCACAUUGCCCGAUGAGGGUGAGGUUCCAUAGCUAGCACUGACCUGGGAGCUGCACAAGGGUGCCCCGGCCCCGCCGAGGGAGAUGGUCGACGGUGUCGUGUGCGAGACGGUGGCGGACAUUGUGAGACGGCGGUUUUGGGUAAUUUCUCCUUUAUAGAAUUAAAAAUCAACAAUACUUAGUGAUUGUACUAAUCAGUGUUGUCUUGUUUGAUUCCAUCCCUUCUACAGGUGUCUUGAGGAACACGAGGCGGACACGGCUAUGGUUCUCGAAGCCGAGUGCAAGCGCCUAAUUCAGAACUUAUGGUACGAGGCUCAGGUACAGGCUGUUCAAGACUACUAUGCCUCGACUAACAUCAGAAGGUCCAAGAAGAAGUGACGCGGCAAGUAUCUGAGUAAGGAGAAGUACAUGAAGGUAAUUACCUAUUCUUAAGGCCUUGGACUUAGUUUCCUUGAUUUGAUUUGUAGGCAUAGCGCUGAAAUUUCUCUUUGUCUAACUUUGGUGCCCCCGAGAUGGUGUGCGGAUAGGAUGGACUGUUGGGAGAGGUUGGUGAAUGAGUGGUGCUCUCCCCAAUGGCUAGCCGUCCACAACAAGGCCAGGGAUAAGUGUGCCCAGAUGCAAGGUGUGCCACACCAUCAAGGGAGCUCCAACCUGUUUGAGUACGGGGAUCACUUGGUAUGUGGUUUGAGCCCUUAAUGAUUCAUGCAAUUUCAUUCUUCAUGCUAGCUUGAGCCCUUAACUAAUAUUUUGUUCCUCUCUUUUAGGCACGACACAACAAGAAGGAGGUGCCACUGCUGUACAACCUCUAUGCCAUGGCCCAUACUGCCCCGUACAAGAAGGCCAAGGCAUUCUGAGAGCUCCACCAACAUAUCCUCCCAUACGAUAAGCUCAUGAGGUACAGAGUCUUUGGGAAGGCGAUGAAAGGGGAGGACUUCAACCCGAGCCAGAGUCCUUUUGAUCCUAAGCUUGUGAUGCUAUCUGAAGGGACGAAACAUGGCUCAGUAGCCAUUAGGGAUGGACUGAUACGUUGUCCUAGAAGUCUCCCAGAGAUCAAGAAGCGCCAGAUGAGGUCUCUUCCUGAGAUGAGGCCUCGAUAACGACCAAUGGAGCUCGCCAUCAAGGCUAGGGCCCAGGAGCUUCUGGCGGAGGCAAACAGGUAGUCGACGCAGAGGGAGAGGGAGUUGGAGGAGAGGACAGCUAGUAUGUUGGAGGCGGAGAGGAACCGGAACGACGCGGGUCACCGGGCCCUAUACGAGCUCCUCGUGGUAAGUUUCUCCUGCAUAUUAGCCAAAUCAUGUAUGUGAUGUUCGUUUCAUUACUAACUAAUAUGACUGACUCGUGAAAACAAAAUGUGCAAUCCGUUUGCGAGAAAAACGACCAGACCCCUCAGCCGAUGCACCAGCACUAGUGCAGAACCGGGCUAUAGCACUGGUUCGUAAGGGCCUUUAGUCCCGGUUCUGUAACCUGCACUAAAGGGUGGAGACUAAAGGCCCCCCCUUAGUACCGCUUCUGCACGAACCGGGGCCAAAGGCCCACCAUGUGGCACAAUCCCGCGUGGUGAUCUGGGGGAUCUUUAGUACCGGUUGGUAACACCAACCGGUACUAAAGGAUUUUUUUUAUUUUUGAUUUUAUUUUUUACGAAAAAAUUGAAUAUUUUUUCCGAUUUUCAAAUUUCUGAAUUAUUUGACGAUUUUGUCUCUAAUCACUGCUCAUCAUUGCUGUAAUCACCCCUCAUCAAUCCAAAUUGUCUAACUUCCUGGACAGUCACCCAUCCUCUCAUUACUCCAGCCUGAGCACGCUUAACUUCCGAGUUCUAAGUCUGCACGUGUUGUUUACCUGACAAUAGUAAGUUGUCAAUCCUAUUAACCCUCAGGAAUUUAGCUUGAACAUGAAGUCACAUGUUUCACCGUUUUAGUUUGAAACUAUUAUUUUAAAAAAUAAAUAUUAUUUAGUAACCGAGAUACUUCUUGAAUAAGUAGUCUGACCACAGUUUGACCAUAGUUUGACCAAAAGUCAAAAAAACUAAAAUAACUAUUUAUUAACACUAAUAUUUCUUGAAUAAUUAGUUUGACCAUAGUUUGACCACAAUUCGACCAGAUUUAACAAAUUUUUUAAAACAAACUGAAAUUGGAGAAAAUCUUUUUUUCCUUUUAGAAUUUGAGGUUUCUAAAAAAUUGCAAACAAGCAGUAGGCGGUCAAAAUUGGAUGCGGAUUUUCGUGCUGAUUUUUUUGACAUAUUAUGCGUUUUUUUGACAUCGUAUGCAAAAGAUAUGGCCGUUUUACAUUUUCAUAACACUUUUUUUGCAAAACAUGUCCAAAUUUAAGUUUUUUAAUUUUCCUAACUAGUAGAUUUAGUAACAUAACUACAUCUCGAACGAUUUUACUUUUUGAAGUUUUUAUCAUUUUCUUUUGCUUUUUACAAAAUUGAAAAGGCGGUCCGGGGGGGUAGAGUUUGAAAAUGGGUCCUUUAGUCUCGGUUUGUGUCUCCAACCGAGACUAUUGGUCAGACCCCUUUAGUCCCGGUUCGUGGCACAAACCGGUACUAAAGGUUAGCCCUGUAGUACCAGUUUGUGCCACGAACCGGGACUAAAGGGGCUCGUGGGGCCCCGCCUGNNNNNNNNNNNNNNNNNNNNNNNNNNNNNNNNNNNNNNNNNNNNNNNNNNNNNNNNNNNNNNNNNNNNNNNNNNNNNNNNNNNNNNNNNNNNNNNNNNNNNNNNNNNNNNNNNNNNNNNNNNNNNNNNNNNNNNNNNNNNNNNNNNNNNNNGCCAGCCUGCCACCACCCCUUUAGUACCGGUUCAACACGAACCGGCAUUAAUGCAUAGCCGUUUGAACCGGGACUAAUGGUACCAUUAGUACUGGGCCAACAUUGAACCGAGACUAAUGUGUCUCACAUUAGGUCCUUUUUCUACUAGUGCAGAUUGGUAUAGCGGACGCGGUGAGUUUCAUUUGAAUGGUCAUUAGUUACUAGUAUUCACAUUUCAGUUGCAUCAUGCUAACUAGACAUUGCAAAUGAUCUUUGGUGCAGCACGCCUCCCGGCAAGCAUCGACCGAUCCUUCUUCAUCUCAAACUAGCGCAACCCCGACCAGUCCUUCUCCGUCUGGCACUAGCGCAAGCCAAACCGUUCCUUCACCUACAUACUUAGCUUAACAAAUACAUACUUAGCUUAAGAAAUGACCUACUUAGCUCCAAAAUGACCUAUACUUAUCUUAUUUUCCUCAAAAAUGACAUAAUAACCUUACUUAGCUCCAAACUGACAUAUUCUACCUAGGAUAGCUAUAAAAUGACCUAUACUUAGCAUUUUUUUUCUCCAAAACGACUUGAUAUGCUUAGUUAGCUAGAAAAUGGCAUAACUACCUAGGAUAGCUCAAUAAUGAUCUAUAGCUAUCUUAGCUAGUUCAUUUAUGACAUAAUUAGCUCACUUAGGUAAAAAAUGGCAUAACUACCUAGGAUAGCUGAAUAAUGAUCUAUAAUUAGCUUAGCUAGUUCAUUUAUGCCAUAGUUAGCUCACUUAGGUAAAAAAUGACAUAACAACCUUGGUUUAGCUCCCAAAUGACCUAUACUUAGCUUAUUUCCUUGAAAAUGACAUAACAACCUUACUUAGCUCUGAACCGACAUACUUUACCUAGGAUAGCUAUAAAAUGGCCUAUACUUAGCAUUUUUUUACUCCUAAAUGACUUAAUAUGCUUAGUUAGCUAAAAAUGUCACAACUACUUAGGUUAGCUCCAAACUGGCCUACACUUACCAUUUUGUCCUCCAAAAUGAAUAAAUUUGCUUAGUUAGCUCAAAAAUGGCAUAACUACCUAGGUUAGCUCCAAAAUGACAUAUUUACCUAGCUUAGCUCUAAAAUGACCUACACACUUAGCAUUUUUAGCUAGCUAAAGCUAAAAAAUGGCAUUUUUACCUACCUUAGUUAGAAUAAGAAGAAGAUAAAGAAGAGGAGAGGAGAAAAAGAAUGAGAAGAUAAAUCUUCUUUUUCUUCUUCUUUUUCUUCCUUUUCUUCUAGCUAGUCUUCUUCUUCUUCUUCUAACUUUCAUCUUUCCUAAUUUGUAGAUUUGCUUUAGAUGAGGAAGCUUGCAUUGAUGGAGUGUACUCUUCUACUUGUGCUUCCUUUUUGUUUAUGGAAACUUAUUUUGGAUAUGUAUGUAUAUAUGGAUAUGUUGUUGGAAGCCAUUGUAUGGUGGAUAUGUUGUUGGAAACUUGUAUGUUGGAUAUGUUGAUGGAAACUUAUUGUUGGUAUGCUUGUUGAAAUUAUUUUGAAAUGUGUGUAUAUAUAUAUAUCUGUGAAAUUCUGUCAAACUGAAUGAAUUUAAGAAAAAACAGAAAAAACAGGGGCUAUACAGUCUCUUUGUCGUCUGCUGGCAUAUGGCAAAGAGCUUUGCCGUCUGCCGGCAAAGCUGCCACAUGGCAGCUACCUGUGCAACUUGGGGUGCUCUGGGCUGGCCUAUUUGGCAGCUUUGCCAUCAGCGGCAGACGGCAAAGACCUUUGCAUCUUUGCCAUCCGCUGGCAGACGACAAAGAUGCAAAGGCCUUUGUCGUCUGCCAGCUGACGGCAAAGCACACCCUUAACCCCUUAACGGACCUAAGCUGCCAUGUGUGGUGUCCAGGCUCUUUCCCGUCUGCCAGUAUACGGCAAAGAGGGCUUUGCCGUAGCUUAUUUAGCCGGAGCUGUUGCCAUUUAUUGGCUGACAGCAAAGGCCUUUGCCAUACUCCAGGCAUGCCUUUUAUCGUCAGCCAUGGUUGACCGUAAAGUGCCUGAUUCCUUUAGUGUUGGCACAACUUGUAUUCCCGACCAAUCUGGAUUUUGGGGAUGUAGUGCAGUGGUGUACUGAAUGCAGUGUCGUGGUGUAGUGCGGGCAAGUUAAGAAAAAAAUGGACACAUGCGAGGCUAGCACCAUGAUGAACACUACUGAGGUAGAGGAGAUGAUGAAGAAGUUGGGGAUCACGGAGGAUGACUUUGAUGAUGUGGUAGUAGAGGAAGAGGAGGAGCUCCCUGCUGAAGCAAUCCAGUGGAUGGCAAUCAUGCGAGUGCACAUAGAGAAAACUUAUGCUCAGUACUGGUUUUCAGAAACAUGAGGGUGGCUUGGGACUUGGCGAAAGAGGUGAAGAUCUGGCUACUCAACAAUAAUAUGUACAUGCUGCAAUUUUCUUGUUUAGGCGACUAGGAGGGAGUCAUGGACGAUGGGCUCUGGACUUACCGAGGCAACACGGUGCUUUUGGCGUCGUAUGAUGGAUUCACUAAACCAUCAACCAUAGCCUUGGACACAAUUGAGAUGUGGAUCCAAUUCAUGAUCUACCAGAUAGCUACCCCUACCCCCAAUUGAGCCUGGCGCUUGCUAGACCAUCCCGGUUCUCUGAGUUCCAUUGAUCUUAAAAGUUCUAAACUAUCCAAAUAACCCUCUUUCCGAUGCAACCUUGGGACCACAUCCAUCACAUGUAUGGCCGACUAUUUUCCAUGGGAAAGACAUAAUGACUUAGGGUUUGAUAAGGAGAAUAGGAGACAGAGAAUCCCCUGAUAUUUGGAACAAUAAUAGGAUAACUAGAGAGCAUAUAAAGAGGCCGAGAACUUCACAAACACCACAGCCGCCGACAAGCGUCGCUGAACACAUUGAUCACACUGUGUCAUCAAGGGAUGAACAACUUAUUCAAUCGAUACUUAUUCCCAUUGAUGCCGAGACUAUAUUGAAGAUCCCUCUUUGCACGAGACAAAUAUCUUAUUUUUGGUCAUGGAUUGAGGAUAGAAGGGGCAUGUUCAUUGGGCAUUCUGCUUACAAGAUGAUACAGUGAACCAAGAUCAGUAGAGGAUCAUGGCUGUAUGAGCAGGGUGGCCGAUCAAACUCAGAGGCUGAUUGUCAAGGAUGGAUAGACUUAUGGCAUAUAAAAUCCCCCCGAAAAUCAAGGUGUUCAUGUGAAUAUUAGCACAAUACUCACAAUGUCCUUCUUCAUCAUAGAAACAUGUCGAUGACGAGUGCUUGUUGUUUGUGCUGGUCUAACGAUAUGUGCAGGCAUGCCCUGCUGAAUUGCUUGGUUUCAAGGAGCACUGAGCACUAUCAUACGAGCAAAUUGUCGAGCUAUUGAGUCUGAAUGUAAAUGAUGACGCCAAACAGUGGCUAUUCACCAUGCAUGAGGUGUUAUCACAUGCGGACGAUUUUAUCAUGUUUACGAUCACUUUUAUGGACGAUAUGGGGAGCUCGGCACAAAGCUAUACAUGAGGAGAUAUAUAAAAGCCCUUUCACUUUUCAGGCUUUUGUGCAGAGUUACUUAACUGAGCUGAGAGCUACCCAAAGCACUCGAAGUCCAGUUCCAGGGGCACCCGUGAUUAGGCCAAGUCAAUGUAUCGCUCCUCGGGAUAAUAUGGUGAAGGUCAAUGUGGAUGCGGCGGUUGGACCAGGCGACACUCGAGGCGCAAUGGGAGCUAUAUGCAGAGAUCAAGCAUGUAAUUUUCUGGGUGUGUUGGCCAUUGUGUUUCCACAUAUAUCAGAUCUUGUUACUGUCGAAUCUUCAGCAAUCAGGGUGGCACUUGCACUUGGUGAUAAUCUCUAUGAGAGGAAGAUUCAGGUGGCUUCAGAUUGCAAGGUGGUGUUGCAGAUAUACAUCAGAAGAGCGCAGCUAUCUACAGAGCAAUCAUAACUGAGAUCAUAGAUCAGAAGGCUACUUUUACUAAUUGUACAUUAGCCAUAAAUUUAGGAGCUUGAAUGUUGAAGCUCACAAACUCGUGAAGCAUGCCUUAUCCCUGGGGGUUGACCGCCAUGUUUGGUUAGGUAACCCCAUAGCUAAAGUUGUCUCGCCUUGCUUCAAAACUACUGGGCGUGCGCUGCGGUUUUGACCUAAAGCCUCCGUUUGCUGGAAUUAAUUGGAAUAGUUGAGAAGAAAGUGACCAACGGAUGCGUAAUGCGUGGAAAGCUGCUGGAUAGUUCGGGCCGAAUCCUGAAGAAAGUUCAAAGCGCUAUUUGGUGAGCCUACGUAGUAUUAGUUCGUUGGUCAGGUAAAGGUUGGCAAGCCAAUGAUGCUUAGCUGGUCUUUUUGAAUGUUUAGCCACACUGGGACUGAGACAUGGCCCAGACUCCCAUGGGGGGCAGCAGAGGGGAAUCUUGGACAAUGGGCGAAAGCCCGAUCCAGCAAUAUCGCGUGAGUGAAGAAGGUCAAUGCUCCUUGUAAAGCUCUUACGUUGAGUGUGCGAUCAUGACAUAUCUCGAGGAAGAAGCCCAGGCUAACUCCGUGCCAGCAGCCGCGCUAAGACGGGGGUGGGGGUGGGGGGUGGGGGGAAGUACUCUUUGGAAUGACUGGGUGUAAAGGGCAUGUAGGCGGCGGGGUUGAAAAUGAAACUGUGAAAAUCAUAAUAAGUGGCGGAAUGCUCUUGAAACCAAUUCACUGAAGUGAGACAGAGGAGAGUGGGUAGUUUUCUAUUCGUCCCUAUAAACACUAAUCAUCAACCCGCGCACCUGCACGGGCUAGAUAUACCAUCAUAGAAUCUUGUAAAUAUACUUUGUAAGCCUAUAACUGGAAACAUAAAACAUGGAACAUGCUUUUCAGUUUUUAUUUUAUAGUGGUGUUUAGUCUUCAAAUUUCAGGCAGAAUUAAAAGUGGACACGUAUGAAUUCUCAAGUUCAUUGAUCAAGCGCAUGCAGUUGUUAUGGUAUACAAAAUCGAACAUGUUGAGGACUCACAUGCAUAUUUGUAGGAAAAACUAAAAAAAAUUUGUAAUUAUUUCUUACAUCAUUACAUUCAAACCCACACAAAGAAAAUACUCAAAUAAACAUCAUUUUUCUUUAAACAGAAGGAUCCAACUGACGCCAUAAAAUGUAUCUUUUCCUUAUAUUGGCCAAUUAUUGCUCAAAUAGCUGUGCAUGUGCUGUGUAAAUAAGAUUUAGAUAUGGUACAUAGAACUUUUGUUAGAUUUAGACCAUAGCUUCAGUGUGAAUGUUGCUGCAGUGGCACAGAAGUAUGAUCGGUUUGGCAUCGUCUGCUUUGCGAUGAUCCACUCCCGUGCACAGGCUCUAUCCUACGGAUCGUCCUAUCGGACUGCUAGCAGUAUAUGUCAUGCCAAAAGCUUCUUGACCAACAUAUGCGCUAGUAAAUCUAAUUACUCUAAAUUAUGAAAACAUAGUUAUUCUGAAUUAUGAAAAUAUAAUUACCCUAAACUAUAUAUGUACCUUAGAUCGUAGAGGCCACCAUCGAACAGAGCUAUAUAGGGAGUAGUUGUGCGGUAGUACUGUUGAGAUGUAGAAGUGGAAAAGCAAUAAUGCAUAACAAAAUCAUAUUCUAUCACACGCUUAGCUUAUACUAUAUAUAUUGGCACACAUUUUCUUUGCAUAUGCACCUGGUAGAUUAAACAAUGGAAGCAAACACAGUAGGGCAAACCAAUUUCAGAUUUUUAUCUCAAAUCAAAAGCCUAGAAAGGGUGAUCCAGGAAAAACAUUAAUCGCUGCAUUGUUGAGAGUCUCAUGUUUCAAUUUCACCAUCCAAUCUCAUAGAAAAAUGUAGGCAGCCGGUGAGGAAUCAGCAGAUGGUUGCCAUGUGCUUCUCGAUAUUUCUUUUCCCUAAUCACCAAAGAACACAUAGGCGAGCCCAGCAGUAACUUGAUAUACAGGAGGCUUCUUUGGUUUGCACCAGUGUAACACGAAAGAACAGAUACGCAGCCGUGAAAGUCGCUGGCUGCAUGAUGGAAGACGCCAACCACAUAUCGUUGAUAUUGAACGCAACGCUUGAAUAUCUUUUUUGACCUCUUCGUUCACCAUAACCUUUCAUAGUGGGAUCCAUCUUUCUUAAGCUUUGACACUUGGAAAUAAUACUUACCAUCAUAUUAAUCAAACCUUGCUGCAUCCACCGAUUUUUUUUCCAACUCAUGCAUGUGAAACCAUGGAUAUUUCAUCAGCAAAAAGUACGAAAAAGGACACAACUAUGCACUAUUAAUUAUGUCUGUGCUCAGACAUACCGCUCUCCUGCAGUAUCCACAAAAGGAAAACCAAGAUUUUCAGUUCUCACGCGCCUGACAAACAUCAUCUAUCUUCUGCUUGCAAUCUUUCCUGAUGAUACAUCAUGUCCGUUGGGGGUAAUAUGAAUUCAAAAGGAUGGAAAAAAGACCUGGAAAGAGGGGAAUUAGGGAUACUGUGCUAAAUUGGGAUAGGAGAGGAGAGCAUUAUGCCCUUGAAUGGAAUCCAGGAUGUGAAACGUUGUGCCGCCAUAGCGAUGAUGGCCACAACCAUACUUGCACUAGUAGAAAACAGGGCAUUUGUCCCGGUUCGUAAGGGCCAUUAGUCCCGGUUCAUGAACCGGGACUAAAGGGUCGUUACUAAUGCCUCCCCCCUUUAGUCCCGGUUCUAACACGAACAGGGACUAAAGGUCGCGGCCACGUGGAGCUCCACCUUUAGUCCCGGUUGUUACCAACCGGGACUAAAGGAAAUUCUAUGAUUUUUUUUUGAAUUUUUUUUGAUUUUUUUUAAUUUUCAAAUUUCCGAAUUAUUUAACCUCUAAUCUCUAAUCACCCCUUAUCAUUCCAAAUCAUCUAACUUCCCGAACGGUCACCCAUCCUCCCACUCCCCCAGCCUGAGCACGCUUAACUUCUCGGUUCUAUUCUCCCUCGUUUCCAAGUCUGGACUUGUUGUUUUCCUGACAAUAUUAAUAUGUCAAUCCUAUUAACCUUCAGGAAUUUUGCUUGAGCAUGAAGUGACACAUUUCACUGUUUGAGUUUGAAACUAUUGUUUUAAAAAACAAUAAUUAUUGAAUAACACUAAUAUUUCUUGAAUAAUUAGUUUGACCAUUGUUUGACCACUGUUUGACCACAGUUUGACCAGAUUUGACCAAAAUUCAAAAUAACUGAAAUAAUUAUUUAGUAACACUAAUAUUCUAGAUUAAUUAGUUUGACCAUUGUUUGACCACAGUUUGAAUUGUUUUUGAUUUUUUCCACUCUAGAUCUUAAAAGCCCCGUAUCUUUUUUCUGUUAGGUUUUUGAGGAUUUUGAAAAUGUUUAACGUGGUUCCCCCUGUUACAUUUGGAUGUAACUUUUUGAGUAGAUGAUUUUUUUAUAUAAAAAACUUUUUCAUCCGAGUUAGUAUGCAAAAGUUAUGUCCAUUUAACUAAAUACUAGAGAGAUUUUGCAAAUAAAGUCGAAAUUCACAUUUGCAGAUUUUCCCAACAACUAGACCACGUAUCACAUGGAAACUUGCUUUUUUUUUUGACAUUUUCAUCAUUUUCUUUUAUUUUUUUAAAACUGAAAAGGCGAUCUAGGGGGUGGAGUUUGAAAAUGGGACCUUUAGUACCGGUUCGUGCCAUGAACCGGUACUAAUGCCUCAAACCCCAUUAGUACCGGUUGGUGGCUCGAACCGGGACUAAAGAUCUAACCUUUAGUACCGGUUGGUGCCACGAACCGGUACUAAUGGGCAUCGCACACUUUAGUCCCGGUUCGUGGCACCAAUCGGGACUAAAAGGUCCAGACGAACCGGGACAAAUGGCCCACGUGGCCCCUGGGCGCACGAACCGGGAUUAGUGCCCCCAUUAGUCCCGGUUCUAGACUGAAUCGGGACUAAUGGGCUAAACCGGCCUGGACCAAAGCCCUCUUUUCUACUAGUGUUGCUUCAAAGAGGAACAUCAGUACCGUACCUCCUCCAAGCCUCGAGCAAGCAACACAAUAUUGUACAGGAGGCCCCAUGCCAGCGGUAGGGGCCGAUCGCCGUUCAAUUCCUGCAGAGGGCCUCUCAUCCUUCUAGUACUGAAUAUGCUAGCAGUCGACUAAAAUAGAUGAUUGAGCUGAUAUUGUUAUCAUUGCCAUCUGUAAUCGAUAUUGAAUACCUCCUCUUGCAUGCUAGAUCUAAACAUAAAAUUUAGCUCAACUGUACACAUCUGUUUUGACUCGACAGUAAGGAACCAUAAUAUUGCAACCCUGAGGAACAAAGCAAUGGAUGAGUACUUGACAACAAUUUAGCUCAAGUGUACAGCUAAAAAUUUAAUUAUGAAGGACAAAAUUGGUUGCGACAAAAUCAGUCACUUGACAACAAUUAUCACAUUUGUCUAUGAAUAUUUGAACCUAUGGUCUUUGUUGCGCCCUGGUCGGAUGGAUUAAAAGACGCAACCAUCUAGUACAUAGGGAGAUUGUGCAUACUUCUUACCUCUAAUAAUCUAAUCAAGGCAGUAGAGGAGGAUUAUGUGCCCUGUGUAAGAGGAACACGCAUCAGUCGGAGUAGGAUCCAGGAGGCCAUUAUUGAACCAAUUUUCACAUAUCACCAGCUAAUGAAAAAUAAUUUACAAAUAGUAACUCUCAUCGAAUGUAAAUAAUAUCAUGCAUGGUACUUAAGCCAGCCGUACCUGAAACUUGAUGAAUCUAAUAUUUGUUCAAGGAAGUGUCUCACGGCCUUUAACUAAAACUAACAAUUUACAGUUGACAGUGAUCUAGUUUCAUGAAACUAUAAUUAUUAGAAGUCACCAGAUGUCUGCCUCUCUUCGAUUUCUGCAAGUAGCACCUAGGUGAGCUCACCAAAUCACCCCAUGUUGCUUUAAGUAGGUAGAAAUUUGGCAGAUACACAAAUAUUAGUACGAUAUCCAUUAAUUCUAAUAAUUGAUAAAGAAGGACACUCCUCUUAUGUGUGUGUGUGUGUCUGUGUGUUUGGUGCUGUGUAUUUCGAUGUGAGUUCAGUAAUUCCAACUCCCUACAAUUAAGAUAUGAAUAGUCAGUGGAAACUUACCAUUGGGAACCAUGGCUUGGGGAGCAUGUUCAGACCUGCAAGUUGCUGCUCUCAAUCUAUUGCCCAUGUAUAUGGAUGAUUAUUAAUCUGCUCAUAUGUUUACACCUCCAGACGUUGCCACCGCAGGGAUUAUUAACAUGAACACAACCAUCAUCGCCAUUAAGUUAGCAAAAUAGAUCAACAUACUUGUCGCCAUGGCGUGUAGGAAAAGUUUCACGUGUGAUGUUCUCUAUUGAUAUCACGUAAUCCUUGUAACUAACAGUCAAACGACAUGCUAGGCAAUCACAAAGGGAAACGUUUCAGGCCGGGGAACCGGCCGAACCUUCGGCCGGUCGCGAGCCACGCUGCACUAGUAGAAAAGAGGGCUUUGGUCCACCCCGGGUUAGCCCAUUAGUCCCGGUUCAGUCUAGAACCGGGACUAAUGGGGGCAUUAGUCCCGGUUCGUGCGCCCAGGGGCCACGUGGACCAUUUGUCCCGGUUCGUCUGGACCUUUUAGUCCCCGGUUGGUGCCACGAACCGGGACUAAAGGGUGCGAUGCCCAUUAGUCCCGGUUCGUGGCACCAACCGGGACUAAAAGGUUAGACCUUUACUCCCGGUUCAUGCCACCAACCAGUACUAAUGGGGUUUGAGGCAUUAGUACCGGUUCAUGGCACGAACCGGUACUAAAGGUCCCAUUUUCAAACUCCACCCCCCUCCCCCCUGGAUCGCCUUUUCAGUUUAAAAAAAUAAAAGAAAAUGAUGAAAAUGUCAAAAAAUAAAAGAAAAUAAGUUUCCCAUGUGAUAUGUGGUCUAAUUGUUCGGAAAAUUUACAAAUAUGAAUUUCGACUUUAUUUGCAAAAUCUCUCUAGAAUUUAGUAAAAAUGGGCAUAACUUUUGCAUACUGACUCGGAUGAAAAAGUUUUUUAUAUGAAAAAUCAUCUACUCGAAAAGUUACAUCCAAAUUUAACGGGGGAACCCCGUUAAACAUUUUCAAAAUAUUCAAAAACCUAACAGAAAAAAGUUACGGGGCUUUUAAGAUCUAGAGUGGAAAAAAUCGAAAACAAUUCAAACUGUGGUCAAACAAUGGUCAAACAAUGGUCAAACUAAUUAUUCUAGAAUAUUAGUGUUACUAAAUAAUUAUUUUAGUUAUUUUGAAUUUUGGUCAAAUCUGGUCAAACUGUGGUCAAACUGUGGUCAAACAAUGGUCAAACUAAUUAUUCAAGAAAUAUUAGUGUUACUAAAUAAUUAUUGUUUUUUAAAACAGUAGUUUUAAACUCAAAUAGUGAAAUGUGUCACUUCAUGCUCACGCAAAAUUCCUGAGGGUUUUAAAAAAGUUAGAUGAUCAGGAAUGAUGUGGGGUGAUUAGAGAUUAGAGGAUAAAUUGAGCAGUGAUGAGGGGUGGUGAUUAGAGAUUAGAGGUUAAAAAAAUUCAGAAAUUUGAAAAUAAAAAAAUUCAAAAAAAAAUUCAAAAAAAAAUUCAAAAAAAAUCAUAAAAUUUCCUUACCAACCGGGACUAAAGGUGGAGCUCCACGUGGCCGCGACCUUUAGUCCCGGUUCCAGUUUGAACCGGGACUAAAGGGGGGAGGCAUUAGUAACGACCCUUUAGUCCCGGUUCAAGAACCGGGACUAAAGGCCCUUACGAACCGGGACUAAUGCCCCCUUUUCUACUAGUGCUGGCGCCCCGCGCCCGCCCAAUCCGCGCGUCGCGCGAGACUCCUGUUAUUGUUGGGCCCCACGUGGACCACCCCUCCUCCCUUUUUUAUCUUUCCCCUAACUGCUGCCUUCAUCUCCUACCUCCAGACACAUCCUUUCCCGUGGCCAUUUUUCUUCUUCCUUUUCCCUGCGCUGCUGCCUACCGGCGGCCGCUGCCGGCCGUGUGCUUCGCUGAGCCAGGGGGACUACCCGACUGCUGCUAGUCCUCCUCCUCUGCACAUCUUAUCCCCCAAAACAUCUCUCCUUCUCUCUCAAAUAAGCCAUGGUUCAAGACGAGACAAGGUCUGGGAAGGAGGCUGCAACCGGUACCCAGGGAGCCUGCGACCGGCCAUGAGACGGCGAGCAUGGUGACCUCAGGACGGCGAGGAUAGGGCAACGCUCCUCCAAGAAAACAAUCGAUGUCGUUAUUUUUUCUACAUGCUUCAACCUGCGUCGGAAUUUGCUACAAACGGCAUCGCAUACUGCUGCCAUCGGUGUCACAUUUUUCUGCAAUACAGAAUCGACCUCGCGUUUUUGCUAGAAUCGAUGUCACUUUUUGCUACAACCGUUUUCAUUUUUUUCUACAUAUGUUCAGGCUGAGUUGUGACCCGACGACGGCGGCGAUGACUUUUUUGCUGCAACCGUAAUAGAACUUUGGUACAUCCAGCAACAAUUUUUGCUACAUCCAUUUUUUUUUGCCGGCGACGAUACAAUGGCGAGAUACAACCGCCGGCGAUGAUGACAAGUUUUUCCGCCGGAUAAGCUGCAACGGGCAUCGUCAAAAGCUGGAACCGACCAUCAGCAGAGGUGCAUCUACUGUGGGUGGUGUCCCGGCAACCAUAUCGGGCACCUCUCGCGGAGCUCGACGCCCAUGGCCAUGGCGACAGCCCUCGCGGAGCUCGACGCCCAUGGCCAUGGCAGCACCCCUCGUGGAGCUCGAUGCCGAUGGCCAUGGCAGUACCCCUCGCGGAGCUCGACGCCCAUGGCCACGGUAGCAUCCCUCGCGGAGCUCGACUCCCAUGGCCAUGGCGUGCCCUACCAGUCACGGCGGCAUCCCUCGAGCGGAGCUCGACGAACAUGGUCGUCGUGUCCAUCACCAGGCGGGGGAUCAUGCAUCUCGCGGGUCACAGGGGGGCGCGCGUUCCGCGCGAGGAAGGAGACGAGUUUGGGGGAGAAUCGAACGGUUACAAGCGCGCAAAUCUUACGGCUACCAAGCGACCGGACAAACUUUCGGCCAGUGCGCCAGUGCCUAUUGUUGCCCAAUCACAAAAGACAAUCUGGAGGAAGGCAGCCGCUUGCACUGCUGGGGAGAGGGUCUAGAAAAUAUAGAACUUUCCCCCAAAAUAAGAAUCUCCUCAAAAAACAGAGCAGGAGUAGAUGAUGAACCGCCGCCGACAUGUACCUGCCUUUACCUUCUCGCAUGUGCGCCCUCGAAUAUCAAUGGCGCACCGGCUUGUGCGCCCUCCUUCAAACUACCAUGGAUACACAUCCACAUAUGCAUAGGCCAUCUAGGAUUCACAAACCUGAAAUAAAAGGAGAUAUCAAAACUCGAGUGGAAGGGCAAUGAGUAGAGAUUGAAUUGGUUCAUUUUCUUCUAGAUGGACUGCAUCAGGGAUCGUACCUUGCAGUAUAUAGGAGAACAUGGAGAGGCGGCAGAGGAGGAGGAGUGGCGCUGGCAGAAGAGAUGCGGCCAUGCGGGGAAACCUGUUUUUUCUUUGGGUUUCCAUACGAAGACCUAUUUUUUUGUAAGGAGACGUACCUGUGGGAUAAUUUGCUAGGACUCUCAGGGAUUUUAUCUAACGGCUGCAGAUAUUUCAUACUGAUAUCUGAUGGUUAAUUUUAUUAGUUUUAUAUAGGUUUAGCGUGACCCUUUUUAUUUGGGUUCCAUACAAAGAACUAUUUUUCUUGUAAGGAGACGUACGUGUGGGAUAAUUUGCUAGGACUCUCUUAGUGAUUUCAUCCAACGGCUGUAGAUAUUUUAUACUGAGAUCAGAUGGUUAUUUUUGUUAGUUUUGUAGGAUUAACGUGAUUCCUCGUUUGGUGCCUCAAUUAGUAAAUAUAAGAUAUAAGAUAAGAUUGUGAGGGACUAAUUUUUUUUUGAAAGGAAAAGUUGAAACAGACACUCACUUCCAUGAACAACCGGUGGCUCCAUGCAUGCAUGCAUGAUACAUCGCACGCAGUACGCAAGCGGGCUGUUGCCAAGCUAACUAAUGGCGCCCGGCCGACAACACAGUACAGCUAGUAGAGCACUCGCUGCCAAACGCCUACGUGAGAGACCCUCGUGAGCCCAGCUAUACAACCUCCGCUUCUCCACCCAUCCUCGUUCACUUCGCAUCCGCAGCCGAAUUCCCCGGUCUCCACCGCUCAGUCCCCCGGACCGCCGGACCUCUCCUCGCCUUGCCAUGGCAGCCGCAGCACUGAGGGCGCAGCUGAACGCCCAUAUCGCCGGCAUGUACACCAAUGUGAGGCCCUUCCCCUCCCCUCUAGUCGUGUGGUAUUGGAUUUUGGCUUGGCUGGACGACUAACUUGGCCUUUGCCUUUGCUUUGGCGUGGUCGAUGUCGAUCCAGGGUGUGGUGGACGAGGAUACAUUCGAGGAGCUGCGGGACGAGGGCACCGCCACCGAGGUCUCCCGUCUCUUCAUCUACGACGCCUCCGAGAUCAUCGACGACAUCGACCUCCUGAUGUCCGCCCCCACGCCCUCUGUCAUCUCUCCCUCUGCUCUCUGUCUCGAACUGACUCAUCUUAAUGAUCUGCUCUGGAAAUCGCAGGGAGGAACCCGAAGUGGACUUUGACGAGGUGGAAGCCCUGACGCAGCAGCUCAUGCGGUGCACUACCAGGUGAUGACCAUCAUAAACCCUUUCUCUCUCUUCCACCUGUUUAUUUUUAACUCUAUGUUUGUUUGCCCGCUGCGUCAAUGUCGUGCGAUUCAGAUCUGUUUAUUGUAGUGGGCAACAGAUUCUUAUUUGUCGGUUGCACUACCCCAUAGGCGUAAUUAGAAGAAUCGAGUUUAGUUGCGUUUAGUGUAACGGAGUUACCGGUAUCCCGAUUAAUAUCAAUAUUAUGAUGAGGAUAAAUUGUUGCCCUUUUUGGAAUAUUCCUGGUAUUAAUGAUCUGCUAUUCUGUGUAUUACUAAUGGUGUUUUUUCUGGUAUUACUGAUCUGCUAUUCUAUGUAUCUCUAAUGGUGUUUUUUCUAGUUUGUCCACGGCAUAUUUGGAUGUGUCGGCAUGGGGUGUGUACCUCACGACACGGCCACACAAUUGAGGUUUGUUUCGUUUUACAGGCGUCGUAUAGCCAUAGGUAGAAGAGCUGAGUUUAGUCAUAUAUCGUGUAACGAAAUUGUUGGUAUUCUUCUCAAUGUUAAUCAAAUCGUAUAGCUUGGCGAGGGGAAUUUUUGUCGUUUUGCAAAUGUUUGUUCUACUAUCGUGUCUGUUCUUCCGGCAAUACCAUUAUUCUAGGUUGAGAAUGAAAAAAAAUGUCGUUUUAUAAGCAUGGCUGGUAUUAAUGAUCUGCAAUUCUACAUAAUGCCAAUGGCCAUUUUUUCUGUUUCACCAUUGGAACGGUGUUGUUUCUGUUCAGAUUUGUCAGGCGCAGAGUGUGUACGUCAUGGACGCCAUUUGGGUGUCGUAUAUCCAAAAUUAGAAGACCUGAUUGUAGUAGUGUCUCGUGUAGCAGAAUUGUCGGUAUUCAUGACAAUUUCAUGGUUCGGCAAGAAAAACUUUGUCGUUUUCUAAAUAUUUCUGGUACUACUGAUCUACUAUUGCACAUAGCGACAAUGAUGUUUUUUUUUCUGCUUCAUCAAACAAUUUAUGGAGUCGACAAUCAUGAUAGGAAAUGGCUCCUUGAGAAUAUUAUUGAGUUGACGUCUCAGUUUAUAAUAAGUUUGAUAAGUUCCUAAUUUCCUGCUCUGCAUUUUUUUGCAUGUUUCAGUGUUGGUGCACAGCAAGUGAACCUCGCCUGCAUGCACUUCGGCAAUUUCUAUGCCAUACAAUACAAACAAGGGUCAGAACUUAAUAGCUUAUUUAAUAUUGCUACACAAUAAUUAUUCGCAACAUUGUUUUUCAAUGUCUCUAUGUAAACCUGACAGCUCACGUUGUCUUUCUGUCAUUAUUUUCAGCUCAUACCAAUCUAACGUUGUUAAGAAGUAACCUGAUUUGCUUUUUCACUUCAUCUGCAAUCACGUUGUUGAUAUUACCCGGUUCACUAUCUGAAUAUGCUACCAUUUGAUGGUUCUCUUGUAAUUUAUUGGCUCUAUACUUUUGUUUAUAGCACAACUAAAUUCUUAUAUGGCUAGAGAUUUUUCUUUUUUGAAAUAUAGGGUUACAAUUUUUGAACCAUUUUCAUCUCAGUUCUGUUAACCUCUUCAGAAUUUGACAAUGUGGUAUUUUUGCAUUAUUUCAGGUGUCUCGUGUCACUGGCUCUUGUUAGGAAUGAGUUCUAUAUUGUGCGACAUGAGUUGGAGAUCAUGAUGCAGGUAGCACCUUAUGUGCCUAAUGUUGGAUUUUGAUACCAACUUUCCACUAGUUUCACAACCCAUAGAUUGGUCAUAUUAAGAUAGAGAAAAGGGAACAAUCUUUAAUCCUUAAUCUAAUUCUUUUGACAUUUAGAUUUGGAGCACUUAGUUCGAGGUACCGAAAAGUCUCAUUUAGCCGUUAAAUGAUUAUGUGGUAAUUUUGUCAUCAUGUUUGGUAGAUGCACAGGGUAGCUAAAAAAAGUGGGAGAAAUUCUCUGUUUCCCAGCUUAAAUUAAGCUCACCAAAUGCCCAAAUAAGAAACUAGCUAACUUGUAACAUGGCUGAUUAGUGAAACCAUGUGACUUGAGCACCAUUAUGUGCCAUAGACUUAUCUUAAUCAUUUUUCGGAAGGUACUUCUCUUAAUCGUUAACCUAUUAUUCAUCUUUUGUUGCAGCUCGAAGAGCAGAUCGCGACAUGUGGUCCUAACUCCUAAGUAGCGGCAAGUGAAGGGGGAAGAGCGUGGCCCCAUGCAAUCCCUUGCAUUAUGUGGUCCAUGUGCCUCCGAAGAUGUAGCGGUUUUCAAAGGGCGUCUGGCACUAUCGGGUGCGCGUAAAACUUAGAUGAAUAUUCUCGCGUCGGAACUUUGGGCUCGUAACCCUGUGAAAGAAAACUGUUGCCGUGUGUUGAUGUCAGUGUGAAGUCCAUAUUCUAGAGUAUCGUGGAUGUGUUGCCCCCCGCCUACAGGCUGUUUAUAAAACAUAUACUUGGUUGGUUGGUCCUCUAGUGACUUUGUUUUGCUGUUUCUUCUGUUUGUUUUUCUCUAUAAGCAAGUCUUGUUGUUGGUUGUUGUACCUAGAGUGUAGCCAAUCACCAUAUUUGGGCAUAUUAAACAUGUCGUUUCGGU